UACGAGUAAAACCAGCCCUCGAGUUGCCCCGAGGUGGCCCCGCAGUCUGCCCGGUUCGGACCAACACUUAGACAAGCACUGGCCCGGGGGGGGGGGGCUAAAUAAAGAUGACCCUUGGGUUAAUUACUCCCAAGGGAAAAGUAGGUGGUGGUGAGGCAAAUGGUAAAAGGCAAUGUUGGGCCUUGCUGGACAAGUUUUAUUCAAAGCGAACUGUCAGGGGGGUCCCAUAAAUCACCCGACCGCGUUAGGGACGCAAAAUCCGGGAACAUAACACCGGUAUGACGGAAACUAGGGCGGCAAGAGUGGAACAAAACACCAGGCAUAAGGCCGAGCCUUCCACCCUUUACCAAGUAUAUAGAUGCAUUAAUAAUAUAAGAGAUAUUGUGAUAUCCCAACAUAAACCCUGUCCACCAUGGAGAAAUCUUCAACUUCACCUGCAACUAGCAAUGCUAUAAGAGGGGCUGAGCAAAGCGGGAACAUAGCCAAACAAUGGUUUGCUAGGAAUGGUGUCAAAGGUUAGAGGUUCAUGGCAAUAUGGGAUGGCUUGAUAAACAGGUAAUAGGUAGCGCAGCAUUGCGAUAGAACGAAGCAACUAGCAUAGCAAUGAUAGUAGUGAGAUCCAGGGUAGCGGUCAUCUUGCCUGAAAUCCCGCAAGGAAGAAGAACGAGUCCAUGAAGAAGAUGAACGGAUGAAGCCGAACCAAACGUAGACGAACGAAUCCUCACGAACGCAACGAAACAGGAACUAACAAGAAGAAGCACACAACAUAGGUAAACACCCCACACAAGAACAAGACAUGAUGCACAACAAGCAUGAUGCAUGACCAAGCUACAUGAAGCUACUCAUGGCAAGAGAUGAUGCAAACAAGAACAACACAUCAAGGCAAGUUUAAAUGAGGCCGGAAACAACGUAUAACAAUUCCGGUAAGUCCUCAUAUGCAAUUUUCGAAAUAGGUCCAGAACUGAAUAAACCUUAUGUUCAAGUAGUUAAACAGCAAGUUAAGAUGCACCACUAUGAUCUACACGAAAUUCUAGUCAAGUUACAUAUAAAGUUCAUUAGAUUCGGAGCUACGGCCUAGAAGAUAUGAGCAAAACAAGUUAAACAUGACAUUGAUGCAAAAUGCAUACAAACAUCAAGCAAACACCUCAAAACAAGGAUGCAACAUGAUAAUAUGAAGCUACAUGCAAAAUCAAGCAAGUUUCAUAUAGAGCACACUCAAAACGGAGCAACGGUUCAACACCCACACACUAUACAAGUCAUAGCAACAAUCUGUCCAAAACAGCAACUAGGCAUCUUACAAGCAUCAAAACAACAUGCUACAGCACCCCAACAUAAUAACAAAAGGCAUGGGCAUGAAGUACACGUAAGGCAUAACAAAACAUGAACACUGAGCUAUCUCCAGAAACAACUAGAACAUGCUCAAAAACACAUGGAGAUAUUGCAAAUAAUAACAGUUUCAGACUUUAGCAGAAAUAACAUCAGGUUGCAAUGUUUAGAGCUAUCAAACAACAUGUUACAGGAACUUAUCAUGGCAAACAAAGGCAUGGCAUGAUUCUACUCAAAGCAUAUAUCAAUAGUCCCUUGCUGACCAUAAGCCAAAAAGGACUAGAGGAUAUGAUGGCACCCAUGUAAACAUAGCAAGUUUUAUUACAGAUUUAAACAUGGCAGGAACAACAAUAAGUAGGCAUGUUCGUGAGCUCGAAACACUCACUACAGAGCAAUACAUGGCAUGGCAAGGCAACCAAUAGUAAGAAGGCAUGUUUAUGAAGCUAAGCAUGGGAAGAGCAAGGUCAUAGCAUACACGGAUCAACUACAACGACCUCGUGAAAAUUGAAUCUCAUGCAAACAAUCUGUCAGGAAACAUUUUCAAGCAACUUUGGAACAAGAAAUGAACAUGUUCCGGCAGGCUAUAAUUGCAACCAAGAGCACGAAUGGAUAGAGCAAGACAUGUAUAUCAAAACAUGUUUAUAGAGCAUCUCCAUAUUAUGCAUAGAUUGAUUAGUGGAAGCAUGUUAACAUGGCAUCAAAAUGUAACAGAAUCUGUCAGGAAAACAGCAACAGCAACUACCCUACUUUACAAGCUCAAAGCACUCAGCACACAACUCACAAAAAUACAAGGUCAACACCUCUGGAAAGAUGGCAUGGCAUAGUCCAACAUUCAUGUAGAGCUCAACCUCAUAGGAUGCACACAUAAAUCAUGGCAAAAGUGAUAAAACAGCAAGUUAUAACAGUUUCAGCAGAUUAACAUCCUGAAUCACUCUUCCAACAGCAUUUCGGGCAUCAAGAUGAGCUCAAAUGAAAAUGAUGCAAUGGAAUGAAAUGAUGUACUCGUCGAGGCGAACAAUUUGACAUAUUAUACGCAUGAAACGGAGCUACGGAUGCAGAGAUGUGAUGCUAUGAAAAUGCAAGAAAAUAACUGAAAUCUGGGACUUCGAGGAUUUCGGGGGUCAACCUGCGGGUUGCACGGUUUACGAGGCGGCGGCACGAGCUCGCCGGAGGGUUCGCCGGAGGAGGCCGAGGGCGGCGGAUCUGGCCGAUCCUCGCCGGAUCUGGCGCCGGCGAGGGUGGGGCGACCGGAGAAGGCAUGGGCGGCGGCGCGGGCUCGGGAGCUCCUCUCCCUGGAGCUCGGCGCGGAGGUCGGCGGGGCGGCCGCGGCAUACGCCGGCGCGGAAGGCGGCGCGGCCCGGCGGAGGGCGGCGCGGGGCUUCGGUCGCCGGAGCGAGGAGCGGGGGCGGCGCGCUCGGGAGCUGGCGGAGUGCGGCGAUGGGGAGAGGCGCGGGGGCGCCNNNNNNNNNNNNNNNNNNNNNNNNNNNNNNNNNNNNNNNNNNNNNNNNNNNNNNNNNNNNNNNNNNNNNNNNNNNNNNNNNNNNNNNNNNNNNNNNNNNNNNNNNNNNNNNNNNNNNNNNNNNNNNNNNNNNNNNNNNNNNNNNNNNNNNNNNNNNNNNNNNNNNNNNNNNNNNNNNNNNNNNNNNNNNNNNNNNNNNNNNNNNNNNNNNNNNNNNNNNNNNNNNNNNNNNNNNNNNNNNGGGUGGAAGCGGCGGCGCCACAUGGCGGCGCGGGAGUGGGUGCGGGCGGCGGCGGAGCUGACGUGGCAAGCCCUGAUUGGGCGGAGUGAGGUGUCCGGCGGACGUGUCCGGCCGGGGCGGACAUGUCCCGCGGCGCGGAGAGGAGCGGGGCUAGGGUUUGAUCUGCGCGAAAAUGGAAGGGGAGGGCCUUUAAAUAGGUAGAGGGAGCUAGGAGAGUCCAAAUGAGGUGCGGUUUUCGGCCACGCGAUCGUGAUCGAACGACCGAGAACAUGGAGGGGAGCUAGAUGGGUUUUGGGCCACUUUGGAAGGGGUGUUGGGCUGCAACAAAAGAGGCUUUCACGGUUACCCGGUUAACCGUUGGAGUACCAAACGACCUCCAAAUGGCACGAAACUUGACAGGCGGUCUACCGGUGCUAUACCAUGGCUGCUUGGCAAACCUCGAGCCAUUCUGAGAAAGUUUAAUACCCGCUCACAACAGGAGAGAAGAAGGGGACGCCGGAUGACAUAGGUGUGCCGGAUUGCAAAACGGACAACGGGGAAAAGGCUCGGAUGCAUGAGACGAACACGUAUGCAAAAUGAAAUGCACAUGAUGACAUGAUAUGAAAUGCAGAUGAUGACAUGGCAAACUGCAACACGCAAGCAAAUGACAUGGCAACGACGGUGAAUAACUGGCGAACACCUGGCGCAAUGAAUCCGGGGCGUUACAAUACUCCACCACUACGAGAGGAUCUCGUCCCGAGAUCUAGGAUGGCACCGGAGGGAAAAAACGGAAGAGGAAUAGAAGAGGUAAACUAAGUUGCUUCUUUGACGAACGAGUGAAACCAACAAACCUUGAGAGGUCGAACAAAAUGAAAGAAAGAAAACAACGAAGAUGAACAAAGUUGAAAGCACUCUGUUAGAAGAGGAACAUGGGAUACGACGAGAACCAAGAGGUUUAGUGACAAGAUAGAUAUUGAAACCACUCCGGUUAAAACUAGAUAGAGAAGGAGUAAGAAUGAUAUAAUUUGGGCAGCACUCCGACUGAAAGAAGAAGGAAAACUAGAUAGGAUGAGAUGAUAUUGAUGAGAUGAAAAGAUAAUGAAUGAGAACACCACACUGCGGUUAAAUGGAUAAGCAAGAAAAGAACAUGACCUCACAAUUCGACAUGAUGAGUGAAGAGAGCAAACGUAAUGCCUUCAGAAGAAAGAAUAGAAGGUAAAUCAUUGGAACAAAAGAAUGGAGAAGAAAAUGCCAACUUCUGCCACAAUUGAGCUUGGAAAUCAUCCUUGCAAAGGAGAAUCGAACGGAGAUGUUGGAAAAACAACAACGAGAAGCACAAGCUUGUUGUGGGCUUAUGGCAAACAUCUCAAGACUAUGAGGUGACAACCGGCCACUAAUGCAAACCAUUGAUUGCUUGAGAUCAACGAAGAGAUGCAAAACUGCUUUCGCCGAGAUGAUAGAGAGACAACUUGGAUCAUAGAUAAACACCACAAAUAGCAACAUUCCUUAGGAAAGGCUUUGGGUGAAAUCUUUACCAAGAUAACUCCAAAGAAGAGAUUGAUGGAUUUAAAAUACCUCACUUUUGACAAUAAUAUGAAUCAUGAAACAUGAAGGAAAUUGUCAAGAGUGACAUAACACCACCUCAAAAGAUAAGGUAGAAAGAAUUGCACUUUGGAAUGCAAGAAGAAGAAUACUUGAGCUCCUCAAAACAAAACAUGUGUUGAACACCAUGUUUAUUUUAGAGUAUAGCUUGGCAGAUCAUAACUUCAAGAGAAAUCUUGAAGAACAAUUGAAGAAUGAAAAGAAUCCUUGACGAACCAUCAUGUAGAACCUCCAUGAAGAACUCCGGUAAACAAAAGGAAUGAAAAGAAAGAGAAAUUGAAAAACACAAGGUGAAUCCUUGCAAUGAUUUAGAUGGAUCUCCGUGAUAAUUAGAGCUUGGAACUCCGGGAAAAAGAGAAGAUGAAACAAAUGAAACCGAGAAUUUUAAGGGCCUCCGGAAUAAAGAAUUAAUCACUUGGAUGAACAAGAACAAGAAUUAUGUUAUGCUUAUCCUUCACCAAUUAAAUUGAUGAGAAUCAACGGAUUUGGCAUACUACUUAUUCUCGUAGAAAGGAUUAAAAGAGAUAUAUCAAAACUUCAGAAGGUCUUCAACGAACCACCGGUAGGAUUGGAACAACAAAUGAAUAUUUGAUAUGGUAACGAAGGAAGUGAAAAUCUUGAAUGAACCACCGUAAGAAUUGAAAAAGAGAGUAGCAAAGGCACAAUUCACCGGAAGAAUUGGAGAACGAAUGAAGAUACUUGAGGGGAUUUAGAUACAUGAGAACGAAGAGAUCAUGAACUGAUUAGAGGGUAUUAGAAUGAUGCACUGGAAGAAUUCAAGAACGAGAGCUGAAAACUGAGAAUGAAGAAUUAUGACAUGAUGGCCUUCGGAGGAAAGAAAUGGAAACAACUCAAGAAAUCCUCCGAAUGGUAAGAAAAGAAUUCUCACAAUCAAAACAAUUAUGAGGAUAGCAUGAAGCUAGAACCAUGAAUAUUCAAGAGAAUGGACCAAGAUUUAAGAGGAACUCUUCUUCGGUCUUCAAAUGAUGAGAAUGACAAUGAGAAACACCACCAAGAAUUAUUGAGGCACACCGGAAGAAUCAAAAGCGAAGAGGUUGAGCCAACUAUGAAAAGAAUUUGAAAGAUCUUGGAGAAAAGCAUGUGACUGAUGAAAAUUCAUUCUUACGUCAAACUUGGAGAAGAAUUUAGGAUAGCUCUGGGAAAAUAGAAGAGUCAGGUAAGAUCCUGGAAAAAGACCUGUGGGUUAGGGCCCACUCAAAAGAACACCGUUGAAAAGAUUUAAAAGAGAUGUUGCACCGGUUGAAUUAAAUGACUUGAAUGGGAUACCAAUCUCGAAAGAGCUUGAAUGAAUGCAGAGUGGAAACACGAAUCUUCGAGAUAUCUUGAGCACUCCGGAAUAACAAAUAGCGAGAAGUAGAAUGAUAAUGAGGUGCACCGGAAUGAGAAGACAUUGAAACGAGGAAAGGGAUAUGAUGAAUAUCAAAAGCUUGAAUUGGAUCCACCAGAGAAGAAUACGAGAAUGAAGAAUGAUGAAUUUGAAGCUCGUGAGCAUCUUCAUGGGAAAUCACCGGAUAAGAAUAUUGAUUGAAAAGAGUGAAGUGACUUCACAUGAAUAAAUGGAUACUUGAUUAAGAAAUCUGUGUCCUUGAAGAAAAAGGGUGGGUGGGCGGGAAAACAAAGACAACCUGGGAUGGAUGAAACAAACACCGUUGAGAAAAACUUAGAAUUGAUCUUGCGGAUGGGGAGAAUGAUCGGAUCCACUUGAAGAGAAACACGCCGGUUGAAAAGGAUUGACAUGACAAUCUCGAUUGUCGAGAAGGAUUGGUAUUCACAUCGGAGUAUGAGAACACCAUUUAGGAAAGGUAUGGAAUCCACACUUGACAACGAAGCAACUCGAAUACCACAAUAAAACAAAACAAAGGAUUGGCUUGCAGAAUAAGCCGGAACAAACAUAUGAUAGAGAUUUCGUCCAAAGUUUUCGUGGUGGGGCCUACAUGGGCUCAAUCGUACAACACCAUCAUGUACAAGGCAGUGCACAUGACAUACGAAGCGUCCCCGAGUCGGCAUAGCCAAGGACUCUUUAAGACACAACGAUACCACUGUAAAACCAACCGUGAAUAGGCAGACCACUAGAUGUCGAACCCCAAUUUCAUAUCAUACAUCCGUCGGAAAGAUAUCCUAAGAGCUACUUGAAUUCCCACCUAUGAAACUCCCGAAAUUUUCCGGUUAUGCAAUCAGGUGUUGGGGAUACAGGGGAGCAAUAUAUAUCUCACACAAACUAACAAUCCCUACAUCCAGCUGUAUCCAUCCGUCAACACAUAACCAAGAAACCUUCGGAAAUCGUGUACCUCAACCUUCAAAAAGCAUCCGUUAUACGAGUCAUGGCAAUACUCCCGUACUCACCUCAGUACUGGGUUAGCGGGGUUAUCUCACCAACAACUGCAUAAAAGAGAUUUUCGAUGUCGGCGUACUAAACUCAGGUAUUCCAGAACUGCAACGAUAAAAUUAUGACGACAACACCUCAGAGCUCAACUGCCCGGGACACUGCCACAACCCCUAAAUGUCAGGAGGCACCAAGAACAAUGUUCUCGUCAUAAGAAUAUCGGAUCGAUUCCAAGAUACCCGCGUGAUCCUAAAAAUUUUUUUAGUGAAAUUUGAGAAGAGAAGAGUCAAAACUCUACGUCAGGAUACCUCACCAGAGCGAUGAAGGGACUGAGGAGUAAAAAGAAUUCCUAACUCUCCGAUAUAUAUAAUCCUAAAUGACUCAAAACAUUUUUCUAGACACAACUCGGCCGCUAAAAGCGAUCAAGCAGUGGGGCUCCUAAGGUCGGGGAAGGCUCUGAUUACCAACUUAUAACGCCCUCGAUGCGGCUAUAUCUUCCACGUGUCGAAGCACGACUUAGAGGCAUAACCGCAUUGAAAGCAAUGUCGCAAGUGAGGUAAUCUUCACACAACCCAAGUAAUACAUAAGGGAAAGAGAUACAUAGUUGGCUUACAAUCGCCACUUCACACAAUUACAUGAAUAAAGCAUUACAUCAUCCAGAUACAAUCAAGGUCCGACUACGGAACCAAAAUGAAAGAAGAACCCAAAAUGCGACAAAGGUCCCCGAUCGACCCCAACUGGGCUCCACUACUGAUCAACUAGAACGAAACAACACAAAGGGCAAGAUCUUCAUCGAGCUCCUCCUUGAGCUUGAAUGCGUCACCUGCUCGGUAACAUAGGCACCUGCAAACUGGUUUUUGGAAGUAACUGGUGAGCCACAAGGACUCAGCAAUCCCAUUACCAUGGGUAUCAAGACUAGCAAAGCUUAAUGGGAAAGGAAGGGGUAAAGUGGUGAGGUUGCAACAGCGACUAAGCAUGAUAUGGUGGCUAACCAACGCAAAUAAGAGCGAGAAGAGAACAAGCGGAACGGCCGUGAAGCUAGCAAUGAUCAAGAGGUGAUCCUGAACACCUACUUACGUCAAACAUAACACAGAAACCGUGUUCACUUCCCGGACUCCGCCGAGAAGAGACCAUCACGGCUACACACUCGGUUGAUGCGUUUUAAUUCGGAUCAAGUGUCAAGUUAUCUACAACCGGACAUUAACAAAUUCCCAUCUGCCACAUAACCGCGGGCACGGCUCUCGAAAGUUUAUACCCUGCAGGGGUGUCCCAACUUAGCCCAUGACAAGCUCUCGCGAUCAUCGAAGGAAUAGACCUUCACCCGAGACACUCCGAUCAGACUCGGUAUCCCGGUACAUCAAGACAUUUCGACAAUGGUAAAACAAGACCAGCAAAGCCGCCCGAUGCACCGACAAUCCCGAUAGGAGCUGCACAUAUCUCGUUCUCAGGGCAACACCGGAUAGGUCAGCCUACGAGUAAAACCAGCCCUCGAGUUGCCCCGAGGUGGCCCCGCAGUCUGCCCGGUUCGGACCAACACUUAGACAAGCACUGGCCCGGGGGGGGGGGCUAAAUAAAGAUGACCCUUGGGUUAAUUACUCCCAAGGGAAAAGUAGGUGGUGGUGAGGCAAAUGGUAAAAGGCAAUGUUGGGCCUUGCUGGACAAGUUUUAUUCAAAGCGAACUGUCGGGGGGGUCCCAUAAAUCACCCGACCGCGUUAGGGACGCAAAAUCCGGGAACAUAACACCGGUAUGACGGAAACUAGGGCGGCAAGAGUGGAACAAAACACCAGGCAUAAGGCCGAGCCUUCCACCCUUUACCAAGUAUAUAGAUGCAUUAAUAAUAUAAGAGAUAUUGUGAUAUCCCAACAUAAACCCUGUCCACCAUGGAGAAAUCUUCAACUUCACCUGCAACUAGCAACGCUAUAAGAGGGGCUGAGCAAAGCGGGAACAUAGCCAAACAAUGGUUUGCUAGGAAUGGUGUCAAAGGUUAGAGGUUCAUGGCAAUAUGGGAUGGCUUGAUAAACAGGUAAUAGGUAGCGCAGCAUAGCGAUAGAACGAAGCAACUAGCAUAGCAAUGAUAGUAGUGAGAUCCAGGGUAGCGGUCAUCUUGCCUGAAAUCCUGCAAGGAAGAAGAACGAGUCCAUGAAGAAGAUGAACGGAUGAAGCCGAACCAAACGUAGACGAACGAAUCCUCACGAACGCAACGAAACAGGAACUAACAAGAAGAAGCACACAACAUAGGUAAACACCCCACACAAGAACAAGACAUGAUGCACAACAAGCAUGAUGCAUGACCAAGCUACAUGAAGCUACUCAUGGCAAGAGAUCAUGCAAACAAGAACAACACAUCAAGGCAAGUUUAAAUGAGGCCGGAAACAACGUAUAACAAUUCCGGUAAGUCCUCAUAUGCAAUUUUCGAAAUAGGUCCAGAACUGAAUAAAACUUAUGUUCAAGUAGUUAAACAGCAAGUUAAGAUGCACCACGAUGAUCUACACGAAAUUCUAGUCAAGUUACAUAUAAAGUUCAUUAGAUUCGGAGCUACGGCCUAGAAGAUAUGAGCAAAACAAGUUAAACAUGACAUUGAUGCAAAAUGCAUACAAACAUCAAGCAAACACCUCAAAACAAGGAUGCAACAUGAUAAUAUGAAGCUACAUGCAAAAUCAAGCAAGUUUCAUAUAGAGCACACUCAAAACGGAGCAACGGUUCAACACCCACACACUAUACAAGUCAUAGCAACAAUCUGUCCAAAACAGCAACUAGGCAUCUUACAAGCAUCAAAACAACAUGCUACAACACCCCAACAUAAUAACAAAAGGCAUGGGCAUGAAGUAAACGUAAGGCAUAAAAAACAUGAACACUGAGCUAUCUCCAGAAACAACUAGAACAUGCUCAAAAACACAUGGAGAUAUUGCAAAUAAUAACAGUUUCAGACUUUAGCAGAAAUAACAUCAGGUUGCAAUGUUUAGAGCUAUCAAACAACAUGUUACAGGAACUUAUCAUGGCAAACAAAGGCAUGGCAUGAUUCUACUCAAAGCAUAUAUCAAUAGUCCCUUACUGACCAUAAGCCAAAAAGGACUAGAGGAUAUGAUCGCACCCAUGUAAACAUAGCAAGUUUUAUUACAGAUUUAAACAUGGCAGGAACAACAAUAAGUAGGCAUGUUCGUGAGCUCGAAACACUCACUACAGAGCAAUACAUGGCAUGGCAAGGCAACCAAUAGUAAUAAGGCAUGUUUAUGAAGCUAAGCAUGGCAAGAGCAAGGUCAUAGCAUACACGGAUCAACUACAACGACCUCGUGAAAAUUGAAUCUCAUGCAAACAAUCUGUCAGGAAACAUUUUCUAGCAAAUUUGAAACAAGAAAUGAACAUGUUCCCGCAGGCUAUAAUUGCAACCAAGAGCAUGAAUGGAUAGAGCAAGACAUGUAUAUCAAAACAUGUUUAUAGAGCAUCUCCAGAUUAUGCAUAGAUUGAUUAGUGGAAGCAUGUUAACAUGGCAUCAAAAUGUAACAGAAUCUGUCAGGAAAACAGCAACAGCAACUACCCUACUUUACAAGCUCAAAGCACUCAGCACACAACUCACAAAAAUACAAGGUCAACACCUAUGGAAAGAUGGCAUGGCAUAGUCCAACAUUCAUGUAGAGCUCAACCUCAUAGGAUGCACACAUAAAUCAUGGCAAAAAUGAUAAAACAGCAAUUUAUAACAGUUUCAGCAGAUUAACAUCCUGAAGCACUCUUCCAACAGCAUUUCGGGCAUCACGAUGAGCUCAAAUGAAAAUGAUGCAAUGGAACGAAAUGAUGUACUCGUCGAGACGAACAAUUUGACAUAUUAUACGCACGAAACGGAGCUACGGAUACAGAGAUGUGAUGCUAUGAAAAUGCAAGAAAAUAACUAAAAUCUGGGACUUAGAGGAUUUCGGGGGUCAACCUGCGGGUUGCACGGUUUACGAGGCGGCGGCACGAGCUCGCCGGAGGGUUCGCCGGAGGAGGCCGAGGGCGGCGGAUCUGGCCGGAUCCUCGCCGAAUCUGGCGCCGGCGAGGGUGGGGCGACCGGAGAAGGCAAGGGCGGCGGCGCGGGCUCGGGAGCUCCUCUCCCUGGAGCUCGGCGCGGAGGUCGGCGGGGCGGCCGCGGCAUACACCGGCGCGGAAGGCGGCGCGGNNNNNNNNNNNNNNNNNNNNNNNNNNNNNNNNNNNNNNNNNNNNNNNNNNNNNNNNNNNNNNNNNNNNNNNNNNNNNNNNNNNNNNNNNNNNNNNNNNNNNNNNNNNNNNNNNNNNNNNNNNNNNNNNNNNNNNNNNNNNNNNNNNNNNNNNNNNNNNNNNNNNNNNNNNNNNNNNNNNNNNNNNNNNNNNNNNNNNNNNNNNNNNNNNNNNNNNNNNNNNNNNNNNNNNNNNNNNNNNNNNNNNNNNNNNNNNNNNNNNNNNNNNNNNNNNNNNNNNNNNNNNNNNNNNNNNNNNNNNNNNNNNNNNNNNNNNNNNNNNNNNNNNNNNNNNNNNNNNNNNNNNNNNNNNNNNNNNNNNNNNNNNNNNNNNNNNNNNNNNNGGAGGCGGCGGCGCCACGUGGCGGCGCGGGAGUGGGUGUGGGCGGCGGCGGAGCUGACGUGGCAAGCCCUGAUUGGGCGGAGUGAGGUGUCCGGCGGACGUGUCCGGCAGGGGCGGACAUGUCCGGCGGCGCGGAGAGGAGCGGGGCUAGGGUUUGAUCUGCGCGAAAAUGGAAGGGGAGGGCCUUUAAAUAGGUAGAGGGAGCUAGGAGAGUCCAAAUGAGGUGCGGUUUUCGGCCACGCGAUCGUGAUCGAACGACCGAGAACAUGGAGGGGAGUUAGAUGGGUUUUGGGCCACUUUGGAAGGGGUGUUGGGCUGCAACAAAAGAGGCUUUCACGGUUACCCGGUUAACCGUUGGAGUACCAAACGACCACCAAAUGGCACGAAACUUGACAGGCGGUCUACCGGUGCUAUACCAAGGCCGCUUGGCAAACCUCGGGCCAUUCUGAGAAAGUUUAAUACCCGCUCACAACAGGAGAGAAGAAGGGGAUGUCGGAUGACAUAGGUGUGCCGGAUUGCAAAACGGACAACGGGGAAAAGGCUCGGAUGCAUGAGACGAACACGUAUGCAAAAUGAAAUGCACAUGAUGACAUGAUAUGAAAUGCAGAUGAUGACAUGGCAAACUACAACACGCAAGCAAAUGACAUGGCAACGACGGCGAAUAACUGGCGGACACCUGGCGCAACGAAUCCGGGGCGUUACAUUGACAUUGAAGGUCUUUAGCCACAAGCCGAAGUGGGGCUGGAUGCAGAGGAAGGCCUCACACACGACGAUAAACGCCGAGAUAUUGAGGAUGAAAUUUGGGGCCAGAUCGUGGAAAUCCAGGCCAUAGUAGAACAUGAGCCACCGGACAAAGGGGUGGAGUGGGAAGCCCAGUCCGCGGAGGAAAUGGGGAAGGAAUACCACCCUCUCAUGGGGCCUGGGGGUGGGGAUGAGCUGCCCCUCGUCGGGCAGCCGAUGCGCAAUGUCGCUGGACAGAUAUCCGGCGCUGCGUGGCUUCUCAAUGUGCCCCUCCGUAACAGAGGAGGCCAUCCACUUGCCUCCCGCUCCGGACAUGGCUGGAGAAGGUCGAGGUGAGAUGUGCGGACUUGGGCGCUGGAGCUCGAGUGCACGGAGAUGGAUAAGCAAAGGAGGAAGAAGGUGUAGGUAAAAAAGGUGGAUCCUUAUCCCCUUAUAUAUGGGCGGAUGAAGCUAUGCGUCCCUACUAGCCUGGUAAAACUCACUUAUCUCCCAAGCGCCACAAUCAAUGGCACGGUUGGGUUACCCACGUCCGUACUGAUGGGAAUCCCGGAAUAAGGGGAACACAAUCUUUGCUUCGACAAGACGUGCCAAGGAAACCGCUUCGCUAAACGCGCUGAGGUGGUAUAAUAAAAACGAUUCGAGUAAAAGCUUGGUUGUGGUGUGACGUCAUGCCAUGAAAUACGUCAGCAAAUUGAACUUGUGUAAAUAUUAUUCUCUCUACGGUGGUACGUGGAAUUUAUUUUACAGAGCCGGACACUAUCCUGGUGUUCACAAUCUUCUAUGAAUUAUUCGGAGGAGGAACCCACCUUGCAAUGCCGAAGACAAUAUGCGCGCCGGACUCAUCGUCAUUGAAGCCUGGUUCAGGGGCUACUGAGGGAGUCCUGGACUAGGGGGUGUCCGGAUAGCCGAACUAUCAUUAUCGGCCGGACUCCAAGACUAUGAAGAUACAAGAUUGAAGACUUCGUCCCGUGUCCGGAUGGGACUUUCCUUGGCGUGGAAGGCAAGCUUGGCGAUACGGAUAUGUAGAUCUCCUACCAUUGUAACUGACUCUGUGUAACCCUAGCCCUCUCUGGUGUCUAUAUAAACCGGAGGGUUUUAGUCCUUAGGACACAACAACAACAAUCAUACCAUAGGCUAGCUUCUAGGGUUUAGCCUCCUUGAUCUCGUGGUAGAUCCACUCUUGUACUACCCAUAUCAUCAAUAUCGAUCAAGCAGGGGUAGGGUUUUACCUCCAUCGAGAGGGCCCGAACCUGGGUAAAAACAUCGUGUCCCUUGUCUCCUGUUACCAUCCGCCUAGACGCACAGUUCGGGACCCCCUACCCGAGAUCCGCCAGUUUUGACACCGACAAUUUCCUUACAAGAAAAUUGCAUCAAUUCACGUCCAAAAUCCUAGUCAAAUUCGGACUGGUUUUAUCCGAACUUUCCAAAACUAUUCGGUUUAAACUGACUGUAUCUUACUGGUCCUUUUUGUGAUGGCAAACAACCUCAGAUUGAAACGAGUCAAAAAGCAAUUUUGACCGUUUCGACGAGACGAACAUCUUUCAUGUUGAAUGUUUUUUCAUUAGAGGUCAUCCCAAGGGUCAAAUCGCUCGUGCAAAACAGCACAUUAUUCACGCAUCUCAUCAGACACACCCACAUAUGUGUCUGGUUCCGGGCGUCAUAUUUUGCUCGCUGGAGGGUCUCAUUGUGCGGGCUCUAACUUUUGCAUACGACCUCGGAUUGCGACGAUAUUUAUAUCAAAAUCGAUCAUUUGACGAGACAAAGACAAUUUGUGUAGAUAAUUCUUCCGUACGAGGCCGUCUUGGGGGCUUAAUCACCCGAACAGUGUUCUGAAUACAAAAUCCAGUACUUUGAGCACAACUUCGGCCUUAGAGAUGAGGUCGGAUGGCUAUGACUUAAACAUCAAAGUUGUUCCUCUCGGCGAUGUGAAACUUUCCAUGCUUAUGUCAUGCCAAAAUCUGGUGUCAACACAUGCCCCUCUGUUUUUCGGCAAAGCUUGCACGUCGAGAAAUAAUAUGCACGGUGUUUGUUCUAAGGACGAUGUCAACACUCCAUCGGCCAUUUAUUUUUCUUAGGGCGAUAAUUAUGUAUCGGCCAUUGCCUAUUUAGGCUUCUUGCCACCCACUCGGGUGGUAUUUCUUCAAGUACUUUCCAUUGAGAGCUCGAGGUAACAAUGCCCCUUGUACAGAUUGCACCAAAUAUGAGUUUUUGGGAACUAUUCUUGUAAUCCUAAAAGGACCUUCCCAACUUGGAGACCACUUCCCGAAUUUUUAAUCUCUUGAACCAAUCGGCAGAAUCACUUUCCAGACGAGAUCACCAACUUGAAAAUUAUUCAACUUUAACUUUCUUAUUGUAAGCUCUUGCUACCCUCAACUUGUCUCUCUCUAUGGCCCUCAAAGCAGCCAAAUGUUUAUCGGCAACUUCGUCAAUGUUGUCCAUCAUUAAGUUAUAAAAGUCUACUGCCGAUAAAUCAUUUUGCUUGGCAAUUCUCAAAGCAUUCAAAUUUAGUUCCACCGGUAAAAUAGCCUCUUGACCAUAUACUAGCUCAUAUGGAGUCACCUUCGUAGCACCAUGCCUUGAGAUCCUAUGUGCCCACAAAGCCUUAGACAACAACUCAUGCCAUCUCCUUGGAUUAUCCUCAAUCUUCUUCUUGAUGAGUUUGAUUAAAAUUUUAUUGCUAGACUCAGCUUGUCCAUUGGCUUGGGCAUAAUAUGGAGAGGAAUUGAGCAACUUUAGGUUGUAAGAUUCGGCAAAUUCUCUGACUUGGUGUGACAUAAAAGAUGAGCCUUGAUCUGUAGUCAACGUUUGAGGAAUGCCGAAUCUAUGAAUAAUGUGCUCGGUUAUGAAUUUAAUUACCUCCGCAUGUGUCAUGUUCUUGAGAGGUACUGCUUCAGACCAUUUAGUGAAAUAAUCGGUUGCCACCAAUACGAACCGAUGCCCCUUUGCGGAAGACGGAUGAAUUUGUCCAAUAAAGUCUAAACCCCAUCCUCUGAAAGUCCACGGCUUGAUAAUGGGAUGUAACAUAGCAGCAGGAGCCAACUGAAUAUCACCAAAUUUUUUACAAGCUUCACACCCUUUGUAAUAUCUGAAGCAAUCAUUAAUCAUAGUCGGCCAAUAAAAUCUAGUACGUCGUAGCAACCAUUUCAUCUUGGGAGCCGACUGUUGAGUGCCACAAAUACCUUCAUGGACCUCCCCCAUAGCAACUCUCGCUUGGUCUUCGUCCAAGCACUUUAGAAGAGUAUCAUCAACCGUUCGGUGAUAGAGACCAUCAUCUCUCAUUGUGUAUUUAAAAGCCAUACACCAAACAUCCCUGUCCACCCUUCUACUAGGAUCACACAAAUAAUCAACAAUGGGUUUCCUCUAGUCUUGAUUUCCUCCUCCAUUGAAUAUUUCAUUGGUGGCCGAAACGGUGGGCUCCGGUUCGGCCUCCCCUAUGUUGGCAAGACUAGACAUCGGCUUUCCAGAAAUAAUAAACAUGCCACGAUCAACAUGAUAGCCGGAUGCUUGCUGUGCCAACUCAUUUGCUUUCCAAUUGUCAUGUCUAGAUAUAUGAGCAAUGCUAAAAUAAUCCAAAGUAGAAAUUAUAUCUAGACAUUUAUCAAGAUAAACAUUAAGUGAUUCGUCAAAGCAUUGAAAGACUUUGGAUAUUUGUUGAACUACUAAUAACGAAUCACCAUAAGCCUCAAUAUGUACAGCACCUAUGGCGACAAAAAUCUCCAAACCGAAUAAAAUUUUAUAUUCGGCUUUGAUCACUGUGCAAAAAUAUUUUAAGUGGUAUGAGGCUUGUUUUGGUCUCCUAUUGAACUAAGGACGAUGUUAGGAUACUACACCGGCCAUGCAUUGGCAUAAUCUUAGGACGAUAGAUAAAUAUCGACCAUUACCAUCUAAACUUUAAUCAAAGCACAUAUAGCUGAAAUAAACAAAUGAAAUGACAAAUCAAGUAUUCGGCCCUUUGGAUCAGCAACAAACUUGUAGCUAGUCAAACGUAUAGUGAUUUGGUAAUACCCUUUCAUGAUGUAAGAAAUUAUAUUGCAUCCAUGGAUUAAAAUAAGCCCAUUGAGGGUUACCAAUCAUACCUGAUGACGAAUUCCAUGGCAUAGGCGUUAAUGGCAUAGUCCUUCAUAGUUUUCACUAUUUUCCUUCUUCACCUUUGCCGCACUCCUUGUAAUGGAAACUUGCACAUAAUUCUUAUUUUGAGUUCUUCCUUUGGGAACCCAUGCCAUGUUCCUUUCCUCGAGUUCUUGUGCACUAAGCUUUUGUAACUCCUCCUUUUGCCAAUACGAUAAGCCGAGUGAGCACCUCGACUGUGAUCUUGGUUCAACCAAUGGCAACUCUUUUUGGGCCUCGUGCACCCUCAACUUCUUUUCUUGAGAUUUGGCACUCUGAUUUUUAUCAAUUGAUUGCUUCACUUCUUUGCCUUUUGUAGCCAAUGUCAGCACUUUAAUUGGCUCUUUUUAAUUUGAGAUCAAAUCUGAAGUGGCACACUUACGACCAUCUCUUUUAACGUGGUAAACUUGCUUGACUACCUCUUUCUUCUUCCUUGAGCUCCGGACCGAUUCCUUAUGAUUGAAACGGUCUUUAACAUGUGAUUGUUCAAAUGUUGUUUUUCUAGGAGCUGCAUAAUAUUGGCGAGAUGGUCUAAAAUAAGAUGAAGAAUGUGCCCUUGUAUCAUACAUGUCCCAUGAUGAAUAUGGAUCUAUAUGAACAUAGGGAGGCAUCCACAGCAUUGGCAUUGGCAGCCAAAAAUAAGGAUAUGAAUAUGUUGCAUCUAAAUUAUCACUUUGCCAAUACCAAUCCUCAUAUUUGUGCCUUGGGGUGAUCUUGGUUUCUUUGCAUGAUUUGGCCGAUAAGUAUUCUUCUCUUCACUCUUCUUUUGAUAUUUAUCUAAUAGUUCAGCGAAGGUGAUUUUUGAUCUCUUACACCUGCGCUUAUUUCGGCCUUUGUUUUCUUUUGGUUUGCUUUCAUCUAUCAUUGGAUUUGCUUGCUGCCCCCCAGUCAGCUUCAAUGGAAUUUUUGCCCUCAAGAUUAUGUUCAUUAUGCUCUUCAACAACUUCUUUACUUGAAAGCUUGAUCCCAUCACUUGCAGCUUUUACAUUCUCUUUAAAUGGAUCGGCUUGAAGCCGCCGAUGCAAAAACUUUUUGCCAUCGGGACUAAUCGGAAUAGACUGGUCAUCUCUUGGUUUUUCAACAAACUUCAAUCAUCCUUUUUCAAUGGCCGAUUUAACUAUUUGACGAAACAUGUUGCAAUCCUCAAAAUUAUGCUUGGACGAAUUAUGCAACUUACAAUACAUUCAUCCUUGGAUUGAUGGCUUAACAUGGUGAUCAAGAAUUGUAAUGUAAUUAUUUUUCAGCAACAAAUCAAAUAUUUGGUCACACAUGCUUGAAUUGAAGGUAAACUUCUUGCUUUCUAGCCGAUCUUGCUGUGUGAACGGCUUUGAAGAUAAGCAAACAAAUGGUUCAGAUUUGGAAUCUUCCCAUUCGGCUAUACAUUGUGUUUUCCACUCUAUCUCCGGUGUCUUUGCAUAAGAUAUAAUAUUAGCAUCGGAUUUCUUAAAAGAAUUUAACCUUGGCUUUAUAUUUCUGAAAAUGAAAAUAGCUAGAACACAUAUGUCUCAAGUGUAAGCCAAGUAAGAAAUAAGCGAAGCUACCCAACUAGAUAUGAACUUUAGAGAAAGCAAUGGGAAAAGCUUUGGCUAUAACAAUAAGUCAUUAUCGGUCUUUAUAAAUGGCGCAAUGGGUUGACCGAUAUGUUCCAUAACAAUUUUAUUGCUAACAAGUAAAUUACCCUUAUUCAUUGGUCUUUCAAAAUUACUUAUGAGAAUAUUUCUUAUAGAUGCAUCAAUAAUGAAGUUGCGACCAAAUCUGAAAAUAGGUAAAUUACUCGCUAUGCAUACCUCUUCAAAUAUGUUGGUAGAGCAUGAUAGUGGUUCCAUUUGAAGAACAUCUUGCUCCGUCUUUGGAUGGCUCCCCAACACCUUGUCAUCAUCUUUUUCUUGAAUCCGUGCAUCAUUGCUUUGAAGAUUUUUUUUCGGCCGAACUUUGUUCGGCUACUUGUUCUUGUCCUUGAAGCUUGUCAAUUUCUACGGCACGGAACUCAUAGGGAAGGAAGAAGGUUUUCCUAUGCUUGCCAUGCCCUUUCUCAAUAAUGCUUUCCUCGUUGGAUUUGAUGGAUUUAGAAUAUAUACUACUUGAUUCGGCUUUUUCAACCGAAGCAUUUUCAUGUUCCAAAUCAUCCUUCUUUUCAUUGAUACUAUCAAUUGGCAAUGCUUCUUUUAUCUGAGCCAAUUCUUUUACUAUUUGUUUCUGACGGCGAGCGGCAAAAUUAGCUUUAAGCUUUUUCUCAAUUUCAGCCCACUCCGGAUAUGAUUGCCCCCCCCCCCAAUGAUUUUAGAUUCUUUCGGCAAUGACACAUGGGUGUUGCCGAAAUUUUGCAAUUGUGUAGGGGGUGUAUAAUAUGAUGUAGUACUAGGUGAAGGCAUAUGCAUUGUUGUAAGACCAUACUUUUGCUCGCCAAUUUUAUCAAUUGGCAAAGAUUCAUCUUCUUGCAAAACUCUAGCUUUUAUUGCGGCAUAAUCAGGAAAUAGCCCCUUUUCAUGUUGUUCAAGGCAAAGAGCACUAAUUCUCUUAUUUUGGGCUAAACUCUUCAAUGCAGCCACCACUACCUCAUCUUCUACAAUGUUGGGCACAACCGCUCCUGUAAAAUUUACAUUCAUUCGGCUAUAACCAGGAAGGUGUGAAGCCGAAUUAUGAGCAUCUACAGUUGUGUAUGGUGCCGAAGAAUUAGUAACAUGAGGUGUAGCAUAUGACGGUUGAGAGUAACUGGCUGAAUAGACACUAGUAGCAUGGCCAAUUCUCUCAUUCAUCGCCAUGGUUGGAUUACUAUAUUGCACAUUAGCUGCCGAUGAACAAAAGGGUGAAACACUUUCUUGUAUGGCAUUGGAAAUUCUAACUUGGGGUGUUUCAAAUUGAUUAAUCGAACUCAUCAUGUUGCUCAUCGGCAUAUGAAUUUGCUGGGUUGACGAUGCAUGUGAGUUGGGAUACAUAUGGUGCAUGUUACUAAUAUCAUAAGAAGUUGAAGUAUAUAAAUUACUUUGAAUCGGCCCUUGCACGUAGUUAGUUCCAUGAUUGAAAAAACUAGGGUUGGCCUAUAGAGUAUACUCAUUGAACGAUCUAGUAACACCAUAUGAAUUAUUUGCAUCUACAUAAAGGGAUUGGGUAUUCAUAUUACCUUUGUAGACUGCAAACCCUAGAUGACGAUCUCUUCGUAGCAAGAACGGGCCGGAGACCGUUCAAAGCUUCGUCCCCAGCAGAGUCGCCAAAAAGUGUGUUCGCACACGAACACGUCACCGUGUACCCUUGACACCGGGGGUGAUGCACCGUAGCUCACGUCGAAGGAGACCCGUCCGGAAGCGCGGUACGCAGGCAAUCCGACGGGUGCUUUUGAGAACCCGAUACCCCACACGCCCGGGAGGGACCCCGUCAGGGCGCGCGGCGGCUAUGGUCUGCCCUAGGUCGACCUGAUCGCCCCUAGGGCCUCGAGGUUCGCCGCCCUGCAAAAGAAGAACAAACGAAGAACAAGGAAGAAGAAGAACUAUGGUUAAGGAGAAAAGAUAAAAGAUAAAAAGUAAAAGGUGGUAAAUGAUUUGUUCGAUUGUGUGUUGUUCAAUCGACCGUCACCCCUAACAUAUAUAAGAGGCGGUUGGACUUCCAGUACAAGAAAAGGAUUCAUCUAGGCUUUCCUUACAAGAAAAUUGCAUCAAUUCACGUCCAAAACCCUAGUCAAAAUCGGACUGGUUUUAUCCGAACUUUCCAAAACUGUUCGGUUUAGACUGACUAUGCCUUGCUGGUCCUUUUUGUGAUGGCACACAACCUCGGAUGAAAACGAGUCCGAAAGCAAUCUCGACCGUUUCAACGAGAUGAACAACUUUUAUGUUGAACGAUUUUUCAUUAGAGGUCAUCCCGAGGGUCAAAUCGCUCGUGCAAAACAGCACAUUAUUCACGCAUCUCAUUAGACACACCCACAUAUGUGUCUGGUUCCGGGCGUCAUAUUUUGCUCGCUGGAGGGUCUCGUUGUGUGGGCUCUAACUUUUGCAUACGACCUCGGAUUGCGACGAUUUUUAUAUAAAAAUCGAUCGUUUCAACGAGACGAAGACAAUUAUUGUAGAUAAUGCUUCCAUACGAGGCCGUCUUGGGGUCUUAAUCAGCCGAACAGUGUUCUGAAUACAAAAUCCAGUACUUUGAGCACAACUUCGGCCUUAGAGAUGAGGUCGGAUGGCUAUGACUUAAACAUCAAAGUUGUUCCCCUCGGCGAUGUGAAAUUUCCAUGCUGAAAACCCUCUCACUCGAAGCCAUCUCAUUUUCUUUUUAUGUCAUGCCAAAAUCUGGUGUUAACAGUUGGGUUACCCAUGCCCGUAUUUAUGAGAAUCGCGCAAUAAGGGGACACGAUCUCUUAUUUGACAAUACGUGCCAAUGGAACUGCCUCUCGAAAUAUGGAUGUAACGCCCCAAAUCCGAUGCACCAGGUGUUUUCCAGAUAUUCGCCGUCGUUGCCAUGUCAUCUGCUUGCGUGUUACACUUUGCCAUGUCAUCAUCUCCAUUUCAUCUGCAUGUUUUUUAGAACUUGCAUCCAUCCGGAUCCCCCCAGUUCUCUCCGUUGUCCGUUCUGAGCCCAACCACACUCGCAUGCACCCGUCGCCCUUCUCAAACCUUGUUUCCUGAGCGGGAGAAAAAUGUUCUCGGAAUGGGCUGAGAUUUGCCGAGUGGCCUUGGUAUAUCACUGGUAGACCGCUUGUCAAAUUUCGUUCCAUUUGGAGGUCGUUUGAUGCCCCCAAUGGUUAACCGAGUUAACAGAAACCCCUCUCUCCUUGCAACCCAGCACCCCUUCACAACAGCCCACUAGCCCAUCUAACUCCCCUCCAUGCUCUCUGUCGUUCGAUCACGAUCGUGUGGGCAAAAACCGCACCUCAUUUGGCCACUCCUAUCUCUUCCUGCUUAUAAAAAACACCUCCCUCGUCCAAAUCUAAGAAGGAAAUCGCCUCUAACCCUAAUCCCCUCCUCCUUCCUCGGUUUCCGUGCCCACAAAACCCGCCGCCAGCACUUGUCGCUGCCAGAGGCACCCGCCCCUGCCGCCACGUCAUCGCUGCCGCCUCCCGCGCCAAACCCCGCCGGCCACGUCGCGCCCCUGGCCUCCCCCCGUAGCCGCCGACCCGCGGAGCCCGUCGUAGGCCCGCGCAGGCCUGGUCUGCCGCCACCGUGGCCCACGCACGCCCGCGCGAGCCCGCUCCUUGCCGCCCCGCGCUUGGCUCCCGCGCCGCCGCACUGGAGUNNNNNNNNNNNNNNNNNNNNNNNNNNNNNNNNNNNNNNNNNNNNNNNNNNNNNNNNNNNNNNNNNNNNNNNNNNNNNNNNNNNNNNNNNNNNNNNNNNNNNNNNNNNNNNNNNNNNNNNNNNNNNNNNNNNNNNNNNNNNNNNNNNNNNNNNNNNNNNNNNNNNNNNNNNNNNNNNNNNNNNNNNNNNNNNNNNNNNNNNNNNNNNNNNNNNNNNNNNNNNNNNNNNNNNNNNNNNNNNNNNNNNNNNNNNNNNNNNNNNGCCGCCUCCCUUCGCCCGCGCUCGGCCCCGCCGCCUUGAAGCGCCAUCCGGCACCGCCGCCCCCGCAACUCCUCGCCGGUGACCCGACGCGCCCUAGGCCGCCUCGCCCCGCCGCGCCGCCGCUCUGGGAUGUCCGAGCGCCGUCCUCCGCCUCUCCCCGUCACCCUCUGCCAUCCUCUGCCGCCGAGAUCAGGUGGAUCCGGCCUAGAUCCACCGGAUCCGGCCAUCUCCGACGCCGCAUCGGUCUUCUCCUUCGUACCCGGCGAGCUCGGUCGCUGCGUCGAUUUCCGUGCCCGGGUCAAACUUGGCUCCGGAGGUGAAAUUUUCUUCCAAGUCCCGAAAUUCCUAUCUCAUGUGCACCUCUUUGACUUGUCAUAACUUCGUGCAUAGUGCUCCGUUUUGCAUGUUUGAUAUGUCAAAAUGUUCAUCUCUGGAUGCUCUUCAUGAGUGGUUUGCAUGCAUGUUACUGUUAAUCUUGAUGCCUUAACCUUCAUUGCAACACUGCUAAGUGAUAUAAACUGUUGGAAUCUGAUGUCUGUUAACAUCAUGUGUGCAUCUUGUGAGUGUCAUAACUUUGUCUCUGUUGAUCCUAUAAUGAUGAUCUUGAUAUGCACAUCUUCUGAUCUUCAUUCUCUACAUGGUGGUCUGCUUUGCAUUCAUGCUAGGGUGCAUUGUGAUAUCUUAAUCUCUGUUGCAAUAGUGCAUGUUGCUGUUAACUGCUGAAAACUGCUGUAACUUGCCUAUUUGUCAUUUUUAUAUCUUUUUGUGUGAUUUUCUUUUGAGCAUCAUGUCUACAUGUUUUAGGAGCAUAAUCAUGCCAUAUUUACAGGGGUGCAAUGAACGUAUUUUGAUAUUCCCUUUAGUGAGCGCAUCAAGCUUAUGAAGUGGGCUACUUGAUGUUAAUGUGUUGUCAAGUCUGUUUCUGCCAUAUCAUGUUGCUAUGUUUGCAUGAUGCUACCAAUUAAUCCAUGCACAAUCUGGAGAUGCUUAGUUGACAUGUUUUGUUGCCCAUGUUAUGAUAUUUCAUGCCAUGCCUUUUUAUGCCUCAUAUAUGUCAUGUAGCAUAUGUUGUCAUUGCCAUGAACAUGCCUACAUGUUGUUCCAAUUUUCUGUUAACUUCAUUAUGGCAUGUUGUGAGCUUGUUAUUGAGUGAUCCAUGCCUCUUAUGGAGAUGCUCCAAUUACAUGUUUUUAAGUAUGCUAUGAGUACUUUGUUCACAUGCCAUAGUUAUUAAUUUUGAAUAUCAUAUGCUUCUGUUCCAUACUUGCAAAUAUCCUAUGAUAAUGUUGAUGUUUUAUACUUGCUGAAACUGUUCCAACAUUCAAUAUUGUCUUGUUGGUUCCUAAUGAUACAUGAACCAUAUGUAUAUGAUGCCAUAAUAUUAUUUGCUCUUUGUUUUGUUUACUUUGAUGAAAUACCCUUGGUUGCCAUGUUCAUUUGUUGUAGCUUGUCUCUUUCUUGCUCUCAUGUUGCCAUCAUUUUAACUCUGCUCAUGCAUAUGCUCCUGUGUUAUAAAGUUGCAUUUUGCAUUGCUCAUAUUGAUUUAAUAUUGAUGCCUAUGAGCCUGAACCCUAAUGAUAUUUGAAGUAUGUUAUCUGUACAUGAAGUGCAUGUCAUGUUUGUGCUCUUAUGAUUCCUGUAGCAUGUUGUUUUGAUGAUUGCAAAGUGCCUAGUUGCUGUUUUGGGCAGAUUGUUGUUGUAUCUUGUUUGGAGUGUAUGUGUUGCUCCGUUUUGAGCAUGCUCUAUAUUGAACUUGCUUAGAAUUGAAUGUAGUUUCAUCAUGUCAAAUUUAAUCCUUGUUUUGAGAGUGUUUUAUUGAUGUUUGAAUGCAUUUUGCAUCAAUGCCAUGUUUAACUUGUUUUGCUCAUAUCUUCUAGGUCGUAGCUCCGAACUAAAUGAACUUUAUAUGUAACUUGACUAGAUUUUCGUGUAGAUCAUCUUGGUGCAUCUUAAAUUUCUGUCUAACAACUUGAACAUAAAGUUUGUUUAGAUCUGGACCAAUUUCGAAAUUAGCAUAUGAGGACUUACCAGAUUUGUUAUAUGUUGUUUCCGGCCUCAUUUAAACUUGCUUUGGUCUUUGUUCUUGUAUGCAUCAUCUCUUGCCAUGAGUAGCAUCAUAUAGCCUUUGUCAUGCAUCAUACUUGAUUGAGCAUCAUGUCAUGUUAAUGUGUUGUGUGUUUACCAUGUUGUUUGCUGCUUUCCGGUUGUGCUUCUUCUCGAUAGUUCCUGUUUUGUUGUGAUCAUGAGGAUUCGUUCCAAUAUGCUUGGUUCGUCUUCGCCCAUUCAUCUUCUUCAUGGACUUGUUCUUCUCCUUGCAGGAUUUCAGGCAAGAUUACCGUUACCCUGGAUGUCACUACUGUCAUUGCUAUGCUAGUUGCUUCGUUCUAUCGCUAUGCUACGCUACCUAGCACUUGUUUAUCAAGCCUCCCAAAUUGCCAUGUCAGCCUCUAACCUUUUCACCCUUCCUAGCAAACCGUUGUUUGGCUAAGUUACCACUUCUGCUCAGCCCCUCUUAUAGCGUUGUUAGUUGCAGGUGAAGUUGAAGAUUGCUCCAUGUUGGAACAGGAUUAUUUUGGGAUAUCACGAUAUCUCUUAUUUAAUUAAUGCAUCUAUAUACUUGGUAAAGGGUGGAAGGCUCAGCCUUUUGCCUGGUGUUUUGUUCCACUCUUGCCGCCCUAGUUUCCGUCAUACCGGUGUUAUGUUCCUUGAUUUUGCAUUCCAUACGCGGUCGGGUUUAUGGGAACCCCUUGACAAAUCGCUUUGAAUAAAACUUCUCCAGCCAGGCCCAAUUUUGGUUUUCCAUUUGCCUAACAACCUAUAACCCUCCCUUGGGGUCUGCAGCCCCGAGGGUCAUCUUUAUUUUAACCCCCCCUAGGCCAGUGCUCCUCUGAGUGUUGGUCCGAACCGGGCAACCUACGGGGCCACCUCGGGGAAACUUGAGGUCUGGUUUUACUCGUAGCUUGACUUAUCCAGUGUGCCCUAAGAACGAGAUAUGUGCAGCUCCUAUCGGGAUUUGUUGGCACAUUCGAGCGGUCUUGCUGGUCUUGUUUUACCAUUGUUGAAAUGUCUUGUAACCGGGAUUCUGAGUCUGAUCGGGUCUUUUCGGGAGAAGGAAUAUCUGUUCGCACACGAACACGUCACCGUGUACCCUCGACGCCGGGGGUGGUGCACCGCAGCUCACGUCGAAGGAGACCCGCCGGAAGCGCGGUACGCAAGACAAUCCGGCGGGCGCUUUUGAAGACCCGAAACCCCACACACCCGGGAGGGACCCCGUCAGGGCACGCGGCGGCUAUGGGCUGUCCUAGGUCGACCUGAUCGCCCCUAGGGCCUCGAGGUUCACCGCCCUGCAACAAGAAGAACAGACGAAGAACGAGGAAGAAGAAGAACUAGGGUUAAGGAGAAAAGAUAAAAGAUAAAAAGUGGUAGAUGAAUUGAUCGAUUGUGUGUUGUUCAAUCGGCCGUCACCCCUUAUGUAUAUAAGAGGCGGCUGGACUUCCCGUGCAAGGAAAAGGCUUGCAUUCACGUCCAAAACCUUAGUCAAAUUCGGAUUGGUUUUGUCCGAACUUUCCAAAACUGUUCGGUUUAAACUGGCUGCACCUUGCGGGUUUUUUUGUGGUGGUUAACGAUCUCGGAUGGAAACGAGCCCAAAAACAAUCUUGACCGUUUCAACGAGGCGAACAAAUUUUAUGUUGAACAUUUUUUGAUUAGAGGUCAUCUUGAGGGUUAAAUCGGUCACGCAAAACAGGCUAUCCCUCGCGUUACCCAUCAGACAGGGUGUCUGGUGGGGCGCGCCAGUUUUUGCCUCCUGACAGGGCUGUAUUCCGAUGGCUCUAACUUUUGCAUACGAACUCGGAUUAGAACGUUUUUUAUAUCAAAAUCAAUCGUUCGACGAGACGAAGACAAUCUGUGUAGAUAAUUUUUCCAUUUGAGGUCGUCUUGGGGGCUUAAUCAGCCAAACUGUACUCUGAAUAUAAAAUCUUAGUACUUUGAGCAUAGUUUCGGCCUUCGAGAUGAAAUCGGACUGCGAUGACCCAAACUUCAAAGAUGUUCAUAUCGACAAUACGGAACUCUUUCAUGAAGAUCACUUCUCCAUUUGAGGCCAUCUUAAAUAAGUUAUUGACCGUGCCAAAAUCUGGUGUCAACACAUGCCCCCCUGUUUUUCGGCAAAGUUUGUGUGCCGAAAAAUAACUUCCGCAUAGCUUGUUCUAAGGACGAUGUCAACACUCCAUCGGCCAUUUUGCAUGUUCUUAGGACGACAAGUAUAUAUUGGCCAUUGCUUGUUUGAACCUCUUGAUGCAAACUUGGGUGAAAACUUCUCAGCUUCUAUAACAAGCCGGUGAUAAGGUUCCAUAGAUCAAAACCAUCCUCCGAACCAUAUUGUUCACCCUUUCGCUAGGAUUUUGCAGAUAAUCAAGAAUGAACUUCCUUCAAUCCUUACUUCUCCUGCAUAAAAGUUUCAUUAGUGGCCGAAGCGGUGGACUUCGAUUCAGCCUUACCUAUGUUGACAAGACCUAGCAUCGGCUAUUGAUAGAAAUGCAAUACACCAUGGUUAAUAUAGUAGCCGGACGCUUGCUGUGCCAACUCUUUCGAAUUGUCAUGCCUAGAUAUAUGAACAAUUUCAAAGCAACCCAAGGUAAAUCUUGCAUCUAGACAUACCAAAAGAUAAACUAUAAGUGAUCCGUCCAAACAUUGAUAACCCUUGGACAUUUGUUGCACUACUAAUAAUGAAUCACCGGAAGCCUCAAUAUGUAUAGCACCUAUAGCAAGGCAAAGCUCCAAUCCGAAUAACAAUGCAUAUUCGGCUUUGAUCAUUGUGCAAAAAUAUCUUAAGCGGCAUGAGGCUUCACAAACUAGCUCCAUAUGGAGAUAAAUAAACAACACCAACACUUUGGCCAUUGCUAUAGAUUGAACCAUCAAAAUAUAAUCUCCAUAGUACUAGAGAGAAAAAGCUAAUAUCACUUAACAUGUACCUUGUCUCGGUUCCAAUCGAAGUAAGGACCGUGUUAGAAUUCCACACCGGCCAUGAUCAGAUAGUUUCUUAGGACGACAAGUUAAGUAUCGGCCAUUACCAUGAGGUUCAUGUAGAAUUCAUCCAUUAAAACAUGUAUAGCCGAAAUAAACAAAUAAAAUAGGAAUAAAAUAUUUUGGCUCCUUUGUCUAGCAACAAAAAUGUGACUAACCAAAUGUAUAGUGAUUUGGUAAUACUCUGUCAUCAUAUAGAAAAUUAUGUUGCAUCCAUGGAUCAAAAUAAGUCCAUGGAGGGUAACUGAUCAUACCUGUGGAUGAAUUCCAUGGCAAAGGCAUCAAUGGCAUUGUUGAAGAAAAUGGAUGAUGUGCUAACCGAAGAUUUUGAUGUUGUGAUGCACACCUUCGGCUUAAUUGUUUGUUGCUUCCAUCAUUCUCCUUCUUCAUUUUUAUUGUACUUGUUGCAAUUGAAGCAUGCACAUCGUUUUUGUUUUGAUUGAUCCUCUUGGGAACCCAUGCCAUGUUCUUCUUUCUAAGCUCUUGUGCACUAAGAUUUUGUAAUUCCUUCUUUUGCCAAUACGAUAAGCCGAGUGAGCACCUCGACUGUGAUUUUGUUUCAACCAAUGGCAACUCUUUCUGGGCCUUGUGCAUCCUCAACUUAUUUUCUUCAGAUUUGGCACUCUGAUUUUUAUCAAUUGAUUGCUUCACUUCUUUGCCUUUUGUAGCCAAUGUCAACACUUUAAUUGGCUCUUUGUUUUUUUUAGAUCAAAUCUGAAGUAGCACACUUACGACCAUCUCUUUUCACGCGGUAAACUUGCUUUACCAUCUCUUUCUUCUUCCUUGAGCUCUGGACCGAUUCCUUAUGAUUGAAACGGUCUUUGAUACGUGAUUGUUCAAAUGUUGAUCUUCUUGGAGCUGCAUAGUAUUGGUGAGAUGUUCUAGAAUAAGAUGGAGAAUGUGCCCUUGUACCAUACCCGUCCCAUGAUGAAUAUGUAUCUAUAUGAGCAUAGGGAGGCAUCCACGGCAUUGGCAUUGGCGGGCCAAAAUAAGGAUAUGAAUAUGUUGUAUUAAAAUUAUCACUUUGCCAAUACCAAUCCUCAUAUUUGCGCCUUGGGGGUGAUCUUGGUUUCUUUGCAUGAUUUGGCCGAUAAGCAUUCUUCUCUUCACUCAUCUUUUGAUAAUUAUCCAAUAGUUCAGCAAAGGUGAUUUUUGAUCUCUUGCACUUGCGCUUAUUUCGGCCUUUGUUUUCUUUUGGUUUGCUUUCAUCGAUCAUUGGAUUUGCUUGCUGCCCCCCAGUCCUUGGCGUCUCCAUUGUAGCUUCGAUGGAAUUUUCGCCCUCAAGAUUAUGUUCAUUAUGCUCUUCAACAACUUCUUUACUUGAAACCUUGAUCCCAUCACCUGCAGUUUUUACAUUCUCUUUAAAUGGAUCGGCUUGAAGCAGCCGAUGCAAAAACCUUUUGCCAUCGGGACCAAUCAGAAUAGACUGGUCAUCUCUUGGUGUUUCAACAAACUUCAAUUGUCCUUUUUCAAUGGCCGAUUUAACUAUUUGCCGAAACAUGUUGCAAUCCUCAAAAUUAUGUUUGGACGAAUCAUGCAACUUACAAUACAUUCGUCCUUGGAUUGAUGGCUUAACAUGGUGAUCGAGAAUUGUAAUGUAAUUAUUUUUCAGCAACAAAUUAAAUAUUUGAUCACACAUGCUUGAAUUGAAGGUAUACUUCUUAUUUUCUAGCCGAUCUUGCUGUUUGAACGGCUUUGGAGAUAAGCAAACGAAUGGUUCAGAUUUGGAAUCUCCCCAUUCGGCUAUGCGUUGUGUUUUCCACUCUAUCUCCGAUGUCUUUGGAUAAGAUAUUGUAUUAGCAUAGGUUUUCUCAAUAGAAUUUAACCUUGGCUUUAAAUUUCUGAGACGAAGAUAUUUAGAACAUACAUGUCUCAGUUGAGACCAAGUGCAAGCCAAGUAUGAAAUAAGCAAAGCUACCCAACUAGAUAUGAACUUUAGAUAAAGCAACGGGGAAAGCUUUGGCUGUAACAGUAAGUCAUUAUCGGUCUUUAUAAAUGGCGCAAUGGUUUGACCGAUAUGUUCCAUAACAAUUUUAUUGCUAACAAGUAAAUUACCCUUCUUCAUUGGUAUUUCAAAAUUACUUAUGAGAAUAUUUCUUAUAGAUGCAUCAAUAAUGAAGUUGUGACCAAAUCUGAAAAUAGGUAAAUUACUCGCUAUGCAUACCUCUUCAAAUAUGUUGGGAGAACAUGAUGGUGGUGCCAUUUGAAGAACAUCUUGCUCCGUCUUUGGAUGGCUCCCCAACACCUUGUCAUCAUCUAUUCCUUGAAUCCGUGCGUCAUUACUUUGAAGAUUUUUGUCGGCCGAACUUUGUUCGGCUACUUGUUCUUGCCCUUGAAGCUUGUCAAUUUCUACGGCACGAAACUCAUAGGGCAGGAAGUAGGUUCCAUUAACUUCAGAAAAAUCAAGCACCGUUGUUUUCCUAUGCUUGCCAUGCCCUUUCUCAAUAAUGCUUGCCUCGUUGGAUUUGAUGGAUUCAGAAUAUAUACUACUUGAUUCGGAUAUUUUAACCGAAGCACUUUCAUGUUCCGAAUCAUCCUUCUUUUCAUUGAUACUACCAAUUGGCAAUGCUUCUUUUAUCUGAGCCAAUUCUUUUUCUAUUUGUUUUUUACGGCAAGCGGCAAAAUUAGCUUUAAGCUUUUUCUCAAUUUCAGCCCACUACGGAUAUGAUUGCCCCCCAAUGCUUUUAGAUUCUUUCGGCAAUGACACACGGGUGUUGCCAAAAUUUUACAAUUGUGUAGGGGGUGUAUAAUAUGAUAUAGUACUAGGUGAAGGCAUAUGCAUUGUUGUAAGACCAUCCUUUUGCUCGCCAAUUUUAUCAAUUGGCAAAGAUUCAUCUUCUUGCAAAACUCUAGCUUUUAUUGCGGCAUAAUCAGGAAAUAGCCCCUUUUCAUGUUGUUCAAGGCAAAGAGCACUAAUUCUCUUAUUUUGGGCUAAACUCUUCAAUGCAGCCACCACUACCUCAUCUUCUACAAUGUUGGGCACAAUCCCUCCUGUAAAAUUUACAUUCAUUCGGCUAUAACCAGGAAGGUGUGAAGCCGAAUUAUGAGCAUCUACAGUUGUGUAUGGUGCCGAAGAAUUAGUAACAUGAGGUGUAGCAUAUGACGGUUGAGAGUAACUGGCCGAAUAGCCACUAGUAGCAUGGCCAAUUCUCUCAUUCAUCGGCAUGGUUGGAUUACUAUAUUGCACAUUAGCUGCCGAUGAAGAAAAGGGUGAAACACUUUCUUGUAUGGCAUUGGAAAUUCUAACUUGGGGUGUUUCAAAUUGAUUAAUCGAACUCAUCAUGUUGCUCAUCGGCAUAUGAAUUUGCUGGGUUGCCGAUGCGUGUGAGUUGGGAUACAUAUGGUGCAUGUUACUAAUAUCAUAAGAAGUUGAAGUAUAUAAAUUACUUUGAAUCGGCCCUUGCACGUAGUUAGUUGCAUGAUUGAAAAAACUAGGGUUGGCCAAUAGAGUAUACUCAUUGAACGAUCUAGUAACACCAUAUGAAUUAUUUGCAUCUACAUAAAGGGAUUGGGUAUUCAUAUUACCUUUGUAGACUGCAAACCCUAGAUGACGAUCUCUUUGUAGCAAGAAUGGGCCGGAGACCGUUCAAAGCUUCGUCCCCAGCGGAGUCGCCAAAAAGUCUGUUCGCACACGAACACGUCACCAUGUACCCUCGACGCCGGGGGUGGUGCACCGCAGCUCACGUCGAAGGAGACCCGCCGGAAGUGCGGUACGCAAGACAAUCCGGCGGGCGCUUUUGAAGACCCGAAACCCCACACGCCCGGGAGGGACCCCGUCAGGGCGCGUGGUGGCUAUGGGCUGCCCUAGGUCAACCUGAUCGCCCCUAGGGCCUCGAGGUUCGCCGCCCUGCAACAAGAAGAACAGACGAAGAACGAGGAAGAAGAAGAACUAGGGUUAAGGAGAAAAGAUAAAAGAUAAAAAGUGGUAGAUGAAUUGAUCGAUUGUGUGUUGUUCAAUCGGCCGUCACCCCUUAGGUAUAUAAGAGGCGGCUGGACUUCCCGUGCAAGUAAAAGGCUUGCAUUCACGUCCAAAACCCUAGUCAAAUUCGGAUUGGUUUUGUCCGAACUUUCCAAAACUGUUCGGUUUAAACUGGCUGCACCUUGCGGGUCUUUUUUGUGGUGGUUAACGAUCUCGGAUGGAAACGAGCCCAAAAACAAUCUUGACCGUUUCGACGAGGCGAAAAACUUUUAUGUUGAAUGUUUUUCGAUCAGAGGUCAUCUUGAGGGUUAAAUCGGUCGUGCAAAACAGGCUAUCCCUCGCGUUACCCAUCAGACAGGGUGUCUGGUGGGGCGCGCCAGUUUUUGCCUCGUGACAGGGCUGUAUUCCGAUGGCUCUAACUUUUGCAUACGAACUCGGAUUGGAACGAUUUUUAUAUCAAAAUCGAUCGUUUCGACGAGAUGAAGACAAUCUGUGUAGAUAAGUUUUCCAUUUGAGGUCGCCUUGGGGGCUUAAUCUGCCAAACUGUACUCUGAAUAUAAAAUCUUAGUACUUUGAGCAUAGUUUCGGCCUUCGAGAUGAAAUCGGACUGCGAUGACCCAAACUUCAAAGAUGUUCAUUCGACAAUAUGGAACUCUUUCAUGAAGAUCACUUCUCCAUUUGAGGCCAUCUUAAAUAAGUUAUUGACCGUGCCAAAAUCUGGUGUCAACAAUAUCCUUCGUUGAUCAUGAGAGCUUGUGAUGGGCUAAGUUGGGACACCCCUGCAGGGUAUAAACUUUCGAGAGUCGUGCUUGCAGAUGGGAGUUUCUUAAUAUCCGGUUGUAGAGAACUUGACACUUGACUUAACUAAAAUGCAUCAAUCGCGUGUGUAGCCGUGAUGGCCUCUUCUCGGCGGAGUCCGUGAAGUUAACACGGUUGGUGUCAUGUUUGGACGUAAGUAGUUUCAGGAUCACCUCUUGAUCAUUACUAGUUUGCGACCGUUUGCGUAGCUUCUCAUCUUAUUCUUGUAUUCGUAAGUUAGCCACCAUAUCAUGCUUAGUCGCUUGCUGCAACCUCACCACUUAUCCAUUCCAUACCCAUUAAGCUUUGCUAGUAUUGAUACCCAUGGUAAUGGGAUUGUUGAGUCCUCAUGGCUCACAAAUUACUACAGCAACAGUUGCAGGUAUAGGUAAUGUGAUGAUCAUGACGCGAGAGCGAUGUUUACUUGUUUUGGCGUUCUUCUUCUACUUCUUCUUCGAUUAGGGGAUAGGUUCUAGGUCGGCAACCUGGGCUAGCCGGGUGGAUGUCGUUUGAGUUUCUGUUUGUGUUUCAUACGUAGUCGGAUGUUGCUCCUAUGUAUGAUGUUGUUGUAUUCAUGUGGCAUUGUAUGCCUUUUGUAUGUAUCCCUAACUAUUAUGUAAUGGUACGAUGUAAUGAUAUCCACCUUGCAAAAGCGUCUCCAAUAUGCACUUCUAUACUUGGUGGGACCUUAGAGUUCCUUUAGGAUAGGGUCGCAUAUUGGGCGUGACAAGUUGGUAUCAGAGCCUCGACCAACCAUAGGAGCCCCCCUUGAUUGUUCGUAGUUUGGUCGUUGUCGAGUCUAGAAGAAAACUGUUUUCGGAGUCUAGCUAUAUCGGAGAGUAGGAAUUCUUUUUACUCCUCAGCCCCUUCGUCACUCUGGUGAGGAAUCUUGAUGUAGGUGUUUUGAAUUACUCCUCUUCCCCUUCAAAUUUUCUUUAGGAUCACUCGGUUAGUUUUCCGUUUGUUGGUUCUUAGCUCUUUUCAUCUGGUGCAUUUUCUCGUCAAGUCAAUUCGACCCUCUUUGUUUUUGCAAGAUCAAUCCUCAGUUGUUUUCUUUUCCCAACCGCCCACCUUUUUUCUUCUUCGAGCCGGAGUCCAUAAUCGAGUAUCCAUCCUACUCAUGAGAAGCCUUUGCAUUCUUUCCUCAAUUAUCUCGACCGGUGCUUUUCUCUUCAAGUUAUUCGUCGAUUCCCCCUUCCAAGUUGUCUUUGUUUCCCCGCCCUCCCACCCCUUUUCUUCCCGGAGUCCGAGUCUCUUUCGACUGUCAAUUUCAUUCGUGUGGAACCCCUUCAGACUUUCGUCAAUUGUUUCAACCGGUGAUUUUGUGUCUAGUGCGUCAUUAUUCAUCGUUUUUUCUUUUCCGGUGGAUUCAAUUCAAGUUUUUGGAUUGAUCAUAUUCUUUUCCUUGGAUAAAGUGUUUUCCCUACUCAUUCGCCUCUCGCCAGUUUAUCCUCCUGGAGUGCUCAAGAUAUCUCAGGAGAUUUGUCUGUGUUUCGAUUAAUUUGAGGUUGUCACCUCAUUCAAAUUAUUUCAAUUGUUCCGGUGCACCAUCUAUCUCUUCAACAAUCCUUUUCAACGGUGUUUUCUCUUCAGUGGGCCCUAACCCACAGGUCUUUUCCCAGGAUCUUACCUAACUCUUCUAAUUAUUCCGGAGCCAUUCCUAAUUCUUUUCGAAGUUUGACGUAAGAAUGAAUUUCAUCAGUCAGAUGCCUUUCCAAGAUAGAUUUCAAAUCAUUUCAUUGUUGGCUCAACCUCUUUGCUUUUCAUUCUCCCGGAGUAUCUCAGUAAUUUCGGUGGCGUUCCUCGUUGUCAUUUGAAGAUAGAAGAAGAGUUUCUCUUAAAUCUUGCCUGUUCUCCCAAAGAUUCGUGGUUCCAGAUUCAUGUUAUCCUCUCAAAUUAUUCCAUUUGUCACAUAUUAUUUUCUUAACCAUCCGGAGUAUGUCAGGAGUUCUUUGUCUGUUUCUUUUCACCAGAGGCCAUCAUUCCAGAAGAAUUCUUCAUCCUCACAUUCCAGCUGUCAUUAUCCAAUUAUCCCAGCGCAUCUGUCAAGUAUUCAAGUAUUCUUUAAUCAGCUCGUGAUCUCUUUGUUCUUUUGCAUCUAAAUCCCCUCAAGUAUAUUUGUUAUUCUAAUUCUUCCUAGUGAUUCAUUAUCUGUCAUCAGUCAUUUUCGAAUUCUUACGAUGGUUCCUUCAGAUUCCUUUUCCUUUGUUAUCAUAUUAAUUCAUUCGUUCUUUCAAAUCCUACCGCUGGUUCAUUGAAGACCUUCCUCAAGGUUGCGCCAUAUACCCCUCAAUCCUUUCCAACAAGAAUAAGUAGUAUGCAAAAAUCCGUUGCUUGUCAUCAAUUUAAUUUGAUGAAGGAAAAGUAUACAAUAAAUCUUAUUCUUAUUUCCUACAAGUAAUUAAUCUCUUCCUUCGGAGUUUGUUCAUGAUGAAUAAUUUCGCAGUUCAAAGUGUUUUCAUCUUUUCUUUUCCGGAGUUCAAAUUUCCUCGGCCAUUUUGUCGGAAGCUCCAUAUAAAUCACCGCAAGGUUUAAUCUUAUUCUUUCAUCCUUCAUUCUAUCUCAUCAUCCUUUUGUCACCGGAGUUCUUCAUGGUGGUUAUUCAUGAUUUAAUCCAUUCUUCAAGAGUUCAUCAAGAUUUUGUUGGAGGAGUUCAAGUAUCUUUUCUUCUCGCGUCUCGAAGUGCAAAUAAUUCCCCGUUUUCUUCUAAAGUGGAGUUUUGCAUUCCUUCGUUCCUCUCAGCUAUUCAGACUUUUGGGUGGUAUAAUUUCACCUCAAGUUUUGAGAUGUUUUUGAUAAGUCCACAACAAGCUUAUUCUUUUGUUGUUGAAUAUCUCAACAACUCCGUUCUAUCUUUCCUCUAAGGAUGCUAUCGAAUUCAUUCGUGGUGAAAGAUGUUUGUUCUCUCAUCCGUUCUUUCCAUGUGGGAUUCUUUCAAUUCUUUCGGAGGCAUUGUGUUGUGGCUCUCGUCAAGUGUCAUUCCAUCUUGUGAAGUUCAUGUCUCCAUUCCUUCCAUUUUCAGUCGGAGUGCUGCACAAAUUCUUUCAUUAUAUUCCUUUUCUAUCUUAUUCUAACUAGAGUGGUUUCAUAGUCUAUCUUGUUUCUUGAUCUUUGGAUUCUCGUCAUAUUCGUCGUUCCUCUUUUCUACCCGAGUGCUAUCGACUGUGUUCAUCUUCUCUCUUGCGUUCUUACUUCACCUCUUCCUCUUUCUCUUCCAUCUUGUUCCUAAGAUUUGUCAGCGGAUUGGACUCGUAAAAUAUUAUACUCUCUGCGGUUGUGUGUGGAAUUUGUUUUGCAGAGCCGGACACGAUUCUUGUGUUAAAAGACUAUUUUGGAGUAUUCGGAAAAGGAACCCGCCUUGCAAUGCCGAAAACAAUUCGCGCGCCGGACACCUCAUCAUUGAAGCCUGGUUCGAGGGCUACUAAGGGAGUCCUGAAUUAAGGGGUCCUCAGAUGGCCGGACUAUGUAGCGUGGGCCAGACAGUUGGGCUGUGAAGAUACAAGACAGAAGACUUCUUCCCAUGUUCGGAUGGGACUCUCCUUUGCGUGGAUGGCAAGCCUGGCGUUCGGAUAUGUAGAUUCCUUUCUCUAUAACCGACUUUGUACAACCCUAUUCCCCUUCGUGUCUAUAUAAACUGGAAGGCUUAGUCCGUAGAGGCAAUCAUAAUCAUACAGGCUAGACUUGUAGGGUUUUAGCCAUUACGAUCUUGUGGUAGAUCAACUAUUGUAAUACUCAUAUUCAUCAAGAUCAAUCAAGCAGGAAGUAGGGUGUUACCUCCAUAGAGAGGGCCCGAACCUGGGUAAACAUAGUGUCCCCCGCCUCCUGUUGCCAUCAACCUUAGGCGAACAGUUCGGGACCCCCUACCCGAGAUCCGCCAGUUUUGACACCGACAGUCGGCUCGUUGCUUUCUAGCAACAAUACAUCGCACACUUUGCGCAAUCUUUCCGACCUCCCUGGUUCCGGUGCCGCUUCCACUACGGGUUCCCUGACUGACUCCGGUAUGAUCUCGUCACCAGCCGAGCGAUCCCCGAGUGGCCCUCGAAUUUCUUCGAGUCGGACCGUCCUCCCACUGGCCUCCCGACUGAUAAACUCUUUCUCAAGGAAAACCCCGUUCCGAGCAACAAACACUUUGUUCUCUUCCCGGUUGUAGAAGCUAUAUCCCAAGGUUUCCCUCGGAUAUCCCACAAAUAUGCACUUAUCUGACUUGGCUGUAAGCUUGUCUGACAUAAGUCGCUUGACAAAUGCUUCACAACCCCAAAUCUUUAGAAAAGACAAACUGGGACUCUUCCCGGUCCACAUCUCAUGCAGUGUCUUGUCUAUGGAUUUUGAUGGUACCCUAUUAAGUGUGGAAGCUGCAGUUUCUGGAGCGUAUCCCCAGAAUGACAAGGGUAAAUCUGAUUUGCUCAUUGACCGGACCAUGUCCAACAAGGUCCUAUUCCUCCGUUCUGACACGUCGUUUCUUUGUGGUGUACCCAGAGGUGUGAGCUAAGGUAUUAUACCUCCGCUUUUCAGAUGAUCAUCAAACUCCUGGCUCAUGUACUCACCUCCACGAUCUGAUCGCAGAAGUUUUAUAGUCUUGCCGAGCUGAUUCUCAACCUCGUUCUGAAACUCUUUGAACUUUUCAAAAGUUUCCGACUUGUGCCUCAUCAAAUAGAUAUAUCCAUAUCUACUCAAGUCAUCGGUAAAAGUCACGAAGUACUGAUAGCCACCUCUGGCAGUUGUGCUCAUUGGACCACACACAUCACUAUGUAUAAGUUCCAACAGUUCGGACGCCCUCUCGCAACUCUUUGCGAAAGGAGACUUAGUCAUCUUGCCGAGCAAGCAUGAUUCACAUGUCUCGAACAACUCAAAGUCGGACGAAGUUAGGAGCCCAUCAUCAUGGAGCUUCUUCAUGCAUUUCAGACUAAUGUGUCCAAGCCGGCAAUGCCAUAAGUAUGUCGGAUUUAUCUCAUUAGGCUUAUGCCUCUUGACAUUCAUGUUAUAGACCGGUUACUGUUCCAAAUUCAGUAUAAAUAACCCAUCAAUAAUGGGUGCAUAGCCGUGGAACAUAUCAUUCAAAUAAAACGAACAACCAAUGUCCUUUAAAUUUAAUUCAUAACCCUGACUCAUCAAGCAUGAGGUAGAAAUAAUGUUCUGACUAAGUGCAGGAAUGUAAUAACAAUUAUUCAAUUCCAAAAUAAAUCCAGAAGGAAGAUGGAGCUGCCCUCCAACGCAGCAAUUCUUGCUUUGUUGCCGACCUUGAUGUCAAUCUCCCCUUGUGCCACACGCCUAGUUCUUACUAGCCCCUGCAUCGAGUUGCAAAUAUGAACAACCGAUCUGGUAUCAAAUACCCAAGAGCUACUAGGUAUGUCAGCAAGGUAAAUGUCUAUAACAUAUGCUCAAUGUGUACCUUUGCCCGAAGAAGCAUUUCUGGCCUCCUUGCCAUGCUCUACAAGCCACUUGCUACAGUUCCUCUUCCAGUGACCGGUCUCCUUGCAGUGAUAGAAAACGGUCCUUGAGUCCGGUCCAGACUUCGGUGCAGCGGCGGAGGUUACCGUCUUCGUGCCCUUUGCCCUAGCCUUUUUCUUGGACCAACUCUUCUUGAACUUAGCUGAUUUUUGCACCAUCAACACUUGAUGCGUGCCUUUCUUAAUAUCCUGCUCUACCACCUUGAGCAUCCCAUGCAAUUCAGUGAGCUUCUAAUCCAUGCCAUGCAUAUGCUAGUUCGAGAUGAACGUCCCAUAGCUAGACGGAAGAGAACCCAAAAUUGCAUCUGUAGCUAGCUCAUCCAAGAGCGGGAAGCCUAACCGAUCCAAAGCUUGCACAUAUCCGAUCAUCUUGAUCACAUGCGAGCUCAAUGGAUCACCUUCCUUUAGGUUACAAUCCAUCAAGGAUUGCCAGACGUUGAACCUUUCGAUCCUAGCCAGCACCUGAAACAUGCUCUUGAGACUCUCGAUCAUAUCGAAAGCCCCAACAUCUUCGAAAUGCUGUUGCAAAUCAGGCUCCAUACAAACCAGCAUGAGGCAGCUGAUCUCGUUUAAUUCAUUAACCAGUUUCUAGAAGGCAUUCCUGGUUGUGGUACUAGCAUUAUCGACAGGUUCCUGUGGAAGUGGAUCCUCUAGAACAUGUUCCUUUUUAUCAUGCUUGAGAACAAUUCUCAAAUUUCUAUACCAGGUGGUAAAGUUUGUUCCAUUCUGUUUAUCCUUUUUCCAGAAUUGAUUUCAAUGCAAAGUUGGGUUGAGCAGGUGGUGCCAUUGAUCUACAACAGAAAAUAUGCAAUCACUAAGCAAUCUGUUUAUGUAGAGUAAUUCAAUCCUAAAUAGAAAUACUCCCACUGAAGUCAGCAUCCCUACGCAAACUCUCAGUGAUUCAGGAUCCGACUAGUGCUUGCGACUAGUGAGCUUUAGCAUCACUGCUAGCCAACAUACCUAUCCAGUAAGCAACUCCUUGCUAAUCGUAUCUCUAUACGACUCUUGCUGGUCGGGAAGGUAUCUCAUACCCCGGCUCCCAACCUUCUUUGCCAUAAGGCCCAAAACCAUUUUGAUAGCCUUGUCAAGUUAACCUGAUGCAGUGCAUGUCCGUGUCCGACACGAACCCUUCAGUUCAAGGACACCCAGCAGCACCCCAAUUUUACGAGCCCACUACUAGACGUACUUGACAUGCGAAGGUGCAACAUCGGGGAUGGAAAUUCGAUUGAUAUUCAUGAGGGAUCAUUCUACCAUUCUAACAUGCAUAGAAAUAAAGAACCAUAACAAUCACAAAUAAACACAUUCUUCAUGGACGUUCUUCCAGGUCGGCUCCGACUCCGAUGACUAUCUAGGAGCUCCAUCCUGUUUGUCACGCCGGGACGCCAAGCCACCAACCUGAUCUCUAUUAUCCAACUACUACAACUAGUAAUGAAUUUUACAUAGCGUCACAAGUCGACACGCAGGUCGUUAUACAUUAUAAUGACAGCACUUUGGCUCCUGCCAGCUGACAAACAUGACACGCAGGCCAUGUAUAAAUUACACACAUGCAUCACAUACACGUGAGCCAUACUAUUCACAUCAAACCAAACAGAGUUACUCACAUUCUACCGGUUUGAGUGAUUGUGUACGAAAUUCAAGGCACUACGCACACGGUGCUACGAAAUACCGGUUUGAGUGAUAGGAAAUCACAGAUCACAUCUGAACUCUGAUCACGCCGAAUUUUCUGAUCUGACCGAUCUUAUCGAUCAUCGCGAGUGUGGUUCGUAUUUACGUUUCACUGUUAACCCCGAUGGCGGAUACCGACCGUAGGGGUAGGUUGUGUCACGACCUCAUCAACUCCGAUCAUUAGAAAACAUAGCCACUUCAAUCCCCAUGUGCAAUUGAUCUCAUCAACUAUGCACAUAGCCGAUUUCACAAACAACAACAGAUCUCAUCUGUCGUCUCCACAUAUCUAAUAUGCAUAUGAUCUGAAUCCCAAUCCUAUAGCAGAGGCUCUGAUACCACUGUUGGGAUCUACGGUAGGGAGCGUCGACUGCAAAUUAAAAAAAUUCCUAUGCGUAGAACAACCAGGAACAUGCUACGGGAAUGGAUCACAGAUUGUUACCACUAGAUGCGCAGUGCCGUGCAGCGGAAGUAAAGUUGAGGCAGCGUGUUCCCGGAGUCGCCUCGCGUUCCCUGAGUCGUCUCCUCCUUGCCGGUAUCCCAUGCAGAUGAGUGGAUCCCGCAAACAGGUUUUCCGGAGCGGCACAAGUGCACCGCCUCUAACAGUAUCCGCGCGUGCAGGAGGAACAUCGUGCGGCGGACUGCUAGGUCCAAUCACACAACCGGCGGUGAGUGGAGCUGUCUAUUCGCAACACAUGCAAACCCUAGUGACAGUGCUGAAGCGAUCAACUCAAUAAUUGUGCCGCACCUCCAAUUUAUAUAGGUGUCGGUCGCGGGCUCAACACUUGGGCCUCGGAUGGACCCUAAAGCCCACAAGUCUACUCGGCCACAAUCCGAAUAUAGCUCGGAUCACAUCUGACUAGUGUCCUCAGAUACGACCUCGUAGGUUCCUUCCCUUAAGCGCGCAACCCGUUAGGUUCAAGCCGGCUUGGUCGCAGUUCGGAUCAGCUCCGGACUGCACGGUGGGUAGCGGCCUGUAGCAAGGCAUGCCGAACACCAAGCAGGCUAUGAAGCUGGUUAGGCGAACAUGUAUAACAUGUCACACUUCUGUUCCCUUUGCCACACGAUAUAUGUUGCCGGUCUCAAGGCGAGAUUGUCAUCCUUGUGCUAGCCCUACCUCUUUCUCGUUCCAGUGAUACCGACCACAAACUGGAUUAUAUCAGAAUCCUUGUCGCAUGGCCAUGCUCAUCCUGGUCAGAUCAAACGAGGGCCCAGAGUAUAUCUCUCCUGAUCGAAGGAGCAAAUCCCAUCUUGCUCGACCAUGUCUCGUAGCAUGGGACUGGACAAACCCGAAACCUACCUUUGUAACUACCCAGUCACGGAGUAGCGUUUGGUCGGCCCAAAGCAAGUCUGUCACCAUCCCGAGUACAUGGUUCAGCUCAGGUCUUAGGACAUAAAACAUAUGUUGUACUAGAGACUCACAGAUGACAUAUCGCUAUGUCUCAUAGUUGGAUCUGUUCGACUCGGACUUUAUCUCGACUCGAAUUUGACUACCUCGAAUCCGACCAGAUCCUUCCGAGUCCAUAUUAUCCGGUUAGCAUCCGAUGCUCCAUGGCUAGUGAGACCGUGCCAUCCACCAUGUCAUAUGCCAAUCUAGUCCGACGUGUGCGCACACAUCACUUGCGACAAGGGACAAUUUAGGAUGUAUCAUACAACACAAGAUCUCACAGACAAGUCACGUACUUGCCAACAAGUAUCAUUGAUUACAUCCAAGGACUAUCUUUAUUCAUAAACACAUAGGAAAUAUCAUCAUACAUGAUUGCCUCUAGGGCAUAUCUCCAACAUGGGACCCCCUAUCUGAGAUCUGCCGGUUUUGACACCGAUAAUCAUCUUAUAAUGCUACUGCCGAAUUAAGCAAAAUAAGAUGCAUGAAAAAUAAACAUCACAUGCAAUCAAAAUAUAUAACAUGAUAUGGCCAUCAUCAUCUUGUGCCUUUGAUCUCCAUCUCCAAAGCACCGUCACGAUCUCCAUUGUCACCGGCUUGACACCUUGAUCUCCAUCGUAGCAUCAUUGUCAUCUCGCCAACUAUUGCCUCUACGAUUAUCGCUACCGCUUAGUGAUAAAGUAAAGCAAUUACAUGGUGAUUGCAUUUCAUACAAUAAAGCGACAACCAUAUGGCUCCUGCCAGCUGCUGAUAACUUUGUUACAAAACAUAAUCAUCUCAUACAACAAUUUAUCUCACAUCAUGUCUUGACCAUAUCACAUCACAACAAGCCAUGGAAAAACAAGUUAGACGUCCACUACUUUGUUGUUGCAAGUUUUACGUGGCUGCUACGGGCUUCUAGCAAGAACCGUUCUUACCUACGCAUCAAAACCACAACAAUUUUUCGUCAAGUGUGUUGUUUUAACCUUCAACAAGGACCGGCCAUAGUCAAACUCGAUUCAACUAAAGUUGGAGAAACAGACACCCGCCAGCCACCUGUGUGCAAAGCACGUCGGUAGAACCAGUCUCAUGAACGUGGUCAUGUAAUGUCAGUCCGGGCCGCUUCAUCCAACAAUACUAACGAAUCAAAGUAAGAUGUUGGUGGUAAGUAGUAUGACUAUUAUCGGCCACAACUCUUUGUGUUCUACUCGUGCAUAUCAUCUACGCAUAGACCUGAUUCUGAUGCCACUGUUGGGGAACGUAGCAUGCAAUUUCAAGAAAAUUCCUACGAUCACAAAAGAUCUAUCUAGGAGAUGCAUAGCAACAAGACGGGAGAGUGUGUCCACGUACCCUCAUAGACCAAAUGCGUAAGCGUUAUGUUAACGCGGUUGAUGUAGUCAAACGUCUUCACAAUCCAACCGAUCUAGCACCGAAUGUACGACACCUCCGAGUUCAGCACAUGUUCAGAUCGAUGACGUCCCUUGAACUCUUGAUCCAGCAGAGGGUCGAGGGAGAGUUUCAUCAGCAUGAUGACGUGAUGAUGGUAUUGAUGAUGUGAUCUGGACAGGGCUUUGCCUAAGCACUAUGAUGAUACUAUCGGAGGAGUAAAUGGUGGAGGAGGGCACCACACACGGCUAAGACAAUGUUGUCCUUUGGGGUGCCCCCCUGCCCCCAUAUAUAAAGAAGGGAGGAGAAGGCCGGCCACCAGGGGCGCGCCAAGGGAGGGGGGAGUCCUACUAGGACUUCACUCCUAGUAGGAUUCGCCCCCCUUCCUUUUUUCCUUCUUACGAAGGUGGAAAGGGGGAAGGAGAGGGAGUAGGAGAAGGAAAGGGGGGUUGCGCCCCCUUUCCCUAGUCCAAUUCGGCCUCCUCCCUUCAGGGCGCACCAGACCCUUGUGGGCUGGUUAGCCUUCCUCCCAUGGCCCAUAUGGCCCAUAUCUUCUACUUGGGGGGGGGGGUUCUGGUAACCCUUCCGGUACUCCGGUUUAUACCCGAUACACUUCGGAACCCUUCCGGUGUCUGAAUGCCACCUUCCUAUAUAUCAAUCUUUACCUCUCAACCAUUUCGAGACUCCUUGUCAUGUCUGUGAUCUCAUCCGAGACUCCGAACAAACUUCGGUCAUCAAAAACACAUAACUCAUAAUACAAAUCGUCAUCGAACGUUAAGCGUGCGGACCCUACGAGUUCGAGAACUAUGUAGACAUGACCGAGACACAUCUUCGGUCAAUAACCAAUAGUAGAACCUGGAUCCUCAUAUUGGUUCCUACAUAUUAUACAAAGAUCUUUAUCGGUUAAAAGGCACAACAACAUAUGUCGUUCCCUUUGUCAUCGGUAUGUUACUUGCCCGAGAUUCGAUCGCCGGUAUCAUCAUACCUAGUUCAAUACCAGUAAGUAUCUUUACUCGUUCCGUAAUGCUUCAUCCCACAACUAACUCAUUAGUCACAUUGCUUCCAAGGCUUAUAGUGAUGAGCAUUACCAAGAGGGCCCAAAGAUACCUCUCCGAUACACGGAGUGACAAAUCCUAUUCUCGAUAUAUGCCAACUCAACAAACACCUUGGGAGAUACCUGUAGAGCAUCUUUAUAAUCACCCACUUAUGUUGUGAUGUUUGAUAGCACAAAAGGUGUUCCUCCAGUAUUCGGGAGUUGCAUAAUCUCAUAGUCAGAGGAACAUGUAUAAGUCAUGAAGAAAGCAAUAGCAAUAAAACUUACCGAUCAUUAUGCUAAGCUAACGGAUGGGUCUUGUCCAUCACAUCAUUCUCUAAUGAUGUGAUACCGUUCAUCAAAUGACAACACAUGUCUAUGGUCAAGAAACAUAAAGCAUCUUUGAUUAACGAGCUAGUCAAGUAGAAGCAUACUAGGGACACUUUGUUUUGUCUAUGUAUUCACACAUGUACUAAGUUUUCGGUUAAUACAAUUCUAGCAUGAAUAAUAAACAUUUAUCAUGAUAUAAGGAAAUAUAAAUAACAACUUUAUUAUUGCCUCUAGGGCAUAUUUCCUUCAACUGGGACUUCAAAGACGUUUUGAACGUCAUGGAGCAUAUGAGAUGUUCCAAGAGUUGAAGUUAAUAUUUCAAGCAAAUACCCGGGUUGAGAGAUAUGAAGUCUCCAAUAAGAUGUAUAGUUGCAAGAUGGGGGAAAACAGUUCUGUCAGUGAACACAUACUGAAAAUGUUUGGGUAUGAUAAUCACUUGACACAGCUAGGAGUUAAUCUUCCAGUUGAUUGUGUUAUUGACAGAGUUCUUCAAUCACUACCACCAAGCUACAAAGGCUUCGUGACGAACUAUAAUAUGCAAGGGAUGAACAAAACAAUUCCUGAGCUCUUCGCAAUGCUAAAGGCCGCGGAGGUAGAAAUCAAGAAGGAGUGAUACGUCUCCAUCGUAUCUACUUUUCUAAACACUUUUGCCCUUGUUUUGGACUCUAACUUGCAUGAUUUGAAUGGUACUAACCCGGACUGACGCUAUUUUCAGCAGAAUUGCCAUGGUGUUAUUUUUUUGCAGAAAUAGAAGUUCUCGGAAUGACCUGAAACUUCACGGAGAAUAUUCUUGGAAUUAAUAAAAAAUACUGGCGAAAAAAUCAAGACCAUGGGGCCCACACCCUGUCCACGUGGGUGGGGGCGCGCCUUCCCCUGGGCGCGCCCCCUGUCUUAUGGCCCCCCUGAGGCUCCACCGACCACAACUCCAACUCCAUAUAUUCACGUUUGGGGAGAAAAAAUCAGAGAGAAGGAUUCAUCGCGUUUUACAAUACGGAGCCGCCGCCAAGCCCUAAUCUCUCUCGGGAGGGCUGAUCUGGAGUCCAUUCGGGGCUCCGGAGAGGGGAAUCCGUCGCCGUCGUCAUCAUCAACCAUCCUUCAUCACCAAUUUCAUGAUGCUCACCGCCGUGCGUGAGUAAUUCCAUCGUAGGCUUGCUGGACGGUGAUGGGUUGGACGAGAUUUACCAUGUAAUCGAGUUAGUUUUGUUAGGGUUUGAUCUCUAGUAUCCAUUAUGUUCUAAGAUUGAUGUUGCUAUGACUUUGCUAUGCUUAAUGCUUGUCACUAGGCCCCGAGUGCCAUGAUUUCAGAUCUGAACCGAUUAUGUUUCCAUGAAUAUAUGUGAGUUCUUGAUCCUAUCUUGCAAGUCAAUAGUCACCUACUAUGUGUUAUGAUCCGGCAACCCCGAAGUGACAAUAAUCGGGACCACUCCCGGUGAUGACCGUAGCUUGAGGAGUUCAUGUAUUCUCUAAGUAUUAAUGCUUUGGUACGGUACUCUAUUAAAAGGAGGCCGUAAUAUCCCUUAGUUUCCAGUAGGACCCCGCUGCCACGGGAGGGUAGGACAAAAGAGUCAUGCAAGUUCUUUUCCAUAAGCACGUAUGACUAUAUUCGGAAUACAUGCCUACAUUACAUUGAUGAACUGGAGCUAGUUCUAUGUCACCCUAUGUUAUAACUGUUGCAUGAUGGAUCGCAUCCGACAUAAUUAUCCAUCAUUGAUCCAUUGCCUACGAGCUUUUCACAUAUUGAUCUUUGCUUAGUUACUUUACCGUUGCCGCUGUUACAAUUACUACAAAACUGCUACUAUUACUUUUUCCAUCAUUACCGUUACUUCCAUACUACUUUGCUACUAAAUACUUUGCUGCAGAUAUUAAGUCAUUCAGGUGUGGUUGAAUUGACAACUCAACUGCUAAUAAUUGAGAAUAUUCUUUGGCUCCCCUUGUGUCGAAUCAAUAAAUUUGGGUUGAAUACUCUUGCUGGGUUCAUGUUCACUAAAUACUCUUGCUGUGAUUUCUAUUUCUAUUUCUAUUUCUAGCUCGUUUUGCUGUGAUUUUUGAUCUCCUUGCUCAAAGCUUCAUUCACGAAACUAUUUUGGGGGAUUGUUCUUCGGUAUGUGACUCCUCCAAUGGUCCAAUUAGUUUUUGUUCUAGUGCUUUAUUUAUUGCAAAUUUUUGCUGCUAAGGUGACCCUAUUCUCGAGCUUGCAUGUCAAAUUUAUAUGGUCAAAAGUAGCUUUAAUGCAUGAUUUAGCUUCUAGGCAUUUGUGGGAGUAGUUGCUAUCAAUCUUGUUGAGUUUGGUUCACUAUUAUUUUGAGUCACUAAAAUUUUUAGAAAUUUGUCAGAGAAAGAAAAAUGCAUAGGAAAAUAUACCAAGGUUGUUCGUCAAGGAAUCAAGGACCAAGGCUCGCGAUGCGUGAGCCAGACAAUGAAACACUGAGGGAAGUUCAAGUGCGGCCUUGUGAAUGGCCAUCAGAAGAUUUUAUGGUUCAAGCAGGCAUCAAGGAGGAAUUUGACGUGUAUGUGCGUAAUGCUGAACUUGAGGGCUUUGUGUUAGAUAAUUGCCCCCAAUACUACUACCUAACUAAUUCCUUUGUGAGAAGGUUCAAAUUCACAUCCUCACGCAAUUAUCACACUGUUUUGUCUAAUUUUUAUGAUAAAUCAUAUACCAUGGACCUAGAAGAUUUUAAUGCUGCUUGUAAACUCCCACUGUGGGGCAAUUUUAGUGAACCUCGCAAAUCUGAAUAUGAAGACUUUCUUGCUAGUAUCACUGUGGGGGAAUCUAGAGAGAUCACACAAGCUACCAUAGGGAGCAUUCAUUUUCCUUCCAUACAUUAUUUCGCUCUCUUUAUAGGUAGAUGCAUUAAUGGUAAAGAUGAAGCUUGUCACAUGUGUGUCCCAGAUCUUUGUGUUCCCAAAAGUGCGGUAUUAGGAGAUAAACAAUAUAACUUGGGGGCGACUGUUACACGAAGGUUGCAUCAUAACAGUAUAAGCGGAGAUUUGUUUGGUGGGUUUUAUGACACUCGUUUAGCUAACUAUCUUGAUGUACCCAUACAUGCAAAUGAUAUAGAGUUGCCUCCUGUUUAUUUAGAUUAUAAUGCUAUGGUUCGCCAUCAGUUUAUUGGGAGGAAUGAACAGCCCCUACAGUACCGACUAAUCUUUGACAGACAGCGCGCUGUCCAUAUUGCUCUCCCUGCUCCUACUUUCUUUGACGUUCAGGCUAAAAGGAGAUAUGUUAUAACCAGGGAGGAGGCGAACGAGUAUGAAAGGAGGAUGGAGGCAGCUUGUCAGGUAGUAGCGGCUGCAUCUCAGUACGACCCUAGUUACAACUUUGGAUAUCUGCCAGGCCAUCCAUGGGCAUAGACCAACUUAGGCCAAAAGCCUAAGCUUGGGGGAGUAUGUAUUUCUCACCGACAUUACAUUCAUGCUCACACACUCAUUCUAGUUGUCGGUGCUCAUACUUUUUCAUUGUACUAUCCAUGCUAGUUUAUUCUCUUUUCUAAGAUUUCUUCUUGCGUGUUUGAAAAAACCUUAAGAAAAACCAAAAUAUUAGUUGUAGCUUUUAGCUAGUUUACUUUCCAUGCCUUUAGUAGUAGUAAUUAAAAUAAAACUCAAAAAUAUUUCUCGUUCUUCUUUUGCUUGUUGGGAGCUCUCCCCCUGUAAAUAGUUUUAUUUCUUUUCUUUUCUUUGGGGGUCGAGAGGAGAAGACCAUGUUGAAAAUGUUUAGUGGCUCUCAUAUGCAUUAUUGUUGAUUUAACCAAGAGCCCAUCUUACCUUGUCUUCUCCCUUGAAUUGAAUGCUUGCAGAUUCCAGCUUAGUCCAAUGCACGUGCACUAUUAUUAUUAUCCACACCGUUCGGUCGUGCAAGUGAAAUGCAAUAAUGACGAUAUAUGAUGGUCUAAUUGAGAUUAGAGAAGCUGGUAUGUUCAUGACUGUAAAUAUGAUUAGUUCAUCAUUCCUGAUUCAGCCUAUUAUGAAUGAAACAUGUUUACAAUGACAAUUAGAGAUUAUAGUUGCUCAUGACAUGCUUAAUUAGCUAGGAGUUUAUAAUGGUUUACCUUGCGUGCCAACAUGCUAUUAAAAUGGUUGUGAUAUGGUAUGAUAGGGUGGUAUCCUCCUUUGAACGAUUCGAGUGGCUUGACUUGCCACAUGUUCACGCAUGUAGUUGAAACAAAAUCAACAUAGCCUCCACGAUAUUUAUGUCCAUGGUGAUUUAUAUCCUACUCAUGCUUGCACUCAUAGUUGAUUAAUCUUAACGCAUGUUCAUGACUGUUAUCGCUCUCUAGUUGGUCGCUUCCCAGUCUCUAUCUAGCCUUCACUUCUACUAAGUGGGAAUACUGCUUGUGCAUCAACUUCCAUAAACCCCAAAGUUAUUCCAUAUGAGUCCACCAUACCUUCCUAUAUGCGGUAUUUACCUACCGUUCCAAGUAAAUUUGUAUGUGCCAAACUCUAAACCUUCAAAUGAAAUUCUAUUUUGUAUGCAUGAAUUACAAUGUCUAGUCAGUCCUUGAUCUUCAGAGGUGCUCUGCAUUUAUGUUUUGCGGUCUCAGAAAGGGCUAGCGAGAUACCAUCUUGUUAUGUCAUAUUAUGAUUGUUUUGAGAAAGUGUUGUCAUUCGGGAUUUAUUAUUAUUGCUCGCUAGUUGAUUAUGCCAUUGAUAUGAGUAAAUAUGAGAUCUAGAUGUUAUUGUGAAUGUGGUAAGUUCAUAAUCUUUGCUGAAAACUUGAAUGUUGGCUUUACAUAUUUGCAACAACAAGAGCAAAGUUUUUCUUUAUCACUUUCAGUUUGUCAACUGAAUUGCCUGAGGACAAGCAAAGGUUUAAGCUUGGGGGAGUUGAUAUGUCUCCAUCGUAUCUACUUUCCCAAACACUUUUGCCCUUGUUUUGGACUCUAACUUGCAUGAUUUGAAUGGAACUAACCCGGACUGAAGCCGUUUUCAGUAGAAUUGCCAUGGUGUUAUUUUUGUGCAGAUAUAAAAGUUCUCGGAAUGACCUGAAACUUCAUGGAGAAUAUUUUUGGAAUUAAAAAAAUACUGGCAAAAGAAUCAAGACCAGGGGUCCACACCCUGUCCACGAGGAUGAAGGCCCCGCCUGCCCCCCUGGGCGGCCCCCUAUCUCGUGGGCCCCCUGAGGCUCCAUCGACCUCAACUCCGACUCCAUAUAUUCACGUUCGAGGAGAAAAAAAUCCGAGAGAAGGAUUCAUCACGUUUUACGAUACGGAGCUGCCGCCAAGCCCUAAUCUCUCUCGGGAGGGCUGAUCUGGAGUCCAUUCGGGACUCCGAAGAGGGGAAUCCAUCACCGUCGUCAUCAUCAACCAUCCUUCAUCACCAAUUUCAUGAUGCUCACCGCCGUGCGUGAGUAAUUCCAUCGUAGGCUUGCUGGACGGUGAUGGGUUGGAUGAGAUUUACCAUGUAAUCGAGUUAGUUUUGUUAGGGUUUGAUCCCUAGUAUCCAUUAUGUUAUAAGAUUGAUGUCGCUAUCACUUUGCUAUGCUUAAUGCUUGUCACUAGGGCCUGAGUGCCAUGAUUUCAGAUCUAAACCUAUUAUGUUUUCAUGAAUAUAUUUGAGUUCUUGAUCCUAUCUUGCAAGUCAAUCGUCACCUACUAUGUGUUAUGAUCCGGCAACCCCGAAGUGACAAUAAUCGGGACAACUCCUGGUGAUGACCGUAGCUUGAGGAGUUCAUGUAUUCACUAAGUUUAAUGCUUUGGUGUGGUACUCUCUUUGGUGUGAUCCUAUUAAAAGGAGGCCUUAAUAUCCCUUAGUUUCCAAUAGGACCCUGCUGCCACGGGAGGGUAGGACCAAAGAUGUCAUGCAAGUUAUUUUCCAUAAGCAUGUAUGACUAUAUUCGGAAUACGUGCCUACAUUACAUUGAUGAACUGGAGCUAGUUCUGUGUCACCCUAUGUUAUCACUGUUGCAUGAUGAAUCGCAUCCGACAUAAUUAUCCAUCACUGAUCCAUUGCCUACAAGCUUUUCACAUAUUGAUCUUUGCUUAGUUACUUUACCAUUGCCGCUGUUACAAUUACUACAAAACUCCUACUGUUACUUUUUCCACUGUUACCGUUACUUCCUGUAGGAUCAAAAGUAUGUCUAGAGGGGGGUGAUUAGACUACUUGUCAAUAUAAAAAUUCUGCCUUUUGACAAAGAACAGUUUUUGGCAGAUUCACAAUUAUGAUCAAGUCAAGCAUCACCCUACACAUGCAAUUCUAGAGUAUAGGCAGCGAAAAGUAAAUUGCACAUGUAGUAAAGAGAGGUGGAGAAGAGCAAACGCAAUUUUGGAGACGUGGUGAUUUUUCCCGUGGUUCCGAUAGGUGGCGCUAUCGUACAUCCACGUUGAUGGAGACUUCAACCCACGGAGGGUAACGACUGCGCGAGUCCACAAAGGGCUCCACCCACGAAGGGUCCACGAAGAAGCAACCUUGUCUAUUCCAUCAUGGCCUACGCCCACGGAGGGCUAGCCUUACUCGGGGUAGAUCUUCACGAAGUAGGCGAUCUCCUUGUCCUUACAAACUUCUUGGUUCAACUCCACAUCUCGACGACGGAGGCUCCCAAGCGACACCUAACCAAUCUAGGAGGCACCACCCUCCAAAAGGUAAUAGAUGUUGUAGAUGAUGAUGAACUCCUUGCUCUUGUGCUUCAAAUGAUAAUCUCCCCAACACUCAACUCUCCUCACUGAUUUGGCUGUGGUGGAAGAAAGGAUUGAGUGGAAAGCAACUUGGGAAGGCUAGAGAUCAAGCUUCAUAUGGUGGGAGUGGAGCAACUUGAUCUCAACACAAGGGUAGGUAGUUCUCUUCUCAGAAAUGUAAGGUAGGAGUGGUAGUUCUUUAUGAUGGCUCUCUCCACGAAUGAAGAGGGGGUGGAGGGGUAUAAAUAGCCUCCACACAAAAUCCAACCGUUACACACAUUUGAGCAAUCUCGGUGGGACUGAAGUGGACAACUCGGUGAGACCGAUAGUUCAAAUAAUGUGAACAUUGGGAUUUUCGGUGGGACCGAAUAUACAAUCUCGGUUAGUCCGAUUCGUGCAAUGACACUAGCAUGCCAGUUUUGGUGGGACCGACUUCAUCAUCUCGGUGACACCGAUUUGAUGACAGAAGGUUACAGAACCUUGGCAACUCAUGUUUCGGUGAGACCGAGUUCAGAAUCGGAAAAUCCGAGUUUACUAGGGUUUGGCUUAUGGCUAAGGUGGUUCAUCUCGGUGUGACUGAGUUUGGAAUAUCGGUGGGACCGAGACUACUUAUGAGUGUCUAUGGCAGUGAAAGUUGCUGAUAGUUUAGGAGAUGUAUCACUAAGCACUUGAGCAACCAGAUCAUCAUCAUAACCUCAUGCCCUUUUAAUAGUAUUGGCUUUUCCUAUGGACUCAAUGUGAUCUUGGAUCACUAAACCAAAAAUGGAGUCUUGAGCUUUUGCCAAUGCUUGCCUUAGCAUUUUGGGGGGUCCACUUCUUCAGUCCUUGCCAUACCCAUAUCACUGAACUCUCUGAAAUGAUUCUCAAGUAACUAUUAGUUCAAUGAUAUAUAUGUUGUUAUUAGUUACCAAAACCACCCGGGGAUUAGUUGCACUUUCAAUCUCCCCCUUUUUGGUAAUUGAUGACAACAUAUAGAUCAAAGCUUCGACAAAGGAUAUAAUCAAUGAAUAAUAUCGUCGCUUUGAGAAGUAUGUGAUAAGCAAGAGCUCCCCCUAAAUUUGUGCAUUAUUUAAGAUUUGCGUUUGAAUGCAAAUGCACAAUCGAUUAGGAUCAUGGGUCACUCUUCCAUGUCACAUACAUCUUGGUGGAGCAAACAAAAUGAUAAGAAUGAACAGCAUGCACCCAAUCACCAAGACAUGAGUAAAUGGUCAUACGAGAUAGGAAUGUCAUAUGAUAAGCAUUAAGCACACAUUAAAGCAUAGUAAGACCAAGCACUCAUUAAGGUAGAAUCAAACGGAGUAUCAAACACACUGAAUGUCUCGAAAACCAAAAGUAUCUCAAACAAACCGCAAAAGAACGAAAGAGCAAAACCGCAAAGACAACAGCACUCUCUCUCUCUCGAAGCCCUAUGAUCUAUACAAUUUCUCCCCCUUUGGCAACAAGUUACCAAAAAGUUCGAAAAAGCAUAGAGCUAAGCGUCACUGUGGACUCUGCUGGCGGCUCCCGUCUGGGUUGAUGUCGGAGUGGAUAUGACAGCAUCGGCAAAGACUUCAGCUGAUGUCUGUGCUGGAGGAGUGGACACUGGAGCUGGAGCUGGAGUAGGAGCAACUGCUGGAACUGUGGGAGGUGCUGAAGCUGUAGUCCUGGUGUCAGUCACUGGAAUAGCAGCUGAUCGGGAUCCUUUGGGAACUGGAGCAGUCUGUCGAUGAGAAUCCUGGACUAAGUCAUCCUGCAACUCACGCAUAAGCUCUGCCUUGUCCUGCUUUGCUUCCUCAAUGUCUGCCUCGAGCUUGUUGACGGUCACUUGUACUUCAGUCAGCUUCAUGUCCAGAGCGUGGAUCUUCUCGUCAACAAUCCUCUCUAAGCUCUCCUGAGACUGUUCAAUGCUGGCCAGGCGUUGUUCAAUCCUUUGAGUAGCUUCAAGAAUUUGCUCUCCGAAACUCUUUGGUUUAGCUGCUGCUGCUGCUGCUUCCUUGUCAGCUUUGGCUUUCUUAGCAGCUGCGAUCUUGGCUUGACCUUCAACAGAUGUCGGAUCCUCCUCAUCCAUCACAACAACAUUGUCUUCAUGCUCUGGCUGCAACGGUAAAUGUUCUCUAUCCAACAAGAAUGUGCCCGUGCCAAACUUGGCAUUGAUAAGCAUAUGAAUCUGCGGGGCAAAUCCACACGACCUUUUGUGAUCAGCUGCAGUCCUCUUAAUGGUCUCUACCAUCAAGUUCAUCACCUUGAAAGGUGCUCUCUCAUCAAGUAUGUGCAGCAUGUUGAUAGAGUAUCCUCUGAUCAUGCGAUCAUCUCCAGAUUUGGGCAUCAAGGUAUGCCUCAAAAUGGUAUUAGUUGUAGGUAAGCCUACCUGGAGAUGGUAGACUGAGCCGAGCUUCCAGAUUUGCAAAUCCUCUGCUGGAACCUCUUUGUACAUGUUUUUCAUGGAUUCAUGAUUCUUCUUUGGAAUCCCAUAUACAUCAAUAUCAUCUUCUCAUUGCAUUGGAGCAUUCAGAAUUUCUGCCCAUUCUUCAACAGAAGAAGAAAACCUUUGACCUUCAGUCAUCCACAUAAUCUUUCCAUCAGGGUAGAAGUGAGCUGUGGCGUAAAAUUGCAUUAUCAUCUCAUCGUUCCAACUGGUCAAUUUCUGACCUACAAAAUCUGCAACUCCACAUGCAGUGAAACUUUCAUGCACAUGUGGAAAGAAAUCUCUGUGCUCUUCGCUGUCAAUGUACUUCCAGUCAACAUAUCUGGUGUCUGCGACUAUGGGCUUCUUGUCCAUCAGCACGGUCUCAUAGAAGUCCUGCUGCUCUCUGGUGUGAAAUCUGGGAUCUACAGCAGUUCUUCUCCUCACGGCAUAUGGGUCAGUUGGUCUCCAUAGCCUGAGACCUUUAUCUUUCCUUGCCUUCAUAUCCUCAGCUUGAGGAUGAGCAUCAUUAUGGAGUGGCAGUUUUGGACGAAGUUUCAGCAAAACUGGUCCUUCAUCGUCAAACUCAGCUAGUGGCACAUCAUCCUUGUUCUUUUCAGACGCUGGAAUGUUUCUGAUGGUCCUCCUGGGCUUGGCAGCAGGCUUUGCUGGAGCUGCCUUAGCUGGAGCAGAUUUCUUGGGCUUUGAUGUGGCUCCAGCCUUAAUGGCAUCACCCAUGAGCUUCGGCUUCUGAGGAGGAGGCUGGGGUGCUUCCUCAUCCUCAUCCUCUACUGCUGCAUCUGCAUGCACUAUUCUCUUUCUCUUGGUGGUUUUCUUCACUUUGCUUGCAGCUGCCUCUCCCAAAUUCAGCUUCUUAGCAACAGUUGACUGCUUGACUUUGCUGGUGCCCUUCUUAGAUUGUUGAUCUUGUUGCUCUUUGGCAACAACCUUCCUUUUAGGCUUUGAGGUCACCUCUUCCUCAACAACAAAAUAUGAAUCCUCAUCAUCUGAAUUCCUCUUCUUUCUAGCUCUGGUGGCUGCAGGAGGCAUGCCACUUGGUGUACUCCUCUCACCAUCAUCAGAUGAGCUACUAGGAUCAGGACUAGUGCCUGCCUCUAGAAUGUCUGCAAUGGGUGUCUCUGACCUGUUCUCACUGUCACUGGCAUCUGACAUGGCUGACAACCUGUGAAUAGAUAAGGUGUAGGCAGAGAAGAAGAGUCAUCACAAACUGCAGAAGUUUUUGCAAAAAAAAUGAGUUCAAAUUCUAGUAUUAAGUUUUCACAGAAGACAUUUCGGUCAGACCGAGUUUAAGGUUCGGUGAAUCCGAAGUGUUAAAUAGGAGCUUGGCACACCACUUUCGGUUUGACCGAAGUGGGUUUCGGUCCUGCCGAAAACACUAGGGUUUCACAGAAUCUUCAUUUCGGUCACACCGAUUUUGCACAACUCGGUUGGACCGAAGGGUGCAGUGCAAUGGCCAUAGGCCAAAUCGGUCAUACCGAAAAUAUAAAAUAGGUCUCACCGAGAUGUGUUCCGCGGAAACCUAACCCUAAAACUUUUACUCGAAUCUAGUUCAAACGAACCAAUCUGGUGUACAGGAGGAUUUCAAUCGUGGCAAGAUACUAGGCAAUCCAAACGUGCAUUGAAUCGGAGAUGGGAGCACGAGUGGGAUCAAAACUCACCCUAACUUGGUGGAGUUUUUCUACGGCGGCAACGGCUCGGAGGAGAUGGCCGUUGACGGCGACGGAGACCUGCGGCGAGGGCGCACAUGCGACGACGGCGACGAUCCGGAGACCAAGGCGACGGCAGCAAGGCGUGUGGGGGCGAAACGUUUGAAGGAGGAAUCAACGCGCGCGACCCUCGGAAUAUAUACCCCUUCGCUGUCAGUGGGACCGAGUUGUAAAACUCGGUGGCACCGAGAUGGAUAACUGCUAGGCAGUUAUGCACUUCGGUCACGCCGAAAAUCACAACUCAGUUUCACCGAGAUGAAAACCUAGAUCAGUCUAAAUGCUUUCGGUUCGACCGAGUUUGAGUGAGUUGGUCUGACCGAAAUCAAUUAGAAGGUUUUGGAAAUUAGCCCUUGACGGAUCGGUGGCUCCGAGUGCUCCUCACCCGGAGGGUCCGAAAAUGACUUGUUCAAAAUUUAUGAUGUAAGCAUGAAUAGAAUUUGAGACAAGAAAGCAUAGAUAGCUAGGGGAGGUACUUAGGCAUUCUUGUCCAUCCAUUUGGUCAGAAAAAUCAAAACGACCAAAACAACAAAUGGAUGUCCUCGAAUGGAUAAAAUCAUGCAUCCAACAUGCUCACACAAUAAGAUAGCAAAUGAAAUAUGUGUCAAACAUGCACAACCAAAACUCUAGCAACUAACACACAAUUUGUCGAUGACUAGGUCAUCUUUAUAUGAGUAUAUUGACUUAGGAGCCAAAUGAGAACAUUUGAUCAUAGGUCAUACUCAUCGUUUAAGCACAAGUGGGGUUACCACUUUUACAUAAAGCAUUGAUGUGUUCACAUCAUUUGAAGAUGCUUUAGCUCAAUUUUUAGAGCAAAGCUCCCCCUAGAUGUGAGAACCCCUUUUAAAGGGUCAAACUAACCUUGGGUUGUCGUAGAAGACUUCAUGUAGAUGUUGAAGAUGUGGAUGCUCAAUGUUGAUGGAGAUCAUCAAGAGUUGGGAGCUAUCCUUUGGAUUCGGGCACUUUCAAUACCUACAUGGGUUAGUCCCACAAGGAACAAACAAGGAUAUCCAUGGACAUAGAUUGAAGUUCACAAUAGAUGAUGUCCAUGAAAGCAAUGAUUACCUUGUCCCUUGACUUACCAACAAGAGGGUUUGUGACUCCAUGAACUAGUGCACGAUGUGGAAGUUGAUUGCACAAGUUUUUACCAAAAUGAAUGUGAGUGAAGUAUGUUGGCGGAGUCACCCUCAAGAACUUUCUAGUUCUUCUUCUUCGGGAUCCACAUCAUCUUGAUGGGAAUCCUUGGGGUUGUAGUUGAGCUUGACGAAGUAGAACUUGACGUUUCCUUGGGAACCCACUUGACCAUGGCUUGAGGUGCUUCAACAAAUGCAUCAAUCUCCUCUUGAAGCUUGUCCUUGCCUUUUAGCUUGUGGUCUUGUGGUGGAAGGUCAUCUUGAGCUUGUUCCACAUUGGAAGAAGUAGGAUCAUACUUCUCCUUUUGAGGAACAAACUGUGGAGUAGGAUAUUGACCUUCUUCCCACUCAACGCCUUCGGCGUUGAACUUUCGCUCAAAACCAAUUCCUUGAUUCUUCCGGUGCCUUCCUUGCUUGCGAACAAUUUCCUCAAAGUUCUUGCUUCCGGCAAGGCUCUUGUAGACACCUUUCUCUAUGAUCCCUUUCAAUAAACUAUUCUCUUGCUCAAGUGUAACUUGGCUUGAAACAUUGUUAGUGGAAUCAAGAGAACUACUAGAAGCAACAACAUUGGAUUUAGCAUGGUUAUUGUUACUGCUAGAGGAAGAAUUUUUCUUAUGCUUGUCAUGCUUAGUCUUAAUGGGUGGCAAGAAAUUAGACAAGAGAAGUCGUUUGGCAAGAUAUGAAGAACUCUUCUUUCGAAGAUCGUCAUUGAUUGCUUUUAGAAACUCAUGUUCUUGCUCUAGAGUGAGCUUCUCGAAGCGUAGCUUCUCAUGAGAUCUUAGGAGCUCUCUAUGAUCUUCUUGAGUUGUUUCAUGAGCUAACUUAAGAGUGUUUAGUUCUUUAGUUAGACGCUCAAUCUCCUUCAUAGCAUUGUCAUUCGACUCUUCUCGACUAUAAAGACUACUAGCAUGUUCAUCGUUACUAGGCUCACUGGAUUUAUCAUGCAAGAGCUCAUCUUCACCAAGCAAGUCAUCCUCAUCACUAUCGAAGUCAAUGAAUUCAGGGUGUGAUACCUUGGGGCCUUUAGCCAUGAAGCAUCUUCCAAUUCCCUCAUUUGGUGAAUCAAAUAAGUCGUAGGAGUUCGAGUUGGAGGAUACGAGAGCAAGACCGGCAACACCUUCAUCUUGACUGUAGUCGGAGUCGGAGUGAUAGCUUCCUUCGGAUUGAUUGUCGGAGUCGGAGCCGGAGACCCAUUCUCCUACAUGAGCUUGAUGUUUUCUUCUUGUGUAGCUCCUUGAUGACUUGUCUUUCCUCUCCGAAUCCUUGCUUCUCCGAGAGGGUCUUCGUUCAUAACGAUCAUCUCUGCUCCUUCUCUCUUUCCGAGGUGACUCAUCUCUUGAGCUUCUUCUUCUUGGAGAUUCUUCUCUUCUCUUGUGGGGAGCCGUACACUCAUUUGAGUAGUGUCCGGGUCUUCCACAAUUGUAGCAGUUUCGAUCACGACUAGAAGAUCUCUUUUCAUCAUAUGAUCUAGACUUUGAGCUUCUCUCUUUGCCUCUAUUCUUGUAGAAUUUGUUGAAGUUCUUGACCAUUAGGCUUAUCUCUUCAUUGGAAACUAACUUGUCACUUGAGGUUGUGGGAGCAUCACUUGUAGCUUUGUAAGCACCACUUGACUUGUUGUGAAGCUCAUCCUUAUCCUUAAGUGUCAUCUCAUGAGCAACAAUUCUUCCAAUGACUUCAGUUGGCUUGAGAGUCUUGUAGUUUGGCAUCAUUUGGAUCAAAGUGCACACGGUGUCAUACUUUCCAUCCAAAGCUCUGAGAAUCUUCUUGAUGAUGAAUCGGUCGGUCAUUUCUUCGCUUCCUAAGCCGGCAAUCUCAUUUGUGAUGAGAGCAAGCCUAGAGUACAUUUCAGCGACUCCUUCACCAUCCUUCAUCUUGAACUUGUCAAGUUGACCUUGAAGAAUAUCUAGCUUUGAUUCCUUCACGGACUCGGUACCUUCGUGCAUUUCAACCAAAGUAUCCCAAAUCUCUUUUGCAUUCUCAAGACGGCUGAUUUUGUUGAACUCCUCGGGACACAAGGCAUUGAAGAGAAUGUCGCAAGCUUGAGCAUUGUUUUGCAACAUCUGCAAUUCUUCCGGUGUAGCUUCGCGAUCCGGAACUUUUCCUUCCUCGAAGAAUUCACCUUGCAUACCAACACAAAUAAUGCCCCAUGCGGCUGGGUUAUGACCAAGAAUAUGCAUUUUCAUUUUAUGCUUCCAACUAGCAAAACUUGUACCAUCAAAGUAAGGACCUCUACGAAAAUUACCCUCACUAGACGCCAUACUCUCCUAGGUUGUGAAACCAAGCUUAUGGAGUCCAAUGCAAUGGAAACCAAUACAAUGGAGACCAAAGCUCUGAUACCACUUGUAGGAUCGAAAGUAUGUCUAGAGGGGGGGGUGAUUAGACUACUUGUCAAUAUAAAAAUUCUGCCUUUUGACAAAGAACAGUUUUUGGCAGAUUAACAAUUAUAAUCAAGUCAAGCAUCACCCUACACAUGCAAUUCUAGAGUAUAGGCAGCGGAAAGUAAAUUGCACAUGUAGUAAAGAGAGGUGGAGAAGAGCAAACGCAAUUUUGGAGACGCGGUGAUUUUUCCCGUGGUUCCGAUAGGUGGCGCUAUCGUACAUCCACGUUGAUGGAGACUUCAACCCACGGAGGGUAACGGCUGCGCGAGUCCACGGAGGGCUCCACCCACGAAGGGUCCACGAAGAAGCAACCUUGUCUAUUCCAUCAUGGCCUACGCCCACGGAGGGCUAGCCUUACUCGGGGUAGAUCUUCACGAAGUAGGCGAUCUCCUUGCCCUUACAAACUUCUUGGUUCAACUCCACAUCUCGACGACGGAGGCUCCCAAGCGACACCUAACCAAUCUAGGAGGCACCACCCUCCAAAAGGUAAUAGAUGUUGUAGAUGAUGAUGAACUCCUUGCUCUUGUGCUUCAAAUGAUAAUCUCCCCAACACUCAACUCUCCUCACUGAUUUGGCUGUGGUGGAAGAAAGGAUUGAGUGGAAAGCAACUUGGGAAGGCUAGAGAUCAAGAUUCAUAUGGUGGGAGUGGAGCAACUUGAUCUCAACACAAGGGUAGGUAGUUCUCUUCUCAGAAAUGUAAGGUAGGAGUGGUAGUUCUUUCUGAUGGCUCUCUCCACGAAUGAAGAGGGGGUGGAGGGGUAUAAAUAGCCUCCACACAAAAUCCAACCGUUACACACAUUUGAGCAAUCUCGGUGGGACCGAAGUGGACAACUCGGUGAGACCGAUAGUUCAAAUAAUGUGAACGUUGGGAUUUUCGGUGGGACCGAAUAUACAAUCUCGGUUAGUCCGAUUCAUGCAAUGACACUAGCAUGCCAGUUUCAGUGGGACCGACUUCAUCAUCUCGGUGACACCGAUUUGAUGACAGAAGGUUACAGAACCUUGGCAACUCAUGUUUCGGUGAGACCGAGUUCAAAAUCGGAAAAUCCGAGUUUACUAGGGUUUGGCUUAUGGCUGAGGUGGUUCAUCUUGGUGUGACUGAGUUUGGAAUAUCGAUGGGACCGAGACUACUUAUGAGUGUCUAUGGCAGUGAAAGUUGCUGAUAGUUUAGGAGAUGUAUCACUAAGCACUUGAGCAACCAGAUCAUCAUCAUAACCUCAUCCCCUUUUAAUAGUAUUGGCUUUUCCUAUGGACUCAAUGUGAUCUUGGAUCACUAAACCAAAAAUGGAGUCUUGAGCUUUUGCCAAUGCUUGCCUUAGCAUUUUGGGGGGUCCACUUCUUCAGUCCUUGCCAUACCCAUAUCACUGAACUCUCUGAAAUGAUUCUCAAGUAACUAUUAGUUCAAUGAUAUAUAUGUUGUUAUUAGUUACCAAAACCACCCGGGGAUUUGUUGCACUUUCACUUCCAUACUACUUUGCUACUAAAUACUUUGCUGCAGAUAUUAAGUCUUUCAGGUGUGGUUGAAUUGACAACUCAACUGCUAAUACUUGAGAAUAUUGUUUGGCUCCCCUUGUGUCGAAUCAAUAAACUUGGGUUGAAUACUCUACCCUUGAAAAGUGUUACGAUCCCCUAUACUUGUGGAUUAUCAAGGAGCAUCAAGUGUUGAUGGUUAACAAGACCACUAGUUUCAAGAAAAAUGGCAAAGGGAAGAAAGGGAACUUCAAGAAGAACGACAAGCAAUUUGCCCUCCCGAGAAUAAACCCAAAGCUAGACCUAAGCCUAAAACUGAGUGCUUCUACUGCAAAGGGAGUGGCCACUGGAAACGGAACUACCCCAAGUAUUUGGCGGAUAAGAAGAAUUGCAAAGUGAACAAAGGUAUAUUGAAUAUACAUGUUAUUGAUGUGUUCCUUACUAAUGCUCGUAGCAGCGCGUGGGUAUUUGAUACUUGUUCGGUUGCGCAUAUUUGUAACUCAAAACAGGAGUUGUGGAAUAAAUGAAGAUUUUCUAAGGACGAGGUGACGAUGCACGUCAGAAAUGGUUCCAAGGUCGAUGUGAUCGCCGUCGGCAUGAUACCUCUACAUCUACCUUCGGGAUUAGUUUUAGACCUCAAUAAUUGUUAUUUGGUGCCAGUGUUGAGCAUGAACAUUAUAUCUGAUCUUGUUUAUUGCGAGAUGGUUGUUCAUUUAAGUCAAAGAAUAAUGGUUGUUCUAUUUAUAUGAAUAAUAUAUUUUACGGUCAUGCACCCUUGAAGAGUGGUGUAUUCUUGUUAAAUCUUGAUUGUAGUGAUACACAUAUUCAUAAUAUUGAUGCCAAAAGAUGCAAACUUGAUAAUGACAGUGCAACAUAUUUGUGGCACUGUCGUUUUGGUCAUAUUGGUGUAAAGCACAUGAAGAAACUCUAUGCAGAUGGACUUUUGGAAUCAAUUGAUUGUGAAUCAUUUGAUACUUGCGAACCAUGCCUCAUCGGCAAGAUGACUAAAACUCUGUUCUUCAGAACAAUGGAGCGAGCUAAUGAAUUAUUGGAAAUCAUACAUACAGAUGUAUGUGAUCCGAUGAGUGUUGAAGCACACGGCGGGUAUCGUUAUUUUCUCACCUUCACAGGUGAUUUGAGUAGGUAUGGGUAUAUCUACUUGAUGGAACACAAGUCUGAAACAUUUGAAAAGUUCAAAGAAUUUCAGAGUGAAGUGGAGAAUCAUCGUAACAAGAAAAUAAAGUCUCUAUGAUCCGAUUGCAGAGGCAAAUAUUUGAGUUACAAGUUUGGCCUUCAUUUAAAACAAUGUGGAAUUUUUUCACAACUCAUGCCACCUGGAACACCACGGCGUAAUGGUGUGUCCGAACGUCGUAACCAUACUUUAUUAGAUAUGGUGCGUUCUAUGAUGUCUCUUACCGAUUUACCACUAUCAUUUUGGGGUUAUGCAUUAGAGACAGCUACAUUCACGUUUAAUAGGACAACAUCUAAAUCCGUUGAGAUGACACCGUAUUAACUGCGGUUUGGCAAGAAAACUAAGUUGUCAUUUCUUAAAGUUUGGGGAUGCGAUGCUUAUGUUAAAAGGCUGCGGCGAGAUAUGCUCAAACCCAAAUCAAGGAAGUGCGUCUUGAUAGGAUACCCGAAAGAAACUAUUGGGUACACCUUCUACCAUAGACCCGAAGGCAAGAUCUUUGUAGCUAAGUUUGGGUCCUUUCUAGAGAAGGAGUUUCUCUCGAAAGAAGUGAGUGGGAGGAAAGUAGAACUUGAUGCGGUAAUUGUACCUUCUCUCGAAUUGGAGAGUAGCAUAUCACAGAAAGUUGUUCCCGUGAUGCCUACACCAAUCAGAGAGGAAGCAAAUGAUAAUGAUCAUGAAACUUCAGAUCAAGUGACUAUAGAACCUCAUAGGUCGACCAGGGCACGGUCCACACCAUAGUGGUACGGUAAUCCUGUUCUGAAAGACAUGUUAGUAGACCAAGGCAAACCUAUGAACUAUGAAGAAGCUAUGAUGAGCCCAUAUUCCGACAAAUGGCUUGAGGCCAUGAAAUCUAAGGUAGGAUCCAUGUAUGAGAACAAAGUGUGGACUUUGUUGGAUUUGCCCGAUGAUCAGCAAGCCAUAGAGAAUAAAUGGAUCUUCAAGAAGAAGGCUGACGAUGAUGGUAAUGUUACUAUCUCCAAAGAUCGACUUGUCGCAAAAGGUUUUCGACAAGUUCAAGGAGUUGACUAUGAUGAGACUUUCUCACCAGUAGCGAUGCUUAAGUCUGUCUGAAUCAUGUUAGCAAUUGCUGCACUUUAUGAUUGUGAAAUAUGGCAAAUGGACGUGAAAACCGCAUUCCUCACUGGAUUUCUUAAAGAAGAGUUUUAUAUGAUGCAACCAGAAGGUUUUGUCGAUCCUAAAGAUGCUAACAAAGUGUGCAAGCUCCAGCGAUCCAUCUAUGUACUGGUGCAAGCAUCUCGGAGUUGGAAUAUAUGCUUUGAUGAAGUGAUCAAAGCAUAUGGUUUUAUACAGACUUACGGUGAAGCCUGUAUUUACCAGAAAGUGAGUGGGAGCUAUGUAGCAUUUCUGGUAUUAUAUGUGGAUGACAUAUUAUUGAUUGGAAAGGAUAUAGAAUUUCUAGAUAGCAUAAAAGGAUACUUGAAUAAGAAUUUUUCAAUGAAAUACCUCGGGGAACACUACAAAAAAAUACACUUCCGUGAUGAUACGUGUUUGUCACAGUAGGUCGUGUUUUUUGUCAUGCAUGUACAUCCAUGACGAUUUUAUGACAGAAUCAAGAUAGUCAUACUUGUGCUGUCGUAGAAGUGUUCCAUGACAUUACCAAAAUUAUCAUCACGGAAGUGUCCACUUCCAUGACGAUAAAUCGCGCAUCACAGAAGUGCUUUCGUCAAGGGUGACUGACACAUGGCAUCCACCGUAACGGAACGUCGUUAAGCUAUCGGGUCGGUUUUUGGAUCCGAUAACCCGUUAACAGCCCCGACCAAUGGGGAUUUUCCACGUGUAAAAUCAUCAUUGGCUAGAGGAAACAUGUUUCGGCUCAUCGUUGGGAUAGAUGUCAUCCACUCAUUGGACAGAAGGCGCCUAUGAUACAUCCACACGUGGCACGGCCCAACAGAGGCCCAUUCCUAUGAAAAGGCCCACCCGUUUGACUUGGUCAAAAGGUGGCGGGCCGGCCCAUGGAAAGCCUGUUAACGGCCUGUUCGCAUAUAGCCCAUUUACAACCCGCUAACCCAAGGCCCAUUACGCCCUAUCCGAAUUAGGCCUAGUAGCGUCAUUUGGGCCAUCCAAUAUGAUUCCAGUCCGGUUUCACUUUUAGCCCAUGUGUGGCCCAUGACGUCUUUCGGCCCAUAUGAGGCCCUAUGUAACUCUUGGCCUAUUAACGGCCCGUGGUGAAACUAGCCCGCAAUGAACAGUGUAUCACUUUACACCCAUUACCGGCCCAUGGUGAAACUGGCCCGUGAUGAACAGUGUAUCACUUUAUACCCAUUAAGGGCCCGUUAUUCAGUUGGGCCUUUUCCAGCCCAUGUUAUCUUUCGGCCUUCUCAGUGCCCAUUUAUUCUUGGGCUCAUUUCCAGCAUUCGUUUACUUACGGCCCAUUACUGUCAUUUUCUUCUUGUGGGCCAAAUUCAGCCCGUGGUUACAAUCGACCCGUUUGUGGUCCGUUAAUACAUUGGGCCGUUUUCAUAGCGCCAUCCAAUACGGCCUAUUAACGAUGGCCCGUUAUGGUCGGCCCAUUACGGACGAUUCCAACUCUAGCACGUUUACAGCCAUAAUGCGGUCUGUUAUUGGCCCAUGUUUGGCCAAUCGAUCAUACGGCCCGUAUAAGGCCCAUUGAUGAUAUGGCCCGUAGAAGGCCCAUUGUUUCUACGGCCCGUAGAAGGCCCAAUGUUUCUACGGCCCGUAGAAGGCCUACUGUUUCUAGGGCCCGUAGAAGGCCCACUGUUUCUACGGCCCGUAAGAGGCCCAGUGUCACUAUAGUAAAUAUUAGCCCAUCGUUAUUGUGGCCUAGUUUUAAAAAAUAGGUUAUUGCAGCCACUAGCAAACCGCAGAAAAAGAACUGCACUGACUACAAUCAAACAAAUAAACAAGACAACAAGGAAAUAAAUAAGCAAGCAACUUAUGCUAGGCUAUCAUGGCUCUUACACAUAUUACAUCCGCUGGGCAUCAAAGUUCGCCACCAGUGCAAAUAUAGGGAACACAGCAGCAUAUAAACACCGCAGCAAAACAAGUCUAGAACUGAAACCACUUCAGAAUAGUUCAAGAAACAAUAUCCUGUGUACCCAUAAUGCUGGCAAGAUGCUUAGCAAGCUUAUUAACUUUCUCUUGUUUGGCGCUUAAAUCCUCCAGCGCUUGUUGUUGCACAAGAAAGUAUGCAUCUGAAUUCGGUAGGGACUUCCUCAGUCCUUCGGCUUCUUGCCGCAGCACAGCUGACUGAUGCCUUUCAGCUUGUAGCUGAGACUGAAGAUGCCGUAUUGAUUCAGGCAGCAAGUUCGAAGAGCUUGUGCCAGCGGUACUGGCCAGUAACUCAAACACUACAUCAACGUAGGACUGUGGGGUUUUCUCACUAUCUACAAGAUCGUUUUUAUCACCUUUCUUGGAGACCAACAGGGUUGUCUCACUAUCUUGAACCUUAUCCGCAUUACUUUCUCUACCAUUGCAUAGUGGGGUACUCUUCUCCAAUAUUCUGUUUGCAUACUACAAGAGAAACAAGCAGACACAUCACAGGUUUAUCUUGUAGUAUACCAAACUCAUUUUGGUAAACCGGUUCAGUAGUAAGGUGGACAGGAUAAAAGCAUGAAACAAACAUAUAUCUAUGUACUAUGGUCACUGUAUUGUCCAUAUCAUUCUAGUUUAUGUUCCCUAAUCAAGAUAGAGACACGGUUCAACUCAUAUAUUUUUAAGACACAGCAGCAUAGACAGAAUAUAAGUGUGAGAAACUACACAACAUUGGCAGCACUUGUAAUGUGCAUCACAUGAGAACAUAAUCGUUUAUACAACUUAAACUGAAAUCAACAUAGAGCAAGAAGUUAGAACAGCAAUCCAGUUAAGGAAAUAGGUUUAAAACAUACCUGUUGCGCCAUUGGAGUUUCAAUUGGAUCCUUCAAAUUCGAAAGUAGUUGGUAUGAGUAAAUACAGUGAUGCAACAGCAAAGGAGUAUGGACCAUAGCUACGGAAUCUGACCUGAGAACAGUUGCUCUUCUGCUUUAAACGUGGAGUUUGGGUUAGCUGUGGUGGUCUUCGUGCUUUGGGCACUGCAGUAGCUUUAGAAACUGCUCGUGUGGGGGUACUCUGUGGUGGACAUGGUGCUUUGUCAACUAUAAGUGGGUUACUAUCCGCUGGGGUUGCAGUCAGAUGGGUUAUAGCUGGUUCUCCGCCCAACAGUGUAAGUGUCCACUUUGGAAGAGUCUCGAUUAUGUGUGGUGGUUUUUGCUCCCUUAGAUACUGCCAUCACCCUCUCCAAUUCAAAUGGCUGAUAAAAAAGAAAAGAAAUUGAACGUACAGACAUUGUAUGAUAGACAGAUGUGGUAAUUCACAUAUAUGUUGUCUAACCAAACAGGACAGCAUGUCACAAUUUCACAUAUAUGAUGCCUAACUAAACAGGAUAGCAUGACAUAGUUUCAGAUAUAUGAUGGAUAACUUAAUAGGAUAUAAUGGCAUAAUUCCACAUAUGAUGAGUACCUAAAUAGGAUGACAUGACAAAACUAUAUGAUGUCUUUCUAAAAUAUGUUGGGAUGAAAUAAUUCACAUACAUGUUGUCUAAGUAUACAGGAUGGCAUGAUAUAAUUGACAUAAUUGAUUGAUAUACUAAGCAGCUGGCACUCACAUGUAUGAUCUCUAAACUAAGCAGAUAGAAUUCAAUAUUGUGCAUAUGAUGUCUAAACUAAGCAAUGCAAGACACCAUAUGCAUCAUAUGAGAAAUAUAAACAUUGCAACUUAGAGCAUACACCUCAGGUGGGAUAUAGGACUGGUCAUCUGUCUCGGAAUCCUCCUCUGAGGAGCUCCCUGUAACCAUUGAGAUAUAUGCUUCAACAGGUACCAUUGCCUGCUCUGAAGACCUUGUUUUCACUCCAGAUUUUUCCAUAAUCGGAUCAAAUGGCUGAUACACAUGAAGAGUAGUUCAAUAUACAUAGAUUGUCGACAAAUGGAAUACGUAAUGAAAAAAAGAUGGCAUGAGAUAAUUCACAUAUAUGAUGCAUGGCUCCAUGGCGGUGCAUAAUUCACAUAUAUGAUAACUGGCUGAAAAACAUGGCAUUGCAUAAUUCACAUAUCUGAUAUAGAAAGCAAAUAGGAGGCAUUCACACAAAGCAUCUCUAAUCUAAGCAGAUGGCAUGGCAAUGCAAGACACCAUAUGCAUGAUAUUAGCAAUAUAACCCAGCCAAGUUAGAGCAUGCACCUCGGGGGGAUACGACUGGUCAUCUCUCUCUGAAUACUCCUCUGAGGAGAUAUUUGGAACCAGCAAGAAAUCUGCAUCGACGGGUAGCACUGACUGCUCAGAAGACCUUCUUUUCACUCCAGAUUUUCCCAUGACCGACUCAAAUGGCUGAUGCACAGGAAGAGUAGAUGAAUGUAUAAACAUUGUUGACAAAUGGAAUACAUUAUGGAAAAAAAAUAUGGCACGAUACAAUUCACAUAUAUGAUGACUGGCUAAACAGGAUGGCAUUGCAUGAUUCACGUAUAUGAUGCCUGGCUAAAGAAGAUGGCAUUGCAUAAUUCCCAUAUACUCCCUCCAUUCCUAAAUAUUUGUCUUUUUAGAGAUUUCAAAUGGACUACCACAUACGGAUGUAUAUAAACAUAUUUUAGAGUGUAGAUUCACUCAUUUUGUUCCGUAUCUAGUCACUUGUUAAAAUCUCUAAAAAGACAAAUAUUUAGGAAUGGUGGGAGUAUGAUAUAGAAACCAAACAGGUGGCAUUCACAUAAAGCAAAUCUAAACUAAUCUGAUGACAUAUAAGAUGUAUAAUGUAAGCAAUGCACGGCGCCAUAUGCAUGAUAUGACCAACAUCAGCAUGCCAGGUUAGAGCAAACACCUCAGGUGGUAAACAGGCCUGGUCAGCUCCUUCUGAAUCUCCAUCUGAACAGUUAUCUUCCUCUAGAAUACAAUCUGGAAAUGCAGGAGAGGGGGGGCACUUCGCCCACCAUGGAGCAGCAUCUGCAUGACAUUAUAUUCGCACGCAAUGGUCUUCUCUUUUUAUCUACAUGUUCAGUACGAUUGUGUACAAUAUCUGACAUGCAUAAUAAAAAAUAGUAAGAUUUUGUAAGGCCUAAGGGGUGCAUGCAAAAAUCAAGACUGAUGGUAGCAAACGAGUGGAUGGAUCCGAAAUUAAUGAUAGCAGGUAGAUUAUAGCUUCAGUUUAAAAAUAUAGACAAUGGAUCAUCUGUUGUUUGUUGCCCACCCAACAUGAACCACAUAGAAGACCCCAGAUGAACCAGAUAGUAGACAGAUACUAUUCAUUGCUGGCUCGAUAUGAGACCCAUGGGCAAUUCUAAACUCAAGAUUGAACGAUAAAAUAGCAGGUAAUAAUAACCGAUGUAUAACGUAAGCAAACACGAAAGACUGCGACCUCUCUUCCGGAACUGUGUAGUCCUCAGGUUCAUCUGAUCAGUCGAUGAUGGUAAUGCAGUUGGCGUGGCUGCCGGCAACGGGGAAGAUGAUCUGAAGCGGCCAAAGAAAGUCUGUAGGCGGAAUCUCUGCUGCAGUGAACGCUUCUGUCGAUGGUGCACCUCAGGUGGGGUGGAUGACGGCACGGCAGGAGCAGGACAUAACACACAGAUUUUUCUUUGACUCCAAUCUGAAAAUGAAGUAAAUCUAUAUGGGCUCCUUAGAACUGGAGGAUUCUAUAAACACAGGGACAGGAAAAACACAGGAAUAGGAUAGGAAUGCACGUGCAAAACAGAGCAUUUGGAAACAUAGGAUUUCAGUCAACCUGGGUGUUUGGCUCACAUGAAUUGGAAGAAAAGAGGAAUGGAGAAACAAAGUGAUGCGACGAGUGUACAACCUCUUUGGCAUAGCCUUGUGGAGCUCAGCAUCAUUGGGUUGGACGUGGAGGAUGGUGAUGAUACAGGUGUGACUGUCGGAGGCGGGGAAGAAGAUCCGAGGCCUCUGGAAACGGCGCCGAGGGUACUGCUCCGUUGUGAUGGACGGUUCCGUCGUUGGAGCAGCUCCGCUAAGGUGUACGGCGACGAGGCUGAAGCAUGACAAGACAAACAACGUUAAUUUGAAGUGGGACCCUAAUAUCAUCUGCAAUAGAUGAUGUAAAAUACAUCACCAAAAAGUGCUAGAUGUAAAACGCAUCAGCCGCGCCACGGCCACUCUGAUAGAUGCUGUAAGUACUGUUCACUCUGAACUUAACUGAAGAAAAUGAACUUCACAGUCGAAACUGAAUUUUACUGUCGAAACUAAUUGAACUAGUAAUAGAGCAUUGCAAUAGAUGUUUAGGGCAUUCGAGCACUAGUAGCAGAGAAGCAGUGAUCUAAAUCAGCAGACGCUCGAGCUGGGAACACACUAGCAGAGAGCAAGUUGUGCGGUAGCACUGCGAGCGAGUGCUAAAGCAGCAAAUCCUGUAGCUGCCGUAGGUCAUGCAGCAGCAGCAGCAGCAGCGCAAGCGAGAGCAAGAGCAGAGCAACAACACGAAUGAAAGCAGGAGCAGUGUAGCAGCGCGACCGACUGCAAGAACGGAGCCGCAGCGCGAGCGAGAGCCGGAGCAACUGCAGCUAGUGCCGUUGUGGAAGUCGCCGAUGAGGAAGCAACGGCAUGGGGGAGAGACACCGUGGAUGAUGUGGUCAGCGACGGCGCCGUCGAUGGUGACGCCAUGUCUGCUUGGUAUCGAGCACCAGCAGCCCCGUGAGAUCGAAUAAAAGAUAAAAUGCAGCGGUGAGUGCAGAACCUCCUUGGUGGCGCCGAGUUGGCCUCGGCUUCAUCGGAGGAAUUGGUGAGGUUGCUGCGGUUCCGGUGGGGCAGGUCAAGACGGCGCUGUGGGCAUUGAGGUGGCGUGAUAGACGAGGCGAACGUCGGGGCAGCUCCUCAACUCCUCAUCCACAAAAAACAAAUCAAUUCCCACCAAAGAAAGAGUAAUGUCCCUUUUUAUAUGAUUACAGAUGCCAUGAUCUCGAAUUUCAAUUUUUGAAUCCACAUUAUGUUGAAUUUGAAUAUAUCAUUAGGUGACCUUGCAGUUUAUAAUCGAUGUAGUCGUACAUUUUAUCUUCCAUCAUAUAUGAACAUUUUACUCCACCAUGUGAAUAUAUAUAUUGUCGUCUACCAUAUGGACUAAAUUUGAAGCAAUUUUCCUUAUUUGAAUACGAUUGUUGUCAAGUUAUACAAUAAUUUAAAUAUUGUCUUGAUAACAAAAAGACAUGCAUAUAGCAGUAAUCAUAUUUCACUAUGAACUACAUGUACCAUACGCUCUCCAAUUCAAAUAUUUGUAUCCAUUUUAUGUUGAAUUCAAAUCAUAGUACAUUAUUAGUCUAGGUAGCGAGAUGUUCGGGAUAAUCUAAACCCUGUUUUCAUACGUAUAAUUUUUGGCUGAAUUGGGACAAGUUUUGGUAUAUGCCUCUUGCAAAACCGGAGAUUCUCUCAACAAGCCUCGUGGUUCCGAGAGGGAAUGUGUCACCUUUGUGUGCGAAACGGUAUACGCUGCCUCCCACCUGAUUUUAUUUACAGAGGCAACAUAGAACUAUAUGAGUGCCCUGUUAAAUUUUGGAAUUAUUUCGGGUUCAUUUGGCCUUUUUAUACAUUAAUUGAGUUUCUGGACUUUUAAUGUGCAUAAUCUAAAUAUGAAUUGCAUGCACAUGCUCCGGUGCACCAAAGUGGGUUGAAAAAUCACAUGUGUGUCCUUGGUUGAAUUUCUAGGUCCCAUGGAAGAAAUGAGACUGAAAUUCAAACAUCUGGGCGUCAUGACUCUACCGAGAACAUUGAGAAACUUAGAUUUUAAAUUCAUGUAAAUCCAACACUCGGCUGGAAAUCAUGAAACUUGGCAUGGUGUCAUGUCAUGGCACUAACAUGUUGUGGUAAAAAAUUGGGCCGAUUUGGAAGCUCGUGGUUCUAAGAGGGAACGUGCCACCUUUGAGUGUGAAACGAUAUACGCUGCCCCCCCCGCCCUUGAGUUUCUUAACAAAGGUAACAUAGAACUACAUUAGUGCCCUGUUAAAUUUUGGAAUUAUUCCGGGUUCGUUUGUCGUUUUUUGUACAUUAAUUGAGUUUCUGGUCAUUUAGUGUGCAUAAGUCAAAUUUGAAUUACAAGCACAUGCUAUCGUGCACCAAAGUUGGUUGAAAAAUCACAUUUGUGUCCUCGGGUGAAUUUCUAGGUCCCAUGCAAGAAAUGAGAAUAAAAUUAAAACAUCUGGGCAUCGUGGCUCGGCCGAGAACAUUGAGAAACUUGGUUUUAAAAUUCUUGUAAAUCCAAAACACAUCUGAAAAUCAUGAAACUUGGCAUGGAUGUCAUGUCAUGGUACUACCAUGUUGUGGUAAAAAAAUGGCCGAAUAGGAACAGAUUUUGGUAUAAGCUUCUUGCAAACUGAAGCUUCUCUCAAGAAGACUCGUGGUUCUGAGAGGGAACGUGCUACCUUUGAGUGCGAAACGAUAUAUGUUGUCCCCCUUGAGUUUAUUUACAAAGGCAACAUAGAACUACAUGAGUGCCAUGUUAAAUUUUGGAAUUAUUCCGGCUUCGUUUGGCCUUAUUUACACAUUAAUUGAGUUUUUGGUCAUUUAAUGUUCAUAAUUCAAAUUUGAACUACAAGCACGUGCUCCAGUGCACCAAAGUUGGUUGAAAAAUCACAUUUGUGUCCUCGGGUGAAUUUCUACUCCCUCCUUCCAUCUGUAUAGAUCCUAAUGCAUUUUUCGAGGCUAACUUUGACCAAAUGUUAGAGCAAUAAUAUAUGACAUGCAACUUACACAAAGCAUACCUUCAAAUUUGUAUGUCAAAGGAGCUUUCAAUAAUAUAAUUUUCAUAGUAUACAUCUCAUGUGCUAUUAAUCUUGUCAAUAGUCAAAGGUUGUCUUGAAAAACACAUUAGGCCCUAUAUAGAUGGAAGGAGGGAGUAGGUCCCAUGCAAAAAAUGAGAAUAAGAUUCAAACAUCUGGGCAUCGUGGCUCGGUCGAGAACAUUGAGAAACUUGGUUUUAAAAUCAUGAAACUUGGCAUGGUGUCAUGUCAUGGUAGUACCAUGUCGUGGUAAAAAAAUUGGCCGAAUAGGAACAAAUUUUGGUAUAAGCUUCUUGCAAAUCAGAGCUUCUCUCAAGAAGGCUCGUGGUUUUGGGAGGGAACGUGUCACCUUUGUGUGCAUAAUUCAAAUUUGAAAUACAAGCACAUGUUCCAGUGCACCAAAGUUGGUUGAAAAGUCACAUGUGUGUCCUCGGAUAAAUUUCUAGGUUCCAUGCAAGAAAUGGGAAUGAAAUUCAAAAUUCUGGGUGUCGUGACUGGGUUGGAAACAUUGAGAAACUUAGUUUUUUAAUUCCUGUAAAUCCAAAACACACAUGAAAAUAAUGAAACUCGGCUUGGUGCCAUGACAUGGCACCAACAUGCUAUCGUAAAUUUGCAGUCCGAUUUGCGUAGGCGCAAACAUUAACAAUUAGCAAAGUCAUUUUGGAACAAGUGUUGUCACGUUACAAUCGGAAACACAAGUAUUAUUGAAACCGUGGGCAUUCUACUUACUAGUACCAUUUACGUGGCUCCAUGCAUCCCCAUUUUUUAUUAGCUAGGAGGCACCAUGCAGGGUAGCUAUUUGAGUACGAGAGGCGUGCGAUCAGACCCCUGCGCGUGCUUAUCGAGAGGAGAGCCUUUUGACCUCCAUCUGCCGUCCACCUCUCUCCCGAGGUCUCCAUUAAUGGCGCCUGAGCCUCUUUCUAAUGGCGUGGCUAUGUCUCACUCGACUGAGAUUUAAGAGAGAAAAAAGAAAAUCUGAAAGCACGGAUCUUGAUGUAAGAUCUGACGGACCUAUAUAGCAUCUACUGCGACUUAUAGCAAGACUGAUGAAUAUAUAAGGACGAUUAUUUUUUUUAUCAAAGAAGGGCUUGCCCCUUCUGAUUUUCAUUACUGAAAACCACCACAAUUCACAAGAAGUUCAGCACAACUCUAGCCUAACACGAAGGACUAAAAGCUACCAGCUUGAAAUUGCAAGAUCCCAAGAGGCCAACAAAGGCCAAACAUCUGUGCUAGAACCCAACAUUUCAUAACCGACGACACAGUCCACAUCCUAAACCGAUUAUUACAUCAAAAGAAACCAGGAAACUGAAGGAAGCCCAGCAGCAACUAGAAGAACAGCAACGCCAGGGUCGCCACAGCAAGAGUUUUCUUCAUUCCAACCUCGCAACAUUGAUCAUCUACAGAAAGAUAACGAUGAUUAAUUGUCUUACAUAAUUAGAAAGAUAAUUAAAAAAGCAACAUGCGGCCACGCCCGAAAUACACAAGGGAAAAACAAGAAGGAAGACAAGGAUCUGGCUCGCUGAUCUCUACUUUCUUGAUGCGUUGCUGCAGGCCGUGGGAACUAGUCUCCGCGGCGAGCGGCGAUGAGCUCUUUCGUGUCCUCAAGACGCUGCUUGAGAACAUCCACGGAUUCCUCCACCAGCCUUUGGCGCUCAUUGCAGAGCAUGUCAUUCUCGUCCAUAAGUUUCUUGACGAUGACGCCGGUCCUCUUCAACAAGGCAAUGGUCUCCUUCUGCUGGUCUGCACUUCGGAUGAUCCCGGAGCCUCUCAUUGCCCUCCCUUAGUUGUUGGAUGACGCUGGUAGACUGUUCAAAUGAGGCUUUCACGUCGUCCUACAACCUUGCCAAGCCGGAGAUCUAAUCCAUCUGGCUAUGGACGAUCGCAUGCAUGCGCCUGUAACAGUCGUCACCUGCCCGCGAGAAAUUUCUCAGGCCGCCGCGGUGUGGCGGGACAUCUCUGCUGCAUUCGUGGUGCGACAGGACAUUUCUGCUGCUUCCGCGGCACGGCCGGACCAGUCUGCUGCAUCGACGGCGCGCGGGACCUCCGUGCUACUUCAGCUGCGCGGCGGGACCUCUGUGCUGCUACUUCCGCGCGGCGGGACAUGUCGGUUGCUCUCGCAGCGAGGCGGGACAUCUCUCGUGCUUCCGCUUCCAUGCUCGCCUCUCGCUGGUGGCAAUCUCUCGACCCAGAACUCACGCUGGCCAUGGCAGACGCAAGGGAAGGAUGCUGAAUGACUUGUUUGUUUUUGUGGAUGAGGAGUUGAGGAGGAUUGUGCAGUCAUCUUGGCAUACUAGUAUUUAUAACCGAGUACUAAUACGCUCCUAAGUGGGAAACCGUUUUGGUUGUGAUCGGUGUGAACAGGUUUGGAAUUCAAUAUAGCGUGGUUCUAAUACGCUCCUAAGUGGGAAACCGUUUAGGUUGUGAUCGGUGUGAAUAGGUUUGCAAUUCAAUAUAGCAUGGAGUAAUUUGGAAUGUGACGAGGCGCAAGCUCAAAAUUUAUUGACGGUUCUAGUUUCGAAGUGCGGCACUAUUCCCGGAUGGAGUACUUCUUUUUCUACUCCCUCCUUUCCGGUUUUAUAGGGCAUAUCUCAAAAUUUUUGUUUUUCCAUUUUAUAAGGCUCAAUUUGGUUGUUCCCCAACACAUGUUCAGAUUCCAAGCUGCAUUAAAUCAUUGCAUGCAAGUAUUAAGAGAAAAUUGACCAAUGCAUGUACUUUAUGCAUGCAUGCAUUGCAAUUAAUGCAUUGAUAAACAUAAUUUUUUGAGAAAAACAAGAACAUUAAUUAGGUGCUUUUGCAAACUACAAAAAAUAUUCCACCACUCACCAUAAACCGGAAAGGAGGGAGUACUGCUGUGUACAUGCAAUAACUGGCACCGUCGUAUACAUAUCUUACGGUUAAUGGGGCGUUCGACAGGAAUAGCCGUGUGGCGAGCUCUAGGCUAGUCCUUUUUUCAGACGCAUUAAACCAAUCUCUCGGGACUUCUCGCACGCACCAUCGUGCCACCCACAAAAACUUGUACUCUGAGUUUAGUAGUAUGUUAUACAGGAAGAGAAGAGGUGCACGCACGCACGCACUCAUCCUCUCACCCAUGUGUCUGUUUUUUCUCGAAAAGGAGGAUGAUGACCCCCGGCCUCUGCAUCUGGGAGUCACACACGCAUCUGUAGCUACGAAUUGUAGUGUUCUCAACCAUCCGAUUGGCUCUAUCAUGGAUGUACCUAUAUACUAAAACAUGUCUAGAUACAUCUAUAUUUUGACAAAUGGAGGGCAUGUAUUGUGGAACGGAGGGAGUGCUUGUCAUCAAAAUGGAUAAAAAUGGGCGUAUCUAGAACUAAAAUACGUCUACAUACAUCUCCUUUUAUACAUUUUGGUGACAAGUAGUACUUCUUACCCAAAGGAACUUUAUAUCCAAUAGACACAAAAUAUUCGUUCGACUAUUGGAAAUUACUGAUCUGAUGUCGAAGUAAUUGCUGCAUCGCCACCAAAACCCACCAUUUCUUAAGCUAAAGUUGACCAAGGUAAUCCCUAUAUUAGCAUAUUACUAAGAUAAACAGAAGGCACUGUCGAAACAUUUAGGACGUGAGCUUGUCAAUCUGAAUGUGGAGGGACACAAUCUUAGCCCCGGCCAGUAGCUUGGGCGGAACUGUCAAGAAGGUCAGCUCCUGCACGUCGACGUCGCCGGGAUCCUUGCUGCUUGUCACCUCCAUUUCCACCUUGACAGCGUCGGUCGUGCCUUUGGGCUCCCCCGGCGGGCCGUUCUCCCACAGCUUGGCAAAGUAGUGCAGCAGUGGGGACGCCCCCGCUCUGAUGUAGACGACCGAAAUGGCGAUAGGCGCGCUGAUGUCGAGCAUGCCGUCGACCAAGAAAAACGGACGACGGUUGUCGGUGUCAAAACCGGCGGAUCUUGGGUAGGGGGUCCCGAACUGUGCGUCUAGGCAGAUGGUAACAGGAGACAAGGGACACGAUGUUUUUACCCAGGUUCGGGCCCUCUCGAUGGAGGCAAAACCCUACUCCUGCUUGAUUGAUAUUGAUGAUAUGGGUAGUACAAGAGUGGAUCUACCACGAGAUCAAGGAGGCUAAACCCUAGAAGCUAGCCUGUGGUAUGAUUGUUGUAAUGGUUGUCUGUCCUACGGACUAAAACCCUCCGGUUUAUAUAAACACCGGAGAGGGCUAGGGUUACACAGAGUCGGUUACAAUGGUAGGAGAUUUACAUAUCCGUAUCGCCAAGCUUGCCUUCCACUCCAAGGAAAGUCCCAUCCGGACACGAGACGAAGUCUUCAAUCUUGUAUCUUCAUAGUCUUGGAGUCCGGCCGAUGAUGAUAGUCCGGCUAUCCGGACACCCCAUAGUCCAGGACUCCCUCAAUAGCCCCCGAACCAGGCUUCAAUGACGACGAGUCCAGCGCAUAUAUAUUCUUCGGCGUUGCAAGGAGGGUUCUCCUCCAAAUUCCAUGUGUUUGCCGAAUAGUGUCCGGCCCCCUCACAAAUGUUGCGCUCCUUGGCUUCCACGCCCAAUAAUGGCCCUCUUCCACGCGUCGCACGAAUGCGAAAAGCCUGGGUAUCUUUUAUGUUUUACCCCUAGCUGCGCAAAUAAUCUGCCUAUAAGAGAGAUAAGAAUCCAGAUCCAAAUCACACCAUCUUCCCUCUGCGAGUACUCACCGGAGCGCUUCUGACCUAAAACCCAUUCCAUCAUGGACCAUCGACGCGGCUCCUCCUCUCGCGCUCCCAGCCCUCUGCCAGGAGAUUGGAGGAGAUGCUCGGUUCCGCACAACGAGCUGGUGAAGCUUCAAGUGGAGGGAUAUCUUCCUCCGACCUUUAUGGUCCCGGUUCGAGCCGGCUGGCCACCUACAAAGGUGGGAAGCAAGCGGAGGCCACCCCUAGCCCCUCCAAAGGAGAGCGGGUGUGCUUCGUCCCCUAUCUGAUAAGCGGGUUCGGAUUUCCUGUACAUCCGUUCCUCCGCGGGCUCCUGGAGUUCUACGGACUCCAGCUCCAUCACCUCACGCCCGCCUCUAUUCUGCAUAUCGCGGGUUUUAUAGCUCUUUGCGAGCUAUUCCUGGGCAUCGAGCCCCAUUUUGCACUGUGGAAGAGGCUAUUCUGCCUAGUACCCCGUUCUCACGAGGGGUCAAUAUAUCAAGUGGGCGGUGCCGAAAUAUGGCGCAUCGCCGGCACCGGAUACCCAUCCGGAACCCCGAAGAAGGCGUCCGAAGACUGGCCUUCGGAAUGGUUCUAUGUAGAGGACGCUCCACUGCCGGACCCAAUUCGGAUUGGCCUCCCGGAGUUUAGUGGGGCUCCUCUGAAGAAACGCCUAAGCUGGCGCCCGUGGAGCCCUCAACUGGAGGAAGACAAGGGCGUCCAUUAUCUGAUGGCCGGAUAAGAUUGCUAGCCCAUUCUGGAUUGACCAUGAUUGGAGUCAUGGCCACGUGCAUAAUGCCGGGGGUGCAGCCACUGCAAUACAGGGGCCACCCCAUGUGGGAUUUCAAUGGGGAAAAUGAUGCCACCCGUCAUGGCCGCAAAGGGCCGGAGUCGGCCGAAGAUCUGAUGAAGAUUCUGUCCGGCCUGUAUAAGGGGGAGAAGGAAGACUUCCUCCAGACGAGCCCAUUGAAUGGGUUCUCAAUGAAUAACCCUCGGAGCUGGGUAAGCGGACGUUCAUUUAUUCGACCCGUGCUUUCAAAGUUAAGUACCUUACUUUAUGGAUUUGACGCAGGAACUGCGCCGGACUGUGGAGAGCAUACAUAAUCCGGCCCCACAACCCGAGGAUCCGGGAAGAUCCCUUGAUCCGGCCUCCGAAGAGGAUCCGGACAUAAAGGUGGAGCUAAUUGACGGGGUGUUCCACCAACUCAGCAUGGACAAUGCUUUAUUCGCCAUCACGGCUGACUACCCCGGCCUAACCCCGGCUUCCCAGGAGAAUAUGACCGAAGUCCUGACACCAUCAUUUCGUCCUUGCGCAUUUCUGACCACCGUAUAUAAUGGUGUCUCACAGGAGGUGCCUUCAAGGCAGGAAGCCGAGCCCACGGCGGCUAACCAACAAGGGUCAGUCCGACCCCGCAGGGGGAAGAGGAGUGCAGCGCGGGUCGAAACGCCACCGCAACGGUAUAGCCUGCGUCUUGUUAUUUAGGAAAAGGAUUUCCAGGCGGCGUAUUAACGCUCAUGACCUUUCCAGGAGAAAGAGCACUCGUCGGGCGGUGUCCGGAGAGGUUGCCAACCAAGCCUCCGCCCGCCAGGCUCCAACACCUGGUCCGGAGGGGGAGGCGAGCGCAAGGCGCGAGCCGGAUUCUCCUCCAGUGGAGGAUGCCGACCGGCUGUCCGCCACCAGGUCUGAGGUGGAGAGCGCCAUGAAUCAUAGGCGUCGCCGGACAGUUCUACGUGACGCGUGUUUCUCCCCAGAGGCGUUGAAUGCCUUUAACGCGGGAGACGCGCACCUCCGUGCUGCUCGAGAUGGUUUAACCAGAGCCACGGAGCAAUAUGUAAAAGACAUACGGGUAAGAGAUUUUAAUGGUUAUAUAUGCCAGUAGCCCCCGAGACUUAAAGUAGUUAAAGUAACUGAUUUAAGGAUCAUAUAAUUUGUAGGAUCUUACAGAGAAGAAUGCCCAAUUGUCCCAGGAGUUGCAAGAGUGCAAGGCCCAACUUGAGGCCGCACUCGCUGCCGCAGGAGGAGACACAGAGACCCCUUGUCAGGACCCCGACUCAAUGCCACAUCGAUCUAGCAUGUAACACCUCAUAUCACUUUGCGGCCUCACGCACGGUAUUCCCACGGGUGUCGCCUUACCUUUGCCCGGGACCGUUUGCGCCUUUUGGCACACGUAUAUGAUAGUGUCGCUAGCAUCCAUAUGAAAAGGAGCCCGGGCUGACAUGGCUAGUCGUAAACCCAAAGUGGCACAGACUUACAGGGACAGGCAUCCAUGACCCAGCAUCGAACGUGUCGGUCAUCAGCGAAUAAGUUCCGGGCUGUAGCACUGGGCUAGCAGGACUCUGGUAAACCGGGCUGUAGCGGGCUAACAGGACUCCGGUACUCAACGCGUGACAUUUCCCCGAAGGGACAGACACAGGAACGAAGAAGGACACAUGCCGGCCAGCCUAAGUGUUCCGGAGCAGUAGCAAGCUACCAUGGCUCAGUGGAAACACUAGGAGACAUUUCCCGGUAAGGGAGGCUACUAAAGAUAAACAACUAGAUAGUCAGAUCCCACACAUACCAAGCAUUUCAAUAACAUACACACAAUAUGCUCGAUAUGUGCAAAUACAACAUGGCAUCACAACAUGACUCUACGACUCAAGUAUUUAUUCAUUAGGCUCCGAGGAGCGAGAUAUUACAAACAGGGGUCUCAUGACCCAACAUUCAGAGCAUACAAGUCAAAGCACAAACGGAAGCUAAUAUGUCUGAGUACAGACAUCUACAAAUGAAAAAGGCUUGAAAGCCUGACUAUCUACCAGAUCCUGCCGAGGGCACAAGAUCGUAGCUGAGGUAACAAGCUAAACGUCGAAGUCCACGCGGAAUUACUAGUGAGACUGAAGUCUCUCUGCAAAAACAUAAAAUAGGCAAACGUGAGUACAAAUGUACCCAGCAAGACUUACAUCAGAACUAACUACAUAUGCAUCAUUAUCAACAAAGGGGGUGGUGGGGUUUAACUGCAGCAAGCCAGCUUUGACUCGGUGGCUAUCCUAAACUACGACUGCAAGUAACUCUUUUGAGGUGGCGCACACGAGUCCACAUAUUCACCAUAUCAAUACACCACUAUGGAUCCGCACCCGUCUCCCUACGAGUACGCCAUCCAUAGCACUCACGCUUAUCUUGCGUAUUUUAGAGUAUCCACUUUCACUUGUCUAUGAACUGUACAGGCAACCCAGAAGUCCUUUACCGCGGACACGGCUAUUCGAAUAGAUGAUGUUAGCCCUGUAGGGGUGUACUCCUUCACACACGCUCUCACCACUUACCGCCGUUUACACGACAUGUACUCGGCAAACUUCAAGCGUAAGCCCAACGAGGGUGUCGGCCACGGCCUACCUAAACACUCAAGUCUCUAGUCCAGGUUUAUCGCCUAUUCGGGUUCCAUCCAUGAGGAGAUCCGGCCGAAGUUUCGCUCACAGCCCCAAACGAUGUGUACAGGGUUCCGUGACACCAAACGGGCGCCCGGUUUACCCGGCCACGUGCCUACCGCAUCACAGCCCACCCCUACGGUCAGCGCUGCGCACGGCCUCCAGCAUACUACAAACACCAGAAACUACUUGCAACUCCUGGACAGAGGACAAGGGUGAUUAAGAAGCCGAGAGGGUCCAUUGGUUUCGGGCCCAAUGCGUGGUAGUAGCUGAAUCAUGGAUCACAAACACAGAACUCAGUUCCUGAGGACGGCUGCAAUGAGACAACCCACCAUGUACUCCUACAUGGCCUCUCACCGCUACCUUUACCAAAUCGUGUUCACACACUUAGCUCACACACAGUAGGACAUGUUCACACACCUCUGAUUCACCCCCAAUGAAUCAGACCGGACUCAACUCUAAGCAAUAGCAGGCAUGACAAACAAGCAUGAAUGAGUAGGCACAACAGGGCUCAAACAACUCCUACUCAUGCUAGUGGGUUUCAUCUAUUUACUGUGGAAUGACAGGUCAUGCAAAGGAUAAAGGGGUUCAGCUACCGCAGCAAGUAACAGAUGAAUCGUUGUUGUCCUAAUGCAAUAAAAGAGAGCAGGAGCGAGAGAGUGGGAUUGUAUCGGAAUGAACAAGGGGUUUUUGCUUGCCUGGCACUUCUGAAGAUAGUAUAUCUCUUCAUCGGUGUCAUCGAACUCAUCGUCGAAACAUCGUCUACCGAGAGGGAACAGUUACCGGCAAACACAGAAGAACACAAUCAAUGCAAUGCGACAAUAUGAUGCAUGCUAUGACAUGGCAAUAUGCUGUGAUUUGGGCUAAUGCAGCUAAGAACAGAAAGGUUUGAGCUUAUUUGAACCAAAGAUUCAAAUUCAAACUCAAACUAUGAAUUCAUAAAGUGCAUUAUCAUGUUUUGAUAUGAACAGCAAGUUUAAGUUGCUUAAACAUGCAUGAAACCAGUGCAGAUGGAUAGAUUGUAUUUUUUUGAUCAUUUUUCAUAUAUAACUUGUUUCAUUUGGAGUUACAGAUUAAUUUCUAUGAAUUUUAGAAGUUAGCACUAUUUUCUGGAAUUUCCUGUAUAAGAAUAAAUCCAGAAAAUAAUUAUUGCGUCAGCAUUGCGUCACUAUGACGUCAGCAGGUAAACAGACGCUGCUGUAGGUCAAACCUGACGCUGGGACCCACUGGUCAGUGACUAGGCUAAUUAACAGGGAGUGUUAGUGCUAAUUUAAUCCUAACUAAAGUGUCAGUGGGGCAUGGGCCCACAUGUUAGUGGCUUAAUUAAUUAACUAAAUUAAUUAGUGAUAAUUAAUCUAACACCUAAAUGAAUAGUGCCUGGCCCACACGUCAGCGACCCAGGGGUCAACCUGGGCCCGCAAGUCAACGGUCAGCGGGUCAAACCCGCCGGCGUCUAGCCGCCGGCGAGUCCAGAUGCGGCGGAGCGGCACGGGAUUCGCCUACAGGGCGCCGCUUGGCGCGCGGAGCACAGCUACGGGAUGCGGAUGCUCGUCCGCAUCCAACCGUGGUGGUGGCUCGGCCGGGGAGUGGCCGGAGUGGCGCCGGUGACGAGCGAGGCGGCGGCCGUGGUUCGGGCGUGCUCGAGGACGGCGAUGUGGUGUGCAAACGUGACGGCUGUCGCGCUAGUUUUGCUCUAUGGAACGUUGCGAGUGCAUCAGACGCACGCGUGGGAACCAAAGGUCACCGGGGCUUCGCCGGCGACGAGCCCGUGCGGCAGCGCAUUCGGUCGCAGGUGGCGCGGUGGCUACGGCGUGCAAACGAGGCAAGGGAGAGGGGUGUCCGGGACAGGAGCUCACGGUGAUCACGUUGGGCGGGUCGACGAGCUCGGGGAAGCACCGGAGCGAGCGGAGCAGCGAGGGGGAUCUUCGGCAGCCGGCGAUGAAGACGUUGAAGAUGUCGAUGUUGUGGGGCGUCCGGCGGUGCGUGUGUCCUCGAGGAGGCACAGACGACGGAGGCGGAUCUCCUGGACAUGCUGGGGAGGCUAGGCGGUGGAUGUGGCCGCGGCGAACGGCGUCGGUGGCGGCGGCUCCGUUCGGUGGCUGCGCGCAGGAGAGCGAGGGAGAGGAGGGGAAUGGCACAGAAGGGUGAGAGGGUACGCGGCGGUCGAGGGGGAGUGCGUGGCGACGCGGGAGAGAUCCAGGGGACGAGGAGGCAGGCAGGCAGGGUGGAGGUGGCCGGGGCGCGUGCCGGCGUGCUGCGGCCACACGCUCUGCCUACUGGCGCGAAGAAGACGACAGGGGGGGAGCCUAGUGGGCUGGGCUGGUGGCUGGGCUGCCAGCUGGGCCGGCCAGGUGAGGCCCAGGUGGGCUUGGUAGGCGCCAGGUAAGCUGAGGUAAGCUCUCUCUCUGCUUUUAUUUAUUGUUUUCUAUUUUGUUCUGUUUUGUUUUGGUUUAGUAAAAAUACUAAACCAUUUUAUAAAAUCCUGAAAAUAAUUAUGUGGCUAGAACUAAAAUAUACCAAACCACAUAAAAUGUUCCAGAAUUAUUGGAUAUAUAUUAAUUAUAUAUAAUAUAUAUAUCCAAUGCAAAUAGUUAUUGGAUUAACUAAAAGGCCCAAAAUAAAUGUUUCAGUCACUCCAAAAAUAUUGGUUUGCACUUUACCUCAUGCCAAUAUUUCUACGGAAUAACAGGAACAUUUUCUUGGACUCACUUGAUGAGAUUUAAAUGUUGGUUAUUUUUAGGGGUUUUCUGAGGCUUUUGAAAAUUCCUCAAUUCAAAUUUCAUUUGAAUUUAAACAUGAUGCACACAUGGAAGCUAGCAUAGGUCAGGCCAGAACUAGGGACGUGACAACUCACCCCCACUAAACAAGAAUCUCGACCCGAGAUUCAAGCGUAGGGUAAGAUGAAAGGAAAACGCAAACUAAUAUAAUCUUCACGAUCCAAGUUGCACUUCAAAUGAACGUUGAUUCGAUCACCAUCAUUGUCUCGAAGUCUUGCUCUGAGAAUUCCAACUAACAUGACAAUUAGAGCAAAAGGAAACUCUAAAAGAAUCGAUCUUCUCGGAGAUCAAACAACUUAGGAUCAACUCAUGGGGUGAGUCAUAAAAAUAUCUCUCGAGCUGAGACACGAAGCACGCAUCUAGAGGAGUGGAGUGGAACAGACGACGGAAGUUCACUAGGUAGAAAACAAUUUCACACUUAAGAAGGUUGUGAAUAGUUGUCAAUGUAGCGAGGAGUUGAGUUGCCAUGAUACCAUAACGAUGCACUUUAGGGAAGGUGACUCGUAGAAAUAUCCCCUUAAGUGGCAAAAGAAUUACCUUUGAUUCAAAGAUCAUUGAAACUCUUUAUACCAGCCUAAGGCAAUUACAAUCGAUCAUUUGGCGGGGUUCAGAGAAUGACAUAUCUGGAAUCGAAUGGAUGAUGUGGAUUACCUUGUUGAAAACAACAUAAGGGUUGAUUUUAGUAACUGGGGAGAAGCUCAACAGUAGAGAGUGAGUCCACUGUUGAAAGGGUUAUAGCAUAACCGAGGAAACUGAGAGCAAUCCCAGUUAGUGCCGAUGAUAACACCUAGCGCUUGCGCGUGCUCUCAAGAACUCGAACAUCUCCAUAUUCAUCAAGGUUUUACCAAUAUCUGUGUCAAGGAUCCUGGCAACACAACAUACUAACAUGAUGGAUAUUGGUGGAGGAUGCAGAUGCAAAGGAAGAUAACACUUUCUCAGAUUUCACCUUAGCGAGGCCAAGAACAAAAUCUGGAUGAUCGACCGAGAGACAUUUAGCACUCCGCUUCUAAUGUUCUCUUUGAUGUACUAGCGUAUCCCAUUCAUGGAAAUGGUCUGGUAUCUAGAACAUCAAGUAAAGGUCGAACUUCGGAAACACAAAAAUCAUAAGGCACACAAAUAGGGAAUAAUUCCUACGAAGUCCUUAUGGAGAGGUGGCCGACUUCUUCAAUCAAGAUAUUACAAUAACAGGUCUUCCGGCUGGGUGUGUUGGCCACGACAUCCAUUUUACCGGGUUACAGAGAGACCAAUAAUAUAAUUCUUGGGAAACGUUCCAACCAUCAUAUCUGCCUGAGAUUCAGAUCUGGUUGGUGUCAGAAUAAUCUAGACUCAUCGAGUCUAGAAAGUAAAAUGAAAGUUUGCAACUCAAAUUGACGAGAAGACGUUGCGAGAUUCUCGGGAAUGGACUACGGUAGUAAGCUCCAAAACAUGAGCUAGUUCUGCUACAAACAUGUGUGAACACGCUGUCCAAGACAAGCACGACCACCUAGUAGUCUUAUAAUAAAACACUACCGAGUUCAGGUUGGGAACCAUCAUCGAGGAUAACGAAGUCCUAACAUAAGUCAUGACUAGUUGUUAUGAAGGAACUUCUUCUCCUUGAACAAAUCAAUCAGUGGCUUGGUGUGCUAGGGUUACAUAUAGAAUGGAGGUUGCAAGUCUCCGAACCACAGAAUACUUCGCACGUAUGCAUGACCGAUUUGGGGAUGAUUCCAAAGGAAGCAACAUUGACUUUCUCAAAUCCACGGCGGCAACUUGCAUCAAAUGCACAUGAACUAGAGGAAAUCACUUCUUACAUCCGAACAUAAGCUUCGCGAGCUAGCAUGAACAAAUGCUUUAAAAAGUUUCCAGUACUAGCUUGAUGUUUAAAAAAAUUAUGGAGAAGGCAAGUAUGUUGUCGAUGGGCUCAACAACAAUUCAUCCAGAUUCCCAUGGAGAUGGAAUUCCAUAACUAUGUGAACAAGGUGAUAGUAUUGGUCAGACCCAAAAGAUAUAAUGGUGUAUGCUCGAGGAAAAUCCACGAGUAAGACAACAUUACGAACAUCGUUGGUUCUGAUUCGAUUUGAGAAUAGCCCACACUCAAAUCAAAGUUUUUGGCAAGACAAUAGCUCCAACAACUAGUCACGAGGAUCAAUCGAUGAAGAUACCAUCUUUCUUCAACACACACACACAAAAACAUCCCUUUGGAAUGAGCUAAGUCGGACAAGCUUUUAUCUUCCAACUCUCCAAGUUGUUGUUUAUCUUAACCAACUAGCUCAGGGGUAUCCAGCACAGAUUCUUGGAGAAGGGAAUGGUUUAUAUGAAACCAACUUGAUCACGAACUCAACAUAGCGGUCAGGUGGCAACCUGAUAAUACUUCCGAGAAGAUAUUCGGAACAUCACGAACCACCGAUAUGUCACUAAGCUCGAGAACAAUCUUGCUUUUCAGGGCAAGAUGAUAUGAUCAAAUAAGCAAGGGACCGAAAAAUCCGAACUCAUUGAUCAAAGGGUGCACCGGGAAUAAGGACUAGGUAGCACAAUCAACCUUAGGGUGACGAUUCAAUAGUCAACACGCUAAGAAUGAAAUUAUUGUCCUUUAACUGCCAAGCAACGAGGUUGCUAGGAGUAUUGAUUUCACACAUCACAUUCCAAUUGUCGGUAUUCCGGUUACAAUAACAUGGAAAACCGAGGAGUGAACAAUGAUGGCAAGAAGUAUUACUGCGUCAAGAAUUCAUAAGAGGUAGUGCAAUUCUCAUGAUAUUCUUAAUAUCAAGAUGGUAAUACUCUAAGGUAGAACAGAGCAAAAGCUAGAUUAGCAAUUUGAUCUGCGAAUUACAAUUGCUUUGACCCAAUCCUAGAUAUGGAUGAGGUUCUGGAAUUUGUUUCUCCUAGUCAUUCUGGAAUAGAAUGGCUUGACGGACCACAAGAAUAAUAGGCACCAAUAAAUGAAUGCACACAUACUCUUGACUAUCAAUUGACAGACGAGGGUCAGGACACAACUAAAGAGAACAACUCAAAGGAACAUAUGAUUUUCUGAGUUGUGGAUGCAUAGAUUAGUAUGUCGAACCAAGUUCAACAAAUUUCUUCCGGAUAAUCCAUGCGGAAAGGUAGAACUGGCAGAGUCACAAUAUAAAAUGGAAAACUCAUCAAGAGCACACCUGUUGUGAUCUUUUGAUCCAACAAACUUCUUCCAUAAAUGGUUCAUAGUAUUUGGAAGAAGGAAAUACCACGGACUUCGAGGACUAAUGCAAAGGUUACUAAUAACCUAAAGGAACUAGCAACACUAUCAACACGAGGUAAGUAGAGUGAACCUCGGGUUCAAAACCCAGAAGUAGAUUACCUACUAACUAAAUGGCAUCACGGGAUGCUUUCGAGAAUGAUGGCCAGAAUCAUCACACUGGGAACACAAAACAUGGCUAGAUUACUAGAUGAUCCCCUAAGACACCUAGGGUCAUAAUAAUAAUUCCAACAUAUAUGUCGAGGCAAUAGAGUACCUCAACUCACCGAUUAGUGUGCUUAAUCUGGCCUAAAAGGACAUCAGGAACGGGAGGAAGGGAUUUGCAAAUGCAUCAGACUGUUUAGAUACCUGGGAUGACUCGGACAGCAUAACGGUUGUAAAUGCUCAAAAGAAUUUAGCCAUGCUACAAAAAUGGUGGCAUCGCCACUCAGAAGCACAAUAUCAAGGUUUCGAGAUCAACAGUUAUGAACAUACGAAAGUAGUAAAACUGAGCUGAGAUUUGAAACUAACAAUUCUAUAAGUCUAUGGAUUAGUAACACGUCAUCCUGAUAGAUAGAUGAGAAGGCCUAGUUCUUAAACCCCGUAGAAGAGAAAAGGUUGACUCAGAUCAGAAGGCCAUGAGGUAUAAGGAGUAAAAAGAGCCUUACGUUCCAUCCCACAAUCAAUUCCCUUACAUAACUAAAGCAUUUCUAGACACAACUUCGACCAGUUUGGCUUGGUAAUCCUACAGGCAGUCAGGCUCUGAUACCAAAACUGUCAGGACCCCGACUCAAUGCCACAUCGAUCUAGCAUGUAACACCUCAUAUCACUUUGCGGCCUCACGCACGGUAUUCCCACGGGUGUCGCCUUACCUUUGCCCGGGACCGUUUGCGCCUUUUGGCACACGUAUAUGAUAGUGUCGCUAGCAUCCAUAUGAAAAGGAGCCCGGGCUGACAUGGCUAGUCGUAAACCCAAAGUGGCACAGACUUACAGGGACAGGCAUCCAUGACCCAGCAUCGAACGUGUCGGUCAUCAGCGAAUAAGUUCCGGGCUGUAGCACUGGGCUAGCAGGACUCCGGUAAACCGGGCUGUAGCAGGCUAACAGGACUCCGGUACUCAACGCGUGACAUUUCCCCGAAGGGACAGACACAGGAAUGAAGAAGGACACAUGCCGGCCAGCCUAAGUGUUCCGGAGCAGUAGCAAGCUACCAUGGCUCAGUGGAAACACUAGGAGACAUUUCCCGGUAAGAGAGGCUACUAAAGAUAAACAACUAGAUAGUCAGAUCCCACACAUACCAAGCAUUUCAAUAACAUACACACAAUAUGCUCGAUAUGUGCAAAUACAACAUGGCAUCACAACAUGACUCUACGACUCAAGUAUUUAUUCAUUAGGCUCCGAGGAGCGAGAUAUUACAAACAGGGGUCUCAUGACCCAACAUUCAGAGCAUACAAGUCAAAGCACAAACGGAAGCUAAUAUGUCUGAGUACAGACAUCUACAAAUGAAAAAGGCUUGAAAGCCUGACUAUCUACCAGAUCCUGCCGAGGGCACAAGAUCGUAGCUGAGGUAACAAGCUAAACGUCGAAGUCCACGCGGAAUUACUAGUGAGACUGAAGUCUCUCUGCAAAAACAUAAAAUAGGCAAACGUGAGUACAAAUGUACCCAGCAAGACUUACAUCAGAACUAACUACAUAUGCAUCAUUAUCAACAAAGGGGGUGGUGGGGUUUAACUGCAGCAAGCCAGCUUUGAUUCGGUGGCUAUCCUAAACUACGACUGCAAGUAACUCUUUUGAGGUGGCGCACACGAGUCCACAUAUUCACCAUAUCAAUACACCACUAUGGAUCCGCACCCGUCUCCCUACGAGUACGCCAUCCAUAGCACUCACGCUUAUCUUGCGUAUUUUAGAGUAUCCACUUUCACUUGUCUAUGAACUGUACAGGCAACCCAGAAGUCCUUUACCGCGGACACGGCUAUUCGAAUAGAUGAUGUUAACCCUGUAGGGGUGUACUCCUUCACACACGCUCUCACCACUUACCGCCGUUUACACGACAUGUACUCGGCAACCUUCAAGCGGAAGCCCAACGAGGGUGUCGGCCACGGCCUACCUAAACACUCAAGUCUCUAGUCCAGGUUUAUCGCCUAUUCGGGUUCCAUCCAUGAGGAGAUCCGGCCGAAGUUUCGCUCACAGCCCCAAAUGAUGUGUACAGGGUUCCGUGACACCAAACGGGCGCCCGGUUUACCCGGCCACGUGCCUACCGCAUCAUAGCCCACCCCUACGGUCAGCGCUGCGCACGGCCUCCAGCAUACUACAAACACCAGAAACUACUUGCAACUCCUGGACAGAGGACAAGGGUGAUUAAGAAGCCGAGAGGGUCCAUUGGUUUCGGGCCCAAUGCGUGGUAGUAGCUGAAUCAUGGAUCACAAACACAGAACUCAGUUCCUGAGGACGGCUGCAAUGAGACAACCCACCAUGUACUCCUACAUGGCCUCUCACCGCUACCUUUACCAAAUCGUGUUCACACACUUAGCUCACACACAGUAGGACAUGUUCACACACCUCUGAUUCACCCCCAAUGAAUCAGACCGGACUCAACUCUAAGCAAUAGCAGGCAUGACAAACAAGCAUGAAUGAGUAGGCACAACAGGGCUCAAACAACUCCUACUCAUGCUAGUGGGUUUCAUCUAUUUACUGUGGAAUGACAGGUCAUGCAAAGGAUAAAGGGGUUCAGCUACCGCAGCAAGUAACAGAUGAAUCGUUGUUGUCCUAAUGCAAUAAAAGAGAGCAGGAGCGAGAGAGUGGGAUUGUAUCGGAAUGAACAAGGGGGUUUUGCUUGCCUGGCACUUCUGAAGAUAGUAUAUCUCUUCAUCGGUGUCAUCGAACUCAUCGUCGAAACAUCGUCUACCGAGAGGGAACAGUUACCGGCAAACACAGAAGAACACAAUCAAUGCAAUGCGACAAUAUGAUGCAUGCUAUGACAUGGCAAUAUGCUGUGAUUUGGGCUAAUGCAGCUAAGAACAGAAAGGUUUGAGCUUAUUUGAACCAAAGAUUCAAAUUCAAACUCAAACUAUGAAUUCAUAAAGUGCAUUAUCAUGUUUUGAUAUGAACAGCAAGGUUAAGUUGCUUAAACAUGCAUGAAACCAGUGCAGAUGGAUAGAUUGUAUUUUUCUGAUCAUUUUUCAUAUAUAACUUGUUUCAUUUGGAGUUACAGAUUAAUUUCUAUGAAUUUUAGAAGUUAGCACUAUUUUCUGGAAUUUCCUGUAUAAGAAUAAAUCCAGAAAAUACUUAUUGCGUCAGCAUUGCGUCACUAUGACGUCAGCAGGUCAACAGACGCUGCUGCAGGUCAAACCUGACGCUGGGACCCACUGGUCAGUGACUAGGCUAAUUAACAGGGAGUGUUAGUGCUAAUUUAAUCCUAACUAAAGUGUCAGUGGGGCAUGGGCCCACAUGUCAGUGGCUUAAUUAAUUAACUAAAUUAAUUAGUGAUAACUAAUCUAACACCUAAAUGAAUAGUGCCUGGCCCACACGUCAGCGACCCAGGGGUCAACCUGGGCCCGCAAGUCAACGGUCAGCGGGUCAAACCCGCCGGUGUCUAGCCGCCGGCGAGUCCAGACGCGGCGGAGCGGCAUGGGAUUUGCCUACAGGGCGCCGCUUGGCGCGCGGAGCACAGCUACGGGAUGCGGACGCUCGUCCGCAUCCAACCGUGGUGGUGGCUCGGCCGGGGAGUGGCCGGAGUGGCGCCGGCGACGAGCGAGGCGGCGGCCGUGGUUCGGGCGUGCUCGAGGACGGCGAUGUGGUGUGCAAACGAGACGGCUGUCGCGCUAGUUUUGCUCUAUGGAACGUUGCGAGUGCAACAGACGCACGCGUGGGACCAAAAGGUCACCGGGGCUUCGCCGGCGACGAGCCCGUGCAGCGGCGCAUUCGGUCGCAGGUGGCGCGGUGGCUACGACGUGCAAACGAGGCAAGGGAGAGGGGUGUCCGGGAUAGGAGCUCACGGUGAUCACGUUGGGCGGGUCAACGAGCUCGGGGAAGCACCGGAGCGAGCGGAGCAGCGAGGGGGAUCUUCGGCAGCCGGCGAUGAAGACGUUGAAGAUGUCGAUGUUGUGGGGCGUCCGGCGGUGCGUGUGUCCUCAAGGAGGCACAGACGACGGAGGCGGAUCUCCUGGACAUGCUGGGGAGGCUAGGCGGUGGAUGUGGCCGCGGCGAAUGGCGUCGGUGGCGGCGGCUCCGUUCGGUGGCUGCGCGCAGGAGAGCGAGGGAGAGGAGGGGAAUGGCACGGAAGGGUGAGAGGGUAUGAGGCGGUCGAGGGGGAGUGCGUGGCGACGCGGGAGAGAUCCAGGCGACGAGGAGGCAGGCAGGCAGGGUGGAGGUGGCCGGGGCGCGUGCCGGCGUGCUGCGGCCACACGCUCUGCCUACUGGCGCGAAGAAGACGACAGGGGGGGAGCCUAGUGGGCUGGGCUGGUGGCUGGGCUGCCAGCUGGGCCGGCCAGGUGAGGCCCAGGUGGGCUUGGUAGGCGCCAGGUAAGCUGAGGUAAGUUCUCUCUCUCUGCUUUUAUUUAUUGUUUUCUAUUUUGUUCUGUUUUGUUUUGGUUUAGUAAAAAUACUAAACCAUUUUAUAAAAUCCUGAAAAUAAUUAUGUGGCUAGAACUAAAAUAUACCAAACCACAUAAAAUGUUCCAGAAUUAUUGGACAUAUAUUAAUUAUAUAUAAUAUAUAUAUCCAAUGCAAAUAGUUAUUGGAUUAACUCAAAGGCCCAAAAUAAAUGUUUCAGUCACUCCAAAAAUAUUGGUUUGCACUUUACCUCAUGCCAAUAUUUCUACGGAAUAACAGGAACAUUUUCUUGGACUCACUUGAUGAGAUUUAAAUGUUGGUUAUUUUUAGAGGUUUUCUGAGGCUUUUGAAAAUUCCUCAAUUCAAAUUUCAUUUGAAUUUAAACAUGAUGCACACAUGGAAGCUAGCAUAGGUCAGGCCAGAACUAGGGACGUGACACCCCUCCUGGUAACACAUAAUUUCAAAAAGAUAAGCGGUGUGCGGCCUGCAUGUAAGUCUGGCUUUGAUAUUGCAGAUGUUGACGGACUGGAUCCGGACAAGCAACACUUAUUGCGCCAGCUGAAGGCCGGCGAGAGGGUGCUUAUGAAGGUACAGCAGGAGAGGAACAAACUCCAGGAUGCCCACACCCAGCUUGGGGAAGAGCUGAAAGGUGUUCGGGCCGAGCUGUCUGGCUCCGUGAAGGAGAAUCAGCGGCUUCGUCGCGGCAUCUAUCGUAAGUGCUUGAGCGAAUUCUUUUGAAAAGAAGAGUUCAGCGAGGAAGCCUAUUGACAGAAAUAUGCCUUGUAGGUGCACUCACAGGUCGCCCUGCGGAGGAAAUGCCCAUUUCGAUGGGUGACCAACUUCCCGAGCUGGUGCAACUGCUCGAACUUGUUCGGCAGGCGAUGAGUGGCGUCGUCCAGGCCCUAUGGCCAUCCGUCUCCCUACCCGAGGGCCUUGGAGAGCUUGCGGAGAAGCUUCAGGGAGCACGGCAGCGCUUCCGCUUAUGGAAGAUAUCGGCCUGCCGUCAAGGUGCCAGGGAGGCCUGGGCCAUGGUGAAGACGCGGUACAAGAAGGCGGAUCCAAACCACAUGGCCGAGGUCGGACCUGUGGGGCCUGAUGGGAAGGAGAUCCCUGUGAGCUUAGUGUACGGCCAAGUAGAGUUGGCCGCUAAGUAUUCCCAACGGGACUGUAAAUUAGACAGCCUGUUAGACGGGAUUGAGGAGGAGUACAAUCAGUCAUUUUGACGAUGUAUUUAAAAUGACAUGUAAAAUGCCUUCUAGCCGGAUUGUAGAUCGUUUGUGUUUGCCGACCUUUCCGCUUCGACCUCGGGACGCUAGAGUCUGGAGUGUGUCCGAAUACCUUCUCGUUUAUGACAAAACCGGGGCAUGCAUGGAGACCAGGCGUAGGGGUCAUUAGUGCUUUAUCAGACAAGUGCCCAACUAGUUAUGUUAUAUUACAUGGUUAGUAAGAAACAUCUUCCAGGGAGAAUAGUUCCGUUAAGGGUUCCUUUCCCUGGGAGGCAUGCCCUAAAGUGCAUGUCCAGACUGCGAAAAAAAGAGCAGGAAAACAUCUGGGGGCAGAUGGAUAAAUGUUUAAGAAAUCGUCUUUCAAGUCACCGACCGAAUAUUCCCUUAAGAACGCUAGCUUUUGGCUUCACCCAGUCUGAGGUACACAUCCGGCUGACCCGGCAGUAACAAUCGCAGAGGUGCUCCCUUUACCUCCUAGCCGAACAAUCGGGAACGUAGGGGUAAGCACAGGAGCCAGGCAACCCAGCUUGGCCAAAACUUAAGUCAUAUCGAUGCAUAUAAUGGUGAAUAAAAGGUACAUGUGGAAGUUUGACACAUGUGCUAGGCAUGAAGCCCGGAUAAGUAAGCUUCUGGUAAAGAAGCCCCCAGGUAUAAUGAGUGCGGAUAGCACAUCAAGUGUGUGCGAACAAUGCGCAAAUAGGCUUCUAAGGGCUUUUAUGAAAAAAUGUGAGAGAAAAGAGAGAAAUGAAAAGACGGCUGAAGUGUAAAAAUAUGGACGGAGGAAGGAAACGAACUCUUAGUCCGGCGCUAGGCGUAAAAUCUUCGGAGGCGGGCCGCGUUCCAUGGGUUCGGCUCGAGUUGGUUGUCCGAUGCAUUUCGCAGACGGUAUGCUCCGCCGGUCAAGACUUGGUCGAUGAUGAAGGGACCCUCCCAUUUGGGCUUGAGUUUGUCCUUUUUCUGGUCCGGCAGGCAUAGAACUAGUUGGCCAACGUUGUAAGUUUUGGCCCGUACUUCUCUGCUUUGAUAUCUUCGAGCCUGCUGCUGAUAGAAUGCGGAACGGGCCUUUGCCACAUCGCGUUCUUCCUCCAAUGCGUCCAAGCUGUCUUGCCGAUCCAGCUCGGCUUCUCUUUCUUCGUACAUGCGCACUCAAGGUGAGUCAUGAAUUAUGUCGCAGGGCAAAAUUGCCUCUGCACCGUAUACCAUGAAAAAUGGUGUGAUACCGGUAGUAUGGUUUGGCGUAGUCCGCAGCCCCCAGAGCACGGAGUCAUGCUCCUCUACCCAGUUAGUGUUAGAUUCCGUAAGGGACCGCACUAGUCUGGGCUUGAUGACGCUCAUUAUCAGACCAUUUGCGCGCUCAACUUGACCGUUGGUUUGAGGGUGAUAGACUGAAGCGUAAUCGAGCUUAAUGCCCAUAUUUUUGCACAAGAGUUUGACCUCGUUGGCCGUGAAGUUCGUGCCGUUAUCGGUGAUGAUGCUAUGGGGGACGCCAUAACGGUGUACUACCCUGGAUAUGAAGUCUAUCACUGGUUCGGACUCUGCCGUUUUAACUGGCUUGGCCUCUAUCCAUUUGGUGAAUUUGUCCACCAUGACCAAUAGGUACCUUUGCUUGUGGGUUCCCCCUUUAAGGGGUCCAACCAUGUCAAGCCCCCAGACCGCAAACGGCCAGGUAAUGGGUAUAGUUUUGAGGGCGGUAGGUCGCAUAUGGCUCUGAUUAGCAAAGAGCUGACAACCAACGCAUCUUUGGACUAAGUCCUGAGCAUCUUCCCGGGCCGUCGGCCAAUAAAAUCUUGUACGGAAGGCCUUGCCUACAAGGGCCCGAACUGCGGCGUGGUGUCCGCCUAGUCCGGCAUGAAUUUCUGCCAGAAGGUUUCGCCCUUCCUCUUUGGAGAUACACCUUUGAAGGACUCCGGUUGUGCUUUUCUUAUAAAGUUCUCCCUCGUGGACCUUGUAGGCUUUAGAUCGCCGAGCUAUGCAUCGGGCCUCAUUUUGGUCUUCAGGAAGUUCCUGCCUAAUUAAGUAGGCUAGGAAUGGCUCUGUCCACGGGGCAAUUACUGCCAUUAUUUCGUGGGCUGAAGGUGUUAUUUCAUCGGCUGAGCCGCCGAUUAUGUCAGAUUGUUCUGUGUUGGGUAGUGCGGCUGCUUCCGGGUUGUUAUUUCCGGACUCCUCUUCCCAUAGUACAGAUGGCUUAAAGAGCCGUUCCAGGAAGAUGUUUGGAGGGACAGCGUCGCGUUUCGCGCCGAUGUGUGCCAAUACGUCGGCUGCUUGGUUAUUAUCCCGGGCUACGUGGUGGAAUUCGAGUCCUUCGAACCGAGCUGACAUUUUUAGGACAGCGUUACGAUAGGCUGCCAUUUUUGGAUCCUUGGCAUCAAAGUCUCCAUUUACUUGGGAUAUUGCAAGGUUUGAAUCCCCGCGCACCUCUAGGCGUUGAAUGCCCAUGGAGAUUGCCAUCCGGAGGCCAUGUAGGAGGGCCUCGUAUUCGGCUGCGUUGUUGGAGUCCGUGUACAUUAUCUGGAGUACGUACUAGACUGUGUCCCCGGUUGGGGACGUCGAUACGACGCCAGCCCCCAAAUCGGCCAACAUUUGGAGCCGUCGAAAUGCAUAAUCCAAUUGGAGUAUGCGCCGUACUGUUUAGGGAGUUUGGCUUCAGUCCAUUCAGCAACAAAGUCAGCCAAGACUUGCGACUUUAUAGCUCGCCGAGGUUUGUAAGUUAUAUCGAAUGGUAAGAGCUCCAUGGCCCAUUUUGCAAUCCUGCCCGUCGCGUCACGGUUGUUUAUAAUGUCGUUGAGGGGCACUUCGGAGGCCACUGUUAUCGAACACUCUUGAAAGUAGUGUCGAAGCUUCCGGGAUGCCAUGAACACCGCGUACGCUAUCUUUUGAUAGUGCGGGUAACGGGACUUGCAGGGGGUUAAGACAGUGGAUACGUAGUACACUGGUUUUUGAAGACGGAAUUUAUGCCCUUCUGUUUCUCGUUCAACGACGAGCACCGCGCUUACAACUUGAUGUGUUGCCGCGAUAUAUAACAACAUUGGUUUGCCCAGGUUAGGCGCAGCUAGGACCGAAUUUGUUGCCAAUAUGGCUUUUAUUUCUUCGAGUCCGGCAGUGGCAGCAUCCGUCCAUUCAAAGUGUUCGGUGCGCCUGAGGAGGCGAUAGAGGGGCAAUGCCUUUUCUCAAAAACGGGAGAUGAAGUGGCUUAAGGCCGCCACGCAUCCAGUCAAUUUUUGUAUUUGUUUGAGGUCUUUUGGAAUAUCCAGCUGUGACAGAGCUCGGAUCUUGGCUGGGUUUGCUUCAAUUCCUCUACUAGAUACAAUGAAGCCCAGGAGCUUUCCGGCUGGUAUGCCGAAAACGCAUUUUUCUGGAUUCAGCUUGAUGUCAUAUGAUCGGAGGUUGUCGAAUGUGAGCCUCAAAUCGUUUACUAGAGUUUCGACAUUUUUGGUUUUGACGACUAUGUCAUCUAUGUAUGCCUCUACUGUUUUGCCGAUCUGGGUAGCCAGACAUGUCUGAAUCAUGCACCGAUAUGUUGCGCCGGCGUUUUUGAGUCCGAAGGUCAUCGUGUUAAAGCAGAAUGGUCUAUAUGGAGUAAUGAAUUCCGUUGCGGCUUGGUCCGCCUCCGCCAUCUUAAUUUGAUGGUAGCCAGAGUAUGCGUCAAGGAAGCACAAUGAAUCGUGCCCUGCGGUAGCAUCGAUUAUUUGGUCGAUGCGGGGAAGGGGGAAGGGAUCCUUUGGGCAGGCCUUGUUGAGGUCUUUAAAAUCGACACAUACGCGCCAGGAUUUAUCCUUCUUUGGUACCAUUACCAGGUUUGCUAGCCAGUCCGGAUGUUUGAUGUCUCUGAUGAAUCCGGCUUCCAGUAGUUUGGCUAGCUCUUCUCCCAAUGCCUAUCUUUUGGGUUCGGAAAAUCACCGAAGAGCCUGUUUGACUGGCUUGAAUCCUUUUAGGAUGUUUAGGCUGUGUUCUGCCAAUCUGCGUGGGAUUCCUGGCAUAUCUGAAGGGUGCCAGGCAAAGAUGUCCCAAUUUUCCCGAAGGAAUUCUCGUAGUGCGGCGUCUACAUCAGGGUUCAACUGUGCCCCGAUGGAGGCCGUCUUUGUUUGGUCCAUUGGAUGGACCUGGAAUUUGACUAUUUCGUCAGCUGGUUUAAAGGAGGUGGACUUGGAUCUCUUAUCGAGUAUCACAUCAUCCCUAUUUACCGUGGAGCGCAGCACGGUGAGUUCCUCUGCAGCUAGGGCUUCGGAUAGUGCCUCCAGGGCUAAUGCGGCUGUCUUGUUUUCGGCGCGGAGUGUUGUGUCCGGAUCACUAACGAGAGUGAUUAUUCCACCGGGCCCGGACAUCUUAAGCUUCAUUUAUCCGUAAUGGGGUAUGGCUUGAAAAAUUGUGAAUGCCUCCCGUCCUAAUAUAGCGUGAUAUCCACUGCUGAAUGGGGCCACUUGGAACGUGACUUCUUCGGACCUGUAAUUGUUCGGCAUACCGAACACCACAUCAAGUGUGAUUUUUCCUGUGCAACGUGCUUCCCGGCUGGGGAUUAUUCAUCUGAAGGUUGUGCUGCUUCGCUCAAUGCGGCUCCAGUCUAUUUCCAUUUUUGGAAGAGUUUCCUCGUAGAUGAGGUUUAAUCCGCUGCCGCCAUCCAUGAGUACCAUGGUAAGGCGAAAGCCGUCCACUAUUGGACUGAGGACCAAUGCGGCCGGUGCUCGGGCUGUUCGGAAUUUAGGUUCGUCGUAGGCGUUGAAGGUGAUGGCCGUGUUGCUCCAUGGAUUUGUUGUUGCUACUUGGUAGACUUCGGCGAGGCUGCGGAUUGUUCGUUUCCGCAUAUUAUUUGAUGCGAAAGUCUCGAAGACUGCUGACACCGUACUGGUACUGUUGGAGUGUCUCUCCGGGGCUAGAAGCUCUUCGCCACUUUUGGCCACCUGUCGUAGUAUCCAACAUGCUCGAAGGCUGUGUGUUGGAGUGGCGCCUUCUGUACUGUGAAUUUUACAGGGUCCGCUGAGCUAUCCCUCCAAUACGGUUCCGUGCCCUUUAUGGGGUUUUUGCUUUUUGGUUUUUGUACCUGGUGCCUGAGUGUGAUGCACCCUUUUGUUUCGGACUAGGGUUGUAUUCGGGGCCGGAUUGUCCCAAAACUUAGUUUCGGUUUUCCAGAAACUCUCCAUCGCACAGUACUUUCAUACUAUGGACGCCAGAUCGCCGAAGCGUGUAAUUUCACGACGACUGAUGGCGUUCGAGAUUCCCUCGUCCGUGCAAUUAUUGCAGAAAAUUGAGAUUGUGUUUUCCUCACGGCAGUCCUUUAUCCUGUCCAUAACCAGGAGGAAUCUGGCCCAGUAAUGAUGUACUGUCUCAGCGGGCUCUUGCCGGAUUUGAGAUAGAUCGCAUAUGUCUGGGUGGGUGGGUGGAAACAAGUGCGGACGGUAAACAUGAUAUAUGCAACCCACAUACCCAAGAGGGAGCGGAAGCGUGCACGUCGGGACGUAUAUGACAUGGAGCCAGUCGCCCCGAAGUUCAAUCCAUUGUCCUCUUGCCCGAUCACUUUCGAUCGAAGGCACCACCCCACCAGUAUCCGCCAUGGCGGAUUUGCCGCAUUGGUUUUAGACCCAAUCAUCGAUGGAUUUCACCUCACUAGAGUCCUGAUGGACGGCGGCAGCAGCCUGAACCUACUUUAUCAGGAUACAGUGCGCAAGAUGGGCAUAGACCCCUCAAGGAUUAAACCUACAAAGACGACCUUCAAAGGCGUCAUACCAGGUGUCGAGGCCAAUUGUACAGGCUCGGUCACACUAGAAGUGGUCUUUGGAUCCCCGGAUAAUUUCCGAAGCGAGGAGUUAAUCUUCGACAUAGUCUCGUUCCGCAGUGGCUAUCACGCCCUGCUCGAACGAACCGCAUUUGCAAAGUUCAACGCGGUGCCGCAUUAUGCAUACUUCAAGCUCAAGAUGCCAGGCCCCCGUGGAGUCAUCACGGUCAACGGAAACACCGAACGCUCCCUCCGAACGGAGGAACACACACCGGCUCUCGCGGCAGAAGUACAGAGCAGCCUCUUAAGGCAAUUUUCGAGUCCGGCCGUUAAAAGACCGGACAUGAUUAAACGCGCUCGGAGUAACAUACAUCAAGACCACCUGACACGUUCCGAGCAUGCGUAGCAAUGCAGCCCCAACCCCAGCCCCUGCAUGAUUGCAAGACUAGCCCUCCGCGUACAUCAUUACGCUCUGGAGAUACCUUGGGCACAGGGGGAGGGGCAUGACCACGACAGGCCCAGAGUGCGGCUCAACCACACCAGGGGCUCCCAAGUGUGUCGCUCUUUUUCUUUUCCUUUUUAUUUUAUCCACAGGACUCCGUUCACCAGAGACCCUGCCCGGCGAUGGAUCUGCCGAACUCACGAUGCAACAGCCAGGGAGGGGCAAUGGCUACGACGAACACUCAGGUGGUCUCCAUUAUGAGCAUUAAAUCGGUUUAAUACACCAUACCACAGCCUACCCCUGGAGGGGGACAUGUCUAAUAGUCCAAACCCUUGCUUACCGCACUAUUUGUAUCGUUCUGCACUCAUAGCAGAAUUCCUUGAAUAAACAAUGCAUCACUUUUUCGCUUAUAAUUGCAUUCCUUUUCUUUAUAUAUAUGUUCAUUUAUGACAUCUUGCAUCUGUACAAUUUGGUACGGCCGAAUACACCAGGGGCUUAUGUUCCCCGCAUUAUGGUGUCGUAAGUCCGAACACUUUCACAAGUGCGGCAUCCCGAACUUAUAGCACUAUAUGCAUCGGCUCCGAAUCAUGUCUUGGGUCAAUAGUUGGAUUUGCCCGGCUCCCAUGUUUUGGUACCUUAUGUUCCGUUCUAUCGGCUGAGGUAGCACUGGGAGAACCACUGCGAUUGCGCCCCGGUUGAGCUGGGCGAGCGCCUCAGUGGAGAAAACUAAAACUGACCGUCAUGAUAAGGCCAGAGAUGGUCGCUGUUCGAGAGGUCUUUUCGAGUCCCUAAAGACUUAUGCCGCUUAGAGCGAGGAACCGGCUGUGUCCGGCCCAGGCGUGGCUAGCGCCCCGAACUCGGUCUUCCGAACACUAGGGGCUUCGCCGAAAUUUAAAAUUAUAGAAUUCUAUGGCUAAGUGAGAGUGUUCAAGCAUUAUAAGUCCGGUUGCCUUGUUCAUUGUGUUGAGCGCCUCCCUAGAUGGACCCAAAAAUGGGAACAAGAGCGCUCAAGUUUGUCCCGAACACCCCAGCACUCGUGGCAUGGGGGCUGAAGCCGACGACUUGCCAUCUCUCAGAUUUGAUAAACGGCCGCACAGAAGGUAAUAUUUUAAAUUAAUAAGCGUUGCUUAGCGCAUAUGAACAAAGUUUUCAGCGCACAGGAUAACACAUCGCGAGUUUACUCAAAAAUUACAUCUCUGGGGCACUCAUCCGCAAUCUUGCGGGCACCCUUCAGGACACUCUUAUAGUACAUUUCGGGCGUACGAUACUCCUUGCCCGCCGGCGGCGCGUCUGUCAGAAGCCUCUCAGCAUCCAGCCUGCCCCAGUGCACCUUUGCGCGGGCAAGGGCCCGACGGGCACCUUCAAUGCAGGCGGAGCGCUUGAUGACCUCCAGCCAAGGGCACGCAUCCACCAGCCGCCGCACGAGGCCGAAGUAGCUCCCAGGCAUGGCCUCUCCAGGCCACAGCCGGACUACGAGGCCCUUCAUGGCCUGCUCGGCUACCUUGUGGAGCUCGACCAGCUGCUUCAGCUGGUCGCUAAGGGGCACCGGAUGUCCGGCCUCAGCAUACUGAGACCAGAAGACCUUCUCCGUUGAGCUCCCCUCCUCGGCCCGAUAGAAUGCAGCGGCAUCGGACACGCUGCAAGGCAGAUCUGCAAACACCCCUGGAGAGCUCCGAAUUCGGGUAAGUAACAGGUAAUUCACAUUCACAUGCUUGCUUUGCAUGAAAAAUGCCAUACCCGCCGCUAUUUUCUUCGCCGCCUCAAUCUCCUGGAGGGCCUUAUGGGCCUCAGCCUUAGCGGCUUUGGCACUUUCAAGAGCCGAGGCAAGCUCGGACUCUCGAGUCUUCGAGUCGCGCUCCAAACUCUCAUGCUUUUCCAUGAGAGCCUGGAGCUCUUGCCGCACCGCCGCCACCCGCGCCUCAUGCUUCUCUCGUCCGCUCGUUCCGCGGCCGCAUUACGUUCGGCCGCGGACACGGCCUCCUUCAGGGUCGCCACCUCAUUCGUGGCCCCUGCAGUACCCACAUUAUCCUUGCCAUUUCUAUUGCAACCAAAAUCCUUUUCUGUAAGGUACAAAUUUAAUGCGGUGUUACUCACCUUCUUUGUCCUCGAGCUGCUUUUUGGCAAGGCCGAGCUCGUGCUCGAGGUCCUGCUUGAAAGCACCGACCUCUGCAGUCAGUGCGGCAGAGGUCGGCAGCGCAGCCUGCAAUCCCAUACUGACAUAAUUUUUAGAACUCCUGUGUAUAUCUUUUUUUUAGGUCCUCAGUUCGGUUUUUCUGUCCGAACACCGAACCGAGCAUCAGGGGCUACUGUCUAUGCGGUACUACAUUACAUAUUUUAAAACUUCUUACCUCAAAGCCUGUUAGAAGGCUGCUGCAGGCUUCGGUCAGCCCACUCUUGGCGAGCUGAACCUUCUGAAUCACCGCACUCAUAAUAGUGCGGUGUUCUUCCUCGAUGGAAGUGCCGUUGAGCACCUCCAACAAGUUGUCCGGCGCCUCCGGUUGGACGGAGGCUGCCGGUGUCACGGUCUUGGCCUUCUUACGAAGGGGCCGCCUGCCGGACUCCGGAACCACUGCGGGUUCCGGCACGGAGUCCGGCACGAAGUCCGGGAGGUUGCCUUGUGGCACCUCCGGAGCCUCCCCCUCCUGGCGGGUCCCCUCCUUGGAUCCCACCUCGGCGUCCUCAGCAUCGCGAGGGGUGGAGGCGGUCGGAGUGGAAUCUACAUCCGACGGAGCCAAGGACCCUCUGGAUGAAGCGGGAAGAUCCUCCUCGGCCGGGCUACAGGUAGUGUGCGGCGUUAGAAGGACACUACGUGGCACAAAAGAGCAACUACAAAUCACUCAGGAAUCCGGAUACUUACGAUCUUGCUAGGGGCUUGGCCCUUGAGGGCCACUCCUCGUCGCCGUCGUUGGCGUUGGCGGAGCUGUCCGGAGGAAGGGUCCUUCCCCUCUUGGACCCUUCGGCCUCCCCCGUUGGGGAAGCCUUCCUCUUCCUCUCUCCCCCCUCCUGGGGAGAGUCUUCUUUCUCCUCCUCGCCUUCGGGGGAGGAGUCUGCCUCGGAGUCAUCGGACGAUGAGUCCGAUACCACCUGGCGCCAGGAACUCCUUCGGGUUCCCGUGGCCUUCUUCUUGGCCUUCUUCUCCGGCACCACAUAAAGUGUCGGGACUAGCAGCCCCGUUAAACGGGCGUCCGCUGGUUCCUCGGGGAGGGGAGCCGGACAGUUAACCUGUCCGGACGUCCUCUGCCAGUCCUGUUAAAGGCAUUGGGAAUUUCAGAUCCCACAUAGAGUCAAACUAUGAAAGAAAUAAAUGUCCCAUAAAGGAUAACACAUCUUACCACACCGGUCGGGCGCUUGGUGCUGAAUCCGCGAUCUUCAGUCGCGGACGCGGGGGCUUCUCCGCCCUUGAACAGCACCCUCCAGGCAGCUUCGUACGUCGUGUCGAAGAGCCCGCUCAGGGUCCGGUGCUGUGCCGCAUCGAACUCCCACGGAUUGAAGGCCCGUUGUUGGCAGGUGAGAAUCCGGCGGACGAGCAUGACCUGGAUCACGUUGACAAGCUUGAGCUUCUUGUUCACCAAGGUCUGGAGACAGGACUGGAGUCCGGUCAGCUCCUUCGAACUGCCCCAUAGCAAGCCCUUCUCUUUCCAGGAGGUGAGCUGCAUGGGGGUACCAGAUCUGAACUCGGGGGCCGCUGCCCAUUUAGGGUCCCGCGGCUCGGUGAUAUAGAACCACCCCGAUUGCCAUCCUUUGAUGGUUUCCACGAAGGCGCCCUCGAGCCAGAGGACGUUGGGCAUUUUUCUCACCAUGGCGCCUCCGCACUCCGCUUGGAUGCCCUUCACUACCUUCGGCUUGACAUUGAAGGUUUUUAGCCACAAGCUGAAGCGGGGCUGGAUGCAGAGGAAGGCCUCGCACACGACGAUAAAUGCCGAGAUUUUGAGGAUGAAGUUUGGCGCCAGAUCGUGGAAGUCCAGGCCGUAGUAGUACAUGAGCCCCCGGACGAAGGGAUGAAGUGGGAAGCCCAGUCCGCGGAGGAAGUGGGGAAGGAAUACGACCCUCUCAUGGGGCCUGGGGGUGGGGAUGAGCUGCCCCUUGUCGGGCAGCCGGUGCGCGAUGUCGCUGGACAGGUAUCCGGCGCCGCGCAGCUUCUCGAUGUGCUCCUCCGUAAUGGAGGAGGUCAUCCACUUGCCUCCCGCUCCGGACAUGGCUGGAGAAGGUUGAGACGAGAUGUGCGGACUUGGGCGCUGGAGCUCGAGUGCGCGGAGAUGGAUAAGCAAAGGAGGAAGAAGGCCUAGGUAAAAAAGGUGGAUCCUUAUCCCCGUAUAUAUGGGCGGACGAAGACUAUGCGUCCCCACCGGCCUGGUAAAACUCGCUUAUUUCCCAAGCGCCACCAUCAACGGCGCGGUUGGGUUACCCACGUCCGUAUUGAUGGGAAUCCCGAAAUAACGGGAACACGAUCUAUGCUUCGACAAGACGUGCCAAGGAAACCGCUUCACUAAACGCGCUGAGGUGGUAUAAUAAAAAACGAUUCAAGUAAAGGCUUGGUAGUGGAAUGACGUCAUGCCACGAAAUACGUCAGCAGAUUGAACUUCUGUACAUAUUAUUCUCUCUACAGUGGAAUGUGGAAUUUAUUUUGCAGAGCCGGACACUAUCCUUGUGUUCACAAUCUUCUAUGAAUUAUUCGGAGGAGGAACCCGCCUUGCAAUGCCGAACAAUAUGCGCGCCGGACUCAUCGUCAUUGAAGCCUGGUUCAGGGGCUACUGAGGGAGUCCUGGACUAGGGGGUGUCCGGAUAGCCGGACUAUCAUCAUCGGCCGGACUCCAAGACUAUGAAGAUACAAGAUUGAAGACUUCGUCCCGUGUCCGGAUGGGACUUUCCUUGGCGUGGAAGGCAAGCUUGGCGAUACGGAUAUGUAGAUCUCCUACCAUUGUAACCGACUCUGUGUAACCCUAGCCCUCUCCGGUGUCUAUAUAAACCGGAGGGUUUUAGUCCGUAGGACACACAACCAUUACAACAAUCAUACCAUAGGCUAGCUUCUAGGGUUUAGCCUCCUUGAUCUUGUGGUAGAUCCACUCUUGUACUACCCAUAUCAUCAAUAUCAAUCAAGCAGGAGUAGGGUAUUACCUCCAUCGAGAGGGCCCGAACCUGGGUAAAAACAUCGUGUCCCUUGUCUCUUGUUACCAUCCGCCUAGACGCAUAGUUCGGGACCCCCUACCCGAGAUCCACCGGUUUUGACACCGACAUUGGUGAUUUCAUUGAGAGUUCCUCUGUGUCGUCACCGAUAGGCUCGAUGGCUUCUUCAAUCAACGACACCGUCCAGGGUGAGACUUUUCUCCCCGGGCAGAUCUUCGUGUUCGGCGGCUUUGCACUGCGGGCCAAUUCACUCGGCCGUCUGGAGCAGAUCGAAAGCUAUGCCCCUGGCCAUCAGGUCAGAUUUGGAAGCCUAAACUUCACGGCUGACAUCCGCGGAGACUUGAUCUUCGAUGGAUUCGAGCCACAGCCGAGCGUGCCACACUGUCACGAUGGGCAUGACUUAGCUCUGCCGCCGGAUAGUACCCUGGAGGCCGCACAUGAGUCCGCUCUGACCCAUAGUUCGGAGCCAACCACGCAGAUCGAGGACAGGUGGCUGGACACCGCCUCGGGAGCUGCAACUUCUACGGCGAUGGAGCCGAAUACUGACCUUGUCCCUUGCAAAGCUCGUGACUCCGAGGUGCCGGACUCCUUGUCGGACUCCAAACCUCUGGCGCCCCUACCAAUCGAAUCCGAUGGGGUGCCGAUCAUGGAGUUCACCGCCGCGGACAUCUUUCAGCACUCACCCUUUGGCGACAUCCUGAAUUCGCUAAAGCAUCUCUCGUUAUCGAGAGAGCCCUGGCCGGACUGCGGUCAGGAUGGUUGGGAUGCGGACGACGAAGAAAUUCAAAGCCCACCCACCACCCACUUUAUAGCCACUGUCGACGAUCUAACCGACAUGCUAGACUACGACUCCGAAGACAUCGACGGUAUGGACAACGACGCCGGAGACGAUCAAGAACCAGCGCCUACGGGGCACUGGAAGGCCACCUCAACUCAUGAUGUAUAUAUGGUGGACACUCCAAAGGGGAGCGAUAACGAGGAACAACGGGACACGGCGAAGGAUAAUUCAUCCAAAAAACAACCAAAACGGCGACGCAAGCGCCGCCCCAAGUCCCGCCUCAAUAACAUCAGCAUCCAUAAUGACCCAGUCAUAGAGCAGGGCAAACCAAUGGGCGACGAGCAUGCAACCAAGCAGCCAUCAGAACAGGAUGAACUGGAUGACCAGCUCAUCCUCGGCGAAAACAACAGUCUGGAUGAUCUCACGCCGGACACACCACCGGAGCGCAAGAACCUCCAAAAAAGGCUUGUCGCCACCGCAAGAAGUUUGAAGAAGGAAAAACGGAAGCUCAAAACAGCGGAAGACAUACUCAGAAUGAGGUGGAGCAAAGUACUCAAGACCGCGGACAAAUAUGGCAAUGACCACCAAACAAACAGCUACCCGAAGCGCAAGCUGCUGCCAGAAUUCGACGAGGAGGCCAUAGAGCCCCCACAGGCAAAAAGCAAAGAGGCCGCCUGGCCGGAUAGACGACCAGAUGACAGGCCAGGAGCGGCAAGCGGCACCGCACAUAAGCCAGCACAUGACACAUAUAAAUAUCCUCGCAAAACGGAUGGUCCGGUCAGGCCAUCUAUGGGCCAAAAAAGAGGGCUGUCGGUGUCAAAACCGGUGGAUCUCGGGUUGGGGGUCCCAAACUGUGCGUCUAGGCGGAUGGUAACAGGAGACAAGGGACACUUUUUUUUGCCCAGGUUCGGGCCCUCUUAAUGGAGGUAAAACCCUACGUCCUGCUUGAUUAAUAUUGAUGAUGUGUAUUACAAGAGUGGAUCUACCACGAGAUCAAGGAGGCUAAACCCUAGAAGCUAGCCUAUGGUAUGAUUGUUGUAAUGGAGGUUAUGUCCUACGGACUAAAGCCCUCCUGUUUAUUUAGACACCGGAGAGGGCUAGGGUUACACAGAGUCCGUUACAAUGGUAGGAGAUCUACAUAUCCGUAUUGCCAAGAUUGCCUUCCACGCCAAGGAAAGUCCCAUCCGGACACGGGAUGGAGUCUUCAAUCUUGUAUUUUCGUAGCCUUGGAGUCCGGCGGACGAUGAUAGUCCGGCUGUCCGGACACCCCCUAGUCCAGGACUCCCUCAGUAGCCCCUGAACCUGGCUUCAAUGACGAUGAGUCCGGCGCGCAUAAUGUUUGGCAUUGCAAGGCGGGUUCCUCCUUUGAAUAAUCCAGAGAAGAUUGUGAACACCAGGAUAGUGUCCGGCUCUGCAAAAUAAAUUCCACAUUCCACCAUAGAGAGAAUAAUAUAUACACAAGUUCAAUCUGCUGACGUAUCUUGUGGCAUGACGUCACACCACUACCAAGCCUUUACUUGAAUCGUUUUUUAUUAUACCACCUCAGCGCGUUUAGCGAAGCGGUUUCCUUGGCACGUCUUGUCGAAGCAGAGAUCAUGUUCCCCUUAUUCUGGGAUUCUCAUCAAUACGGACGUGGGUAACCCAACCGCGCCAUUGAUGGUGGCGCUUGGGAGAUAAGCGAGUUUUACCAGGCUAGUGGGGACGUAUAGUCUUCGUCCGCCUAUAUAUAAGGGAUAAGGAUUCACCUUUUCACCUACGCCUUCUUCCUCCUUUGCUUAUCCAUCUCCGCGCACUCGAGCUCCAGCGCCCAAGUUCGCACAUCUCACCUCGACCUUCUCCGACCAUGUCCGGAGCGGGAGGUAAAUGGCUGGCCUCCACCGUUAAGGAGGAGCAUAUCACAAAGCUGCGCAGCGCCGGAUACCUUUCCGGCGACGUCGCGCACCGGCUGCCCGACGAGGGGCAACUCAUCCCCACCCCCGGGCCCCAUGAGAGUGUCGUUUUCCUCCCCCACUUCCUCCGCGGACUGGGCUUUCCACUUCACCCCUUUGUCCGGGGGCUCAUGUUCUACUACGGCUUGGAUUUCCAUGAUCUGGCGCCGAACUUCAUCCUCAACAUCUCGGCGUUUAUCGUCGUGUGCGAGGCCUUCCUCUGCAUCCAGCCCCACUUUGGCUUGUGGCUCAAGACCUUCAAUGUCAAGCCGAAGGUAGUGAAGGGCACUCAAGCGGAGUGCGGAGGCGCCAUGUUGGGCAAGAUGCCCAACGUCCUUUUGUUCGAAGGGGCCUUCGUGGAAUCAGUCAAGGGGUGGUAGUCGGGGUGGUUCUACAUCACCGAGCCGCGCGACCCUUCGUGGGCGGCGGCCCCCGAAUUCAGAUCUGGUAUCCCCAUGCAGCUCACCUCCUGGAAAGAGAAGGGCUUGCUGUGGGGCAAUUCGAAGGAGCUGACGGGACUCCGAGCCUGUAUCCAGAAGCUGGUGGACAAGAAGCUCAGGCUGGUUAAUGUAGUCCAAGUCAUGCUCGUUCGCCGGAUUCUCCCAUGCCAAGAACGGGCAUUCAAUCUGUGGGAGUUCGAUCCGGAACAACACUAGGCGCUGAGCGGGCUCUUCGACACAACGUACGAAGGCGCCUGGAGGGUGCUGUUUAAGUGCGCCGAAGGCCCCUGCAUCCACGACGGAAGAUCGCGGAUUCCACUCGCAGCGUCCUGCUGACGAGGUAAGUGAUUCUACCCCUUUACGGGACACUUGUUGUUAAUAGUUCGACCCUAAGCGGGUUUUAAUCUCCUUUUUCCAUUGACAGGAAUGGAUGAAGAAGGCCGAGCAGCUCAUCUGCCCGGCUCCCAUGCCAGAAGACCCAGUGGACGUCCGUCUAGCGGGGUUGCUGGUUCCGGCACCGCACGUGGUGCCGGAGAAGAAGGCCAAGAAGGUGGCCACGGGUACUCGAAAGAGUACCCGUUUUCAGGUGUCCGACGACUCCGAGGUGGAUUUGUCUCCCGAGAAUGAGGAGGAGGAAGAAGACCUUCUCCCAGAGGAGGGAGAGAGAAAGAGGAAGGCCUCCCCAACAGGGGAGGCCGAAGGGUCCAAGAGGGGAAGAACUAUUCCCCCGAACAGUUCCGCCAACACCAACGUCGGCGAUGAAGAGUGGCCCUCGAGGGCCAGGCCUCAGGCGAGAUCGUAAGUAUCCAGAUCCCUGAAUGAUCUACAAUUUCUUUCCGUUCACAUAAUGUCCUUCUAAUGCCGCAUACUGCCUGUAAUCCGGCCGACGAUGAUCUCCCUGCUUCGUCGAGCGGGUCGUUGGCGGCGUCGGAUGUGGAAUCCAUUCCGACUGCCUCCACCCCUCGCGCCGCUGAGGACGCCGAGGUGGGAUCCCGGGAGGGGACCCAUCAGGAGGAGGCUCCAGAGGCGCCGAAAUGCAGCCUCCCGGACUUUGCGCCGGACUCUACGCCGGAACCUGCAGUGGUUCCAGAGUCCGGCAGGCGGCCCCUUCGCAAGAAGGGCAAGACCGUGACACCGGCGGCCCCCAUCCAACCGGAAGCGCCGGACAACUUGUUGGAGGCGCUCAAAGGCGCUUCCAUCAAGGAAGAACACCGCACUAUCAUGAGUGCAGUGAUUCAGAAGGUUCAGCUCGCCAAGAGCAGGCUGACCGAAGCCUGCAGCAGCCUUCUGACAGGCUUUGAGGUAAGAAGUUAAAAUUAUGUAAUGUAAUACCGCAUAGACAGUAGCCCCUGAUGCUCGGUUCGGUGCUCGGAAAGAAAAGCCGGACUGAGGAUCUAAAAAGAUAUACGCAGGGUUGCUUAAAAAAUAUGUCAAUAUGGGUUUGCAGGCUGCGCUGCUGACCUCUGCCGCACUGACUGCAGAGUUGGUGCAUUGAAGCAGGAUCUCGAGUGGUCCGAGCAAGAGCUCGGCCGAGCCAAGAAGCAGCUCGAGGACAAAGAAGGUGAGUAACACCACUUUAAAGAUUUACCUUACAGAAAAGGAUUUAGGUUGCAAUAAAAAUGACAAGGAUAACCUGGGUACUGCAGGGGCCACUAACGAGGUGGCAACCCUGAAGGAGGCUGUGUCCGCGGCCGAACGUAAUGCAGCCACGGAACGGGCCGAGCGAGAGAAGUAGGAGGCGCGGGUGGCGGAAGUGCGACAAGAGCUCCAGGCUCUCAUGGAGAAGCAUGAGAGUUUGGAGCACGACUCCAAGACUCGAGAGUCCGAGCUCGCCUCGGCUCUCGAAAGUGCCAAGUCCGCCAAGGCCGAGGCCCGUAAGGCCCUUCAGGAGAUUGAAGAUGUGAAGAAGAUAGCGGCGGGUAAGGCAUUUUUCAUGCAAAGCAAGCAAGUUAAUGUAAACUACCUGACACUUACCCGCAUUCGGAGCUCUCCAGGGGCAUUUGCAGAUCUGCCGCGCAGUAUAUCCGAUGCCGCCGCAUUCUACCAUGGCCAGGAGGGGUGUCACACCCAAGAUGCGACCCUAUCCUAAAGGAACUCGAAGGUCCCACCAAGGAUAGAAGCGCAUCUUGAAGACGCUUUUGCAAGGUGGAUAUCAUUACAUCAACAUUACAUAAUAGUGGGGAUACAUACAUAAGGCAUACAAUGCCACACGAAUACAACAUCAUCAUACAAGAGAUCAACAUCCGACUACGGAUGAUACAUAAACAGAAACUCAAACAAUAUCCACCCUGCUAGCCUAGGCUGCCGACCUGGAACCUAUCCCCUGAUCGAAGAAGAAGCAGAAGAAGAACUCAACGCAAGCAAGCCGCUCUCGCGUCAUGAUCAUCGCAUAACCUGUACCUGCAACUGUUGUUGUAGUAAUCUGUGAGCCACGAGGACUCAGCAAUCCCAUUACCAUGGGUAUCAAGACUAGCAAAGCUUAAUGGGAAAGGAAGGGGUAAGGUGGUGAGGUUGCAGCAGCGACUAAGCAUGAUAUGGUGGCUAACAUACGCAAAUGAGAGCGAGAAGAGAAACAAAGGAACAGUCGUGAAGCUAGCAAUGAUCAAGAGGUGAUCCUGAAAUCCUACUUACGUCAAACAUAACACAGAAACCGUGUUCACUUCCCGGACUCCGCCGAGAAGAGACCAUCACGGCUACACACGCGGUUGAUGCGUUUUAAUUCGGAUCUGGUGUCAAGUUGUCUACAACCGGACAUUAACAAAUUCCCAUCUGCCACAUAACCGUGGGCACGGCUCUCGAAAGUUUAUACCCUGCAGGGGUGUCCCAACUUAGCCCAUGACAAGCUCUCGCGAUCAACGAAGGAAUAUACCUUCUCCCAGGAAGACCCGAUCAGUCUCGGAAUCCCGGUUUACAAGACAUUUCGACAAUGGUAAAACAAGACCAGCAAAGCCGCCCGAUGCGCCGACAAUCCCGAUAGGAGCUGCACAUAUCUCGUUCUCAGGACAACACCGGAUAAGUGAAGCGUAUAGGUACCGACAAAUCCAAGUUGCCAAGGAAUGGUCCCGCACCUUAGACAAGCAUUGGCCCGGGGGGGCUAUAAUAAAGAUGACCCUUGGGUUAAUUACUCCCAAGGGAAAAGUAGGUGGUGGUGAGGCAAAUGGUAAAACCAAGGUUGGGCCUUGCUGGACAAGUUUUAUUCAAGGCGAACUGUCAGGGGGGUCCCAUAAAUCACCCGACCGCGUUAGGAACGCAAAAUCCGGGAACAUAAUACCGGUAUGACGGAAACUAGGGCGGCAAGAGUGGAACAAAACACCAGGCAUAACGCCGAGCCUUCCACCCUUUACCAAGUAUAUAGAUGCAUUAAUAAUAUAAGAGAUAUUGUGAUAUCCCAACCAAAAUCCUGUCCACCAUGGAGAAAUCUUCAACUUCACCUGCAACUAGCAACGCUAUAAGAGGGGCUGAGCAAAGCGAUAACAUAGCCAAACAACGAUUUGCAUAGGAAAGGUGUCAAAGGUUAGAGGUUCAUGGCAAUAUGGGAUGGCUUGAUAAACAGGUAAUAGGUAGCGCAGCAUAGCGAUAGAACGAAGCAACUAGCAUAGCAAUGAUAGUAGUGAGAUCCAGGGUAGCGGUCAUCUUGCCUGAAAUCCCGCAAGGGAGAAGAACGAGUCCAUGAAGAAGGCAAACGGAUGAAGCCGAACCAACCGUAGAUGAACGAAUCCUCACGAUCGCAACGAAACAGGAACUAACAAGAAGAAGCACACAACAUAGGUAAACACACCACACAUGAACAAGGCAUGAUGCACAACAAGCAUGAUGCAUGACCAAGCUACAUGAAGCUACUCAU
rnacentral:lncRNA from 1 species